rnacentral:lncRNA from 1 species
UCCAGAAGCCGUCGCCGCUGUCCUCCGGUUCCGGCGGCGGGGCCUGCUGCUGCUGGUACUGGUAGUCGGCGGCGACAGGCGGCGGAGCGCCGUACCCUGGAGGAGGUGGGUAGGCCUCCUGCCCCGGCGGCGGGUACGCGGUGCCCGGUGGCGGGUAGCUCAUGGCCGACGCCGCGGUCUGAGUUCACAGAGACAGUAGAACCGCUGAAGCAGGAAGCUGGCAAGGCAGACUUGCUGAUGCCACAAGCCGCUCUCUGCUCUCGACUUUGUGAUGUUCUUCUAAUGGAGCAUUGCUCUUUAUAGCGACACCAAGAGGCAUACGCUCGUAGCACUCCUACUACUAUUUUCAGGAUUACUUAGGCGCGUAAUCCUAACACAUAUCCAGAUUUUCAAAGGGACGCCGGUCACAGGCGGUAGUGCAUCCAUGCACGGCGACGGCGGGUUUCAAUUGGUUUCUCGCCCUCCAAAACCGUCGUUGAAGGCGUCACUCGGAAGGAGAGACAUCGGUCGGUCCACAUUUACCCACCGAACGUCUGCUGGCUGCUUCCCAUUUGGACUCGGGUUCCCCGGCGACCUUUCGAACUGCUCCACUGCUGAGACGAGAAGUUCCAAACGAAUCGGGUUCCGUAGUUGGUCAGGGUUGAUGUCCCAAGUUUUUCUACUCCUACUGCCGUAGUGCUAUGGCACCAGGCCCUAGUGCAUUUUGGACGACGCCAAUAAUUCCCGCUGAUCUUUUUGGUCAACGUUGAUGACCGUUGGCAUUCAAAAGGUUCGGCUCGCCGCGGCCCUACACAUCAAGAUGGUUUUCAGCACGCGUUUUCAAUUGCAAAAAACGUUUUUCUUUAAGAUAGAAGCUCUGCAUUUUCAUUGAAAAGGAUAAGAAUUAAUGGCUUGAUAAGAAACACGGGUCGAAAAUUGAAACAUCAGCGACACAUACACACGACCCGAGGCCGUGUACUGGACAAGCCGCCGGCUCUGCCAUCCGGCAAUCGGAGUUGACAUGCUACAACAAGAUCUGAAGUUGCCGCUCCAAUACCCACGACGGCUUCAAGGUCGCACAUCAGAUGUAGUUAACCAAACAAUCACAUAAGAAGCAACACCCUACGAAAGCACGACGAUUUUUCGGGCUGCCGCUCCAACUAUUACAAACAUAAACAACAUUCACCAACCGUCCAACUCCUAAACCACACAUCAUGCGAAGCCACGUACUGGAUGUGUAGUCAAAUGACUACGAAACUUUUUGGCAAAAAUCUCAUGUACUCCCUCUGUAAACAAAUAUAAAAGCAUUUAGAUAACUAAAGUAAUGAUCUAAACGCUCUUAUAUUUUUUUACGGAGGAAGUACAAUAUAUUUCGGGGGGGGGGGGGGGGGAUUUUUAAAAUUCAUAAAUAUAUUUGAAAUCAUGAUUUUUUUUAAAUUCAAUAAAAAAUAAUAUUUGUGAACAUUGUUUUAAUUCAUGAAUAUUUUGGAAUUUGCUAAACAUUUUUUGGAAUUUGUGAACAUUUUUAAACUUACAAAGAUUUUGUCAAACUGAUGAAAUAUUUCGAAAAUUAGCAAACAAUUAUUAAAUAAGAACUUUUUUUUUCAUUCGUGAACAUUUUCUUGGUUUGGAUCAUUUUCAUAUUUGAUAUAAAAUUAAAUAGUAAAAACAUAAAUGGAAAUACAAAAAUUUUAAAAGUACAAACAUAAACGUAAAAACAAGAUGACGCCCGCGCCAUGUAAUGAGCCGGCCAAAUCACGGAGGAGGGUGCCCGUGUAGGUUACCCUCUGAUCCGCGCAUGGAUUAAGAGGUCCCAGACAUAGCCCACACCACUAUCAUGUGCAGCCACGGUCGUCGCCUAGACGACCACAACCACCCCUACACACCGCUCGUCCACCGCAACUCUCCCUUGUCAUCUUUGUAGGCGGGGGGCCAUCGCCACCGCGACAAGGUCAGCAGCAGCAACAUAAGAGAAGAGGCACUGGAGGAGGAGCCUGGCUGUGGCGCUAGGCUUCCCUCCGAGUUGGGUGAGUCGGGGAUGUUUUCAAAAAUUUACGAGAAAAUAAAAUAAAAACAUUUCUCGUUCUUUUUUAGAGCGUUGAAGGUUUUAAGCGAUCGCUACGUCAUUCCUCAUUCGCAUAUGUCACAGCCCAACAACCCAAUUACACUGAGGGCCUGCAUAUCAGACAGGCCCACGGGCCACUAGUGAAAUGCAACAAACUAGGAUAUUUUCACUCUUUCCGUUCUUAUCUCUCUCCGCCACUCGUACGAGCCUCGUCGCCGCCCGUGAGCUCCGGCCGUUGGUGCCUAAGCAGAGCCCCAAUCCUCCUCCGGCGACCUCUUCUCCAGCGCAGCCUCCGUGCCGGCGACCUACCAAAUAGUUUCUCCGCUGGGCUCGGCAGUAGCGCUCCCUGCCCACGGACGCGCGCGAGGAGAGACGGCGGCUCGAUCUCUCUCUUCGCGCUUCCGCCACGGCCCUUUUCUUCUCCGUUUGCCGGCGCCGCUUCGGCCCUUCCUCCGCCACCGGCAUCGUCUGCUCCUCCUCCGUGUCCGGGCACCCGAAGCAGCAGCAGCUUAAGUUGCCUUCCUUAUCUGCUGAAUUUAGCAGCGCUCGUUUUGGGGGGCUGGGUUUGUGUCAUGGAGAUACUUAACUGUAAGGGUACGUUCUCACUGUCAAGGAAUAAUCCUCAUUGCCUUCCACAGUUCCAUUGCCUUUCCAGUAUCGUAGUCGUUACAUUAUUGUGUAGAAUUGUGCCUAAAGUUUACCUUUGAAUCUUGGGUUCAGGCGUUCGUUUUAGCUUGACAGGCAUCAAUGGAACCAGAGCCAACCAGUUAGUGAAGGUAUUGAUUCCUUGCUCUCGUUAUACAAUCAGUUCCCGGUCAAUCGCAGCCAAGAGGCUUGAAUGGAUUCUUAUGUCAUCUGUAAGGUUAGCCAAUUGAGUAUAUAAAGUGCCCUCCGACCAUUCUAGGUAGUCAAAAUGGAUGUUUACAAAAAAUCUUGUAUUAAGUUACGGAGGGGGUAAUAAUUAUUAGAAGUGCGGUGCUAUUCCAUAGCAUAACUUUUUCAGCACCUGUGCUGCACCUUAACUCCCAUGUUUUUGUCUAGCUUAUUGAUUGACAAAUUACUGUAACAUUAAAAUUAAAGGCCAAUGCAAGUAUAUCAUCUCUAUACACCCAGGUAGGAACACGAAUUAUUCAGAUUCAUAAGGCCUAUCAUUUUUCAGUUGUGGAUAUCUUAUGCAGCCAGGCCUGCUGCAGUGCCAUUUUACAUUGAAUUUUGCUUUACGAGAUUCCCUUUCAGUCUGCACCAUAAUUUUUGUGAUUACAUUCUGCCAGAUAACAUUCCCCGGACCCUGCGCAAGCAGGAGCUACAUGCACCAGGCUGCCCCUUACAUUCUGGCAGAUAACUACCAUUAACGGCCUGUUGGUCUGUAUUGCUGUCAUUUUGGUUUUGGUAGAAUGCUCGAAACGAAUUUGUGAUGGAGUGCUGCCGCAGUCGAAGAAUUUUAUGCUCACUCUCUGUUUGCAAACACUGUGACCAAUUUAUUCUUAUCCCUUUUGUUUACAACUUGACACAGAUAGGAUCCCAACAUCAACGAGUUGGCCGGGCAAGGUCAGUAACAUGCUGUGAGUACUCUCCUGAUCCUGCUAGCAAGAAGCAUGAGAGGUAUCAGCAACAACCACAAAAUGUUGAUCUCCCAGAAUUACACCCGAAGAACAAAAAGAAGCCCUUUCCUGUCCCAAUUAAGAAGAUGUUGCAAGCUUCCCGCAAAGACAAGCGGCUUGCACAGAUGAGGAUAGAGAAGCCUCUUGAGCCCCCAAAGAACGGCUUGCUUUUACCAGAGCUUGUCCCUGUUGCUUAUGAAGUCCUUGAUAACUGGAAAAUUCUCAUCAGAGGCAUCUCUCAACUUCUGAAUGUUGUUACAGUUUAUGGUUGCAGGUAAACACUAAAUUCUGAUAUGUGUCAUAAGCUGUUUAUACAUGCAUUAAUGUUUUAAGACCCUUGUAUAGGCACGUAGAUCACUGUCAUGUGGCAUGAUUCGUCAAGUAACUUGUAUAUUAAUAACCGUCUUGUGAUUUUGUAGAAAAUGCCCUCAAGUACAUGUUGGCCCAGUUGGCCACCAGAUACAAGAUUGCUAUGGCUCAGGAAGCCAGCGUCGAAAUAGUCACCACUCUUGGGUCAGAGGAUCCAUCAACGAUGUGCUCAUCCCGAUUGAAUCUUACCAUCUUUUUGACCCAUUUGGGCGGAGGGUCAAGCAUGACACCAGGUUUGACUUCGACAGGAUUCCAGCAAUUGUUGAGCUAUGCAUUCAGGCUGGUGUCGACUUACCACAAUAUCCCACAAGGAGACGGACUGCUCCUGUGCGGAUGAUUGGCAAGAAGGUUAUUGACCGUGGCGGAGUUGUCGAUGAGCCUAAGCCACACCGAUCGGAGGACUGUAUAUCUCUUCUUGCUGAGCUUGACACAUUUAGCAACCAACAGGGCCAGUCACCUGUGCCAUCCAAUGUGAAAGAGCACGCAGAGAGGACGCUGAAAGCAUACUGCGAUGUCCGUCGGGGUGUCGCACAGCUAAUGAGCAAGUACACGGUAAAAGCAUGCGGGUAUUGCUCUGAGGUCCACAUUGGUCCAUGGGGACACAAUGUGAAGCUCUGUGGGGCUUUCAAGCACCAGUGGCGAGACGGCAAGCAUGGGUGGCAAGAUGCGGUUGUCGAUGAGGUCAUACCACCCAACUACGUAUGGCAUGUCCCUGACCCUGCUGGCCCUCCUCUCAGAUCCUCUCUAAGAAGUUUCUAUGGCAAAGCUCCGGCCGUCGUCGAGCUAUGUGUGCAGGCGGGAGCUGAAAUACCUGAAGAGUACCGGCCAAUGAUGAGGACUGAUAUCAUCAUCCCAGACCCCGACGAAGCUCGGAUGGCUGCAUGAAAACAAUGUUCUGCCCUGCACUUCUGAAGUUGCCCGGAAUCCAAAUUCGAGCCAUGGGUGCUUGUCUCAUGGUUGGGCCCUCUCAAAAUUGCUCGGGCAGCGGCAAAUGCAUUGGCUGUAUUAUAAUACUAUGGCUGAACCAUGAGCAGACAUGCUCUCAAAUUGAUUCGUAGAUCUGCUAAAAGUAUUCAUCAAAAGGUGAUCCCCGAAUAUCCUGCCUUCGUUUGCCUGUCUUCCUAAUGAUACUAUGCAUCUUGUGACCAUUUGAUCACUGCUUUGCUGCAGAUGCACAACUUGAAGAAAGGAAGUGGAAAAGGAUGUCCUCCGCUACGGUGCAUAUGACCUUGUUUAAUGGCGUCAGAUGCCUUAUUCUUCCCUAUGCUAGACUGUGAGGCACUUACGAUGGCUCGAUACAGAUGGCUUCCCCCUUUCCUCUGCUGGUACCAUGCUUAAUGGCGAGCUGAUUCUUGGGAUUAAACUAAUCACCGAGAUUUGUUCGGGUAUUUGUGCGUCUGGCUGUGAUUAAUCAUGGACUAAAAGCUGUGCAACUUGUACCUGCCCCCAGAAUCCCAGAUCAUCGCUCCCGGUGCGGCUACAUGUAUACCAUCAAAUUUAUAUCGGUAUAAUGUACUCUCUCCUCUACUCUUUUGUGCUGUAUACUCUGUAACAUGGCUGCAAAAGCUGUAUCAAAUGGAUGGUUAGAGAGCCAUGAAGUAGACCUAUGUUUUCUUUCUAAAGGAUCCACGGCAGGCUAUUCAGCCAGCCUGAACAAUGCCUCCAUGGCUCUUCUCAGCAGUGAACUGCAUUUCAUAAAGCAUUUGCAGUUAUAAUUUGUAUAUAUAUGAACCAAUUCACCAACACGUCAACAACAUAAUUUGAAAUCAAGCCCCCCACCCAGACCGUGCAAUUUUUAAUUUUUUUUGGAUAGCAUAUAUGCACUGAAAGAAGAACCUUCAGUUGAAGUGUUAUUGUAGUACUAGCUAAAGAUGUGGUCAUCACAUCACAUAUAUUAUUACACUAGCCAGUGAAGAUGCCACGGCAUAAUAUCUCUGCCCUGCUCUGAUGCUGGCGCAAGAACAGAGAAAACAUGGUGAGCGGCUGCAAUGCAACUCAAAGUACACAAUUAUUUUUGAACUGCAACUGAAGGACACAUGAUUGAGUUGUCCCCGGUAUAUACCCUCUCCUCCAUUGUGCUAGGACGAUUAAAAUAGCACUGGUAAAUACAGCUCGGAAUCAACGGACGGACCGUGUAGUGUACGUAUGGCCGGGUAUCUGAAGUUCUGAACUAGUCCAGUUGCAAGAGCUCUGUGGACAUGUGUGUUCAGUGUUCGUUGGUGUAUAAAUACGGGCCGGCAACGGUCUAACCAACCCACCUCAUCACUCACUCACUCGGCUCCAGAGCGAUCGGUCGCCUCUCUUGAGCUCCCCCGCCGUAGUCAUCAUCGCCAUGGCUAAGGAAGAAGAGCUCAAGGUAUGUGUAUCAUUCAGUCAGAGACUCAGAGCUUACUUGUCCAUUGAUGUAUCUUCCAUGGUGCUUGCUCUGAUUGUGAAUGGACGAACACUUCUGACCGGGUUUUUGUUGGUGGUGUGUGUGCAGAGAGUUGAUUUGAAGGUGAACGUGAGCUGCUGCGACGGCUGCAGGAGGAAGGUGAUGAAGGCCAUGAACCUCAAGGGCGUGCUGAGGACGGAGAUCCACCCGUCGCUGGACCGGGUCACCGUCGUCGGCAACGUCGACACCAAGGUGCUCGUCAAGAAGCUCGCCAAGGUCGGCAAGAUCGCCGAGGUGGUGGAGGCGGCGGUGCCCGAGCAGCAGAAGAAGCGCGAGGGCGAUGGCGGGAAGGACCGGGAUGGCGGUGAUCGGCCUGUGAUGGCGCUGGCUCCGGCGGGCGAGAAGAGCAAGCGCAAGGACGACGAAAAGGACAACGUCGGCGACAAGCUGGCGGCGGCGUCGUCCAAGAAAGAAUGCACCAAGUGCGCGCGCCAGCACCAGCAGUCCGCGCGCGGCGGCGGUGACGCCGAUGANNNNNNNNNNNNNNNNNNNNNNNNNNNNNNNNNNNNNNNNNNNNNNNNNNNNNNNNNNNNNNNNNNNNNNNNNNNNNNNNNNNNNNNNNNNNNNNNNNNNNNNNNNNNNNNNNNNNNNNNNNGCCGUCGGCUGCCACAUCAUGUGAAACUUGCAUGAUCGAGGGAGCCACGUCGACAACGCUAAUCCACCAUUUAUCCCCUUCUCCCACCGUUCCCUCGUUCCUGUACAACAUCCACCUGAUCGAUCGCCAUGAAUUAAUUAUUCAGUUUGUUUCUUGGAAACCUGUGUUGAAUUGUUGAUCGAACAAACCACAUCGCAAUGCAUUUCUCGCGACGCAGCGUUUCAGAUAAACUCGUCAGAAUGAAAAGAUCUCAAAUUAAUCGCGAAGUUAUUAAGUUAGGCCCUGUUUGGAACCAUAAUAGAUUAUAAUAAUCUGGAUUAUGAAGAUAGAUUAUAUAAUCUGGUUUAUAAAAAUAAUCUAGGAGGGUAUGUUUGUAGAUCAGAUUAUAUAAACUGUAAUUCAGGUUUUACAUUGUACAAUGACAUGUAUGUCCUGUAUAAAAAUAAGACGGUGGCGGUGGAAGUAGGUAAUUAUCUUCAAGUUUACAAGGGUAAUAGGUUAUUAGUAAUCCAUAAUCUGAUUUUAGCUGGGGUAGAGUAGAUUAUGAGUUUUUAAUAAUCUGGUCAUCUAGUUUUUAAAAUCUACAAUAUAAAUUGUUCUAUUUGAAAACAUAAUAGAUUAUAAAAACCAGAUUAUAUAAUUUGGUUGGUUCCAAACAGGGCCUUAAACAUACCAAGAGCUCCAAGGUCAAAAAGAAAGAAAUAAAAGGCAAACCAAGAGCUCCGAAGUCAUCAAAACUAUCAAGCAAAUUUCAGGAUUGGAUCAACGGCAUCGUAUGGAUGGGUCAGGGUCUUGCGUUCAAAUCCAUUUUACGAUGGACCAAGCCAGCGCCCAUCGAAUCUUCUUUACUUUACUCUAGGCAACACAGGAUUGAUAGCAAUUGAUCAACGGCCCUCGAAUCUUCUUUUUCUUUUUCGGAACCAACGGCAUAUCGGCCGUCUUCUCCGAAGGAGAAAUCGUACGGUACGCGCGUGUGUGAGGGCGACCCGGGCGGGCCGGGAGCUGCUGCUCCACGAUUCGUUCUGUCGCCGUGGGCGGUGGAGACGGGCGGGCGCCCGCACGAGCACACGGGGGACGGGGACGGCGACGGCGACGGGACCUGGAAGAAGAAAUUGGAGUCUCGAGAAUAUAUGGCGAGAGAGACCCGUUGGUCGCCCGCCGAGCCGCCUUUCGUUUGUGCGCGGCGCAUCCAGUCCAAUCCAUCGGACGACGACGACGACGACGAAGCGGGCUGGGCAAAUGGGUCGUGGCUCAACGCCGCGGGAACGGCCGGAGUAGGUAGGGAUGCGGCUGCGGCUGCGGAUGCUUUGCCCGGCUUGUCGUCGUUGGUGGAUGGCGGAUUCCAUAUGGAACUGGACCUCCCGCUGGCGUGAGGCAGCGGAGCGCGCGCCGCGGGAAGCUUAAGCCAGGACUUCUCUAGACGUACGUAUUUUUACGGGGGAUUUACAGGCUGCUUAACAUUGAUUGGCCGAAAUUGAUUAAGGCGCACAGCCUCAUCGAUGAAAUUCAGGGAAAAGCCAAUUAGAAAAACGCACAGUUCCCAGUCCGUAAAACUCUGUAAAAUGUGUUCGUAAGUUUAGCAUUAGGACUUUGCUAGACGUACGGACUUUUACGGGGGAUUUACAGGCUGCUUAACAUUGAUCGGCCGGAAUUGAUUAAAGCGCACAACCUCACGGGUGAAAUUCAGGGGCUUAAGGCCCAACACCAGAUCGAAUAUGUGGAAAUUGUGGAAGCGUCUUAAUCUCCAUACAUGGAGACCCGCGGUAUAUAUAUUGAUUAGAGGGGAUCGGUUACAUAGAGAUAGCAGCGUUGAGGCUAACUACCAGGAGAUAUUACAGGAGGGUUUUAGGAGAUAGAAAGAUAAACAUAAACAGAGAUAAUCUCCUAACUACCAACCUAUACAUAGAUAUUUAACACUCCCCCAUAAUCACAACUAUGACAAGUUGAGAUUACGUUUAAACUCUUCAAAACUUCGGGCUGGCAAAGCUUUGGUGAAUCCAUCGGCAAUCUGAUUUUUUGAUGGUAUAAAUCUGAUCUCAAGUUGUUUGUUGGCAACACGUUCCCUCACAAAAUGAAAAUCUAUCUCAAUAUGUUUUGUCCUGGCAUGAAAGACUGGAUUUGCAGACAAGUAUGUGGCACCAAGAUUAUCACACCAUAAGCAUGGUGGCUGAUGUUGAACAACCCCAAGUUCUCUAAGCAUGGAUUGAACCCAAAUGACUUCUGCUGUUGCAUUUGCUAGUGCUUUAUACUCUGAUUCAGUACUUGACCUGGAAACAGUAGCUUGUUUGCGUGCACACCAUGAUAUUAAGUUAGAUCCAUAAAAAAUGGCAAAACCACAUGUUGACCUUCUAUCAUCCACACAACCAGCCCAGUCUGCAUAUGAGAAUGCACUAAAAAGUGUGGAAGAUGACUUGCUGAGUGUAAGACCCAAGUGCAUAGUGUUGCUUAUAUACCUGAGGAUUCGUUUUGCAGUUGUCCAGUGGGCUGUGGUAGGUGCAUGAAGAUACUGACACACCUUAUUAACUGCAAAAGAGAUAUCAGGUCGAGUAAGAGUCAAGUACUGGGGUCCACCAACUAGACUUCUGUAACCAUUGAUAUCCUCUUGAUGCAAGGGUUCUCCUUCUGUUAAGGACAAAGGUUCUGAACUAGACGGAGGUGUUGGUGAGGAUUUACAAUUCUGCAUGCCAAUUCUACUUAGUAGUUAAGAAGCAUAAUUUGCUUGGGAUAGAUGAAUACCAUUACUAUGUUUCUUGACUUCAAUACCCAAGAAAAAAUGCAGAUCUCCCAAAUCUUUGAGAGCAAACUCAGAGCCUAAAUCCUUAAGCAGUGCCGUCACAGCUUUAUCAGAAGAGCUGGUGACAAUGAUAUCAUCAACAUAUAUCAAAACAAAUAUGGAUGUUUUAUGCUUGUUAUAGAUGAAUAGGGAGGUGUCAGAUUUUGAUGGAACAAAACCAAGAGACUGGAGUUUCAUACUUAACCGUGAGUACCAUGCUCUGGGCACCUGUUUCAAAUCAUACAGGGCUUUAUCAAGUUUGCAGACAUAUGAUGGUGCACUCUUAUCCUCAAAACCAGGAGGUUGUUUCAUGUAAACUUCCUCUUCCAGAACACCAUGGAGAAACGCGUUCUGGACAUCUAGCUGUCUCAGGCUCCAUCCCUUGGACACGGCUAUUGAUAACACAAGACGGAUUGUUGCAGCUUUAACAACAGGACUAAAUGUAUCUUCAUAAUCUAUACCAUACCUUUGCUUGAAUCCCUUUGCUACAAGUCUUGCCUUGUAUCUGUCUAUGGUACCAUCAGAUUUUUUCUUGAUUCUAUAGACCCACUUACAGUCAAUCAGAUUUCUGCCUGGUCGUGGGGGCACUAGGUGCCAUGUUUUGUUCUUGCGCAAUGCCAUGAUUUCAUCUUCCAUGGCUGCCUUCCACCUCGGAUCAUCAAGUGCUGUCAUUAAACUGUUAGGCUCACCAGUUGUGCAAGACAUGCCAAUUUUUGAGAAAUUUUUGUAGUUUAAGCGAGUAGUAACUCCCUUCUGUAGCCUUGUCCGCGGCGCCACAGGGGUGGCCUCAGGUGGUUGAGCCAUAGGAGAUCCACGAUCUGCAUCAGGUGCUGGUGAAUCGGAUCCUGAGGAUGAUUCUGCCGCUCCUGCUGGCGAUAGCGAUCGAGGCGAGGCGGCGGGUCCUGGCGAGCCUGGCGCAUGCAACCAGUCGACGGUGGAGGGCCCCGAGGGAUCUGGCGCACGCCAAUCAGGCGAGUGCGGCCCAGCCGCGCGAGUAACCGCCCGACACGCGUCGUCAGGUGGUUGAUGUGGAGCGGCAAUGUCACUUUCGCGACCGUGCGCGCGUUCGAGGCGCUCGGGGCCCGAGGUGCGACCAGGUGCUGUCCACCCAGAUCCCGGAGGAGAUGUCGUCGCCUGGCGCGAGGAUUCCGAGGCAGAUCCUCCUCGGUGUGCGUCCGUGUCCCCAGCUGGGUGACACAUAAAAUCUUGGUUGUUUUGCCUCGGAUUUUCACCAUUUUCUGCAGCAGUAAUCUCAGGAAUAAUAGGAGGAUUAGAUGCAAGUUGGUUAGUACUAUUAAUCUCUCCCCAUGAUCAACGCCCGAUAAGAAAGAGGGCAGAAGUAGUAUUUCUUUGCGAAGCAAGGCGCUGGCAUUUGGGUGGAGUUUGGCAAAGGGAAAAACCGUUUCAUCAAAGACGACAUCUCGAGAGAUAUAUACACGUCCUGUAGCGACGUCAAGGCACUUGACGCCUUUGUGUUGUGCACUGUAGCCUAGAAAAACGCAUUGUGUCGAACGAAACAUAAGUUUCUUGGUGUUAUAGGGGCGGAGGUUUGGCCAACAUGCACAGCCAAACACAUGAAGGUGGGAGUAGUCGGGUUUGGUAUGAAGAAGACGUUGUGUUGGUGUUUCGUGAUUGAUAACAUGUCUGGGUAGAAUAUUUAUGAGGUGUACGGUAGUGAGAAAGGCCUCAUCCCAAAACUUUAGUGGCAUAGAUGCAGCAACAAGGAGGGAGAGGCCAACCUCAACAAUGUGCAUGUGCUUGCGCUCUGCUGACCCGUUUUGUUGAUGGGCGUGAGGACAGGAAACAUGAUGAGAGAUUCCUAUUUGUUGGAAAAAGGAGUUGAGUUUCUCGUACUCACCUCCCCAGUCAGAUUGCAUAGCAAGUAUCUUGCAGUCAAAUUGGCGUUCUACAAGAGCCUGAAAAUUAAGGAAGACUUGGAAAACGUCGGAGCGUUUUUUAAGAAGGUAUAUCCAGGUAUAUUUGCUAAAAUCAUCAAUGAAGCUUACAUAAUAGGUGUGGCGGCCAACAGAGGAGGGGGCCGGUCCCCAAACAUCUGAAAACACAAGUUGGAAAGGUUUUGUAGACACACUGGUGGAUACAGGGUAUGGUAACUGGUGGCUUUUUGCUCUUUGGCAAGAGUCACAAACAGUUUCAUGAUCAUGCUCAUCAACAAAUGCGAGCUUAUUUUUGCUAAGAAUCUGAUAGACAAUGGAAAAAGAUGGGUGGCCUAAACGAUUAUGCCAUCGUUCUGAAGACACUUUGAAGACUCCAUAGGCUUGCUUAUUGAACUUGGAAAUUGUGGGAAUCAAUGGGUAGAGGCCUUGCACACAUCUACCGCGAUAAAGCACCCUCCUCGUGACCUGAUCCUUGAUCAAAAAGAAAAAGGGGUGAAACUCUAUGAAGACACCAUUAUCAAGAGUAAUGCGAUGUACUGACAGAAGGUUUUUGGAUGCAUUUGGAAUGUGAAGGACAUCAUCUACAAGAAUAUCACGAUGUGGGGUUUGAAUAAUAGACUCUCCAACAUGACUAAUCGUCAUACCUGGACCGCUGGCAGCAGUUUGAACUUGAUCUUGGCCGUGAUACUUAUCGUGCAUGGUCAUCUUCUCGAGUUCAGAGGUGAUGUUCUCAUUCGAGCCGGAGUCAAGAUACCAAUUGGAAUCAACUCCGUAGGAGGCAUCUGCUGCGGCUGCAACACGCCUUUUUCUCGAAUUGUCCUCUGCAUAGCGCCACUUACAUUCUUUUGCAACAUGGUUAGUUUUCUUGCAAAUCUGGCAUUUGUUUUCAUACUCCUCAUACCCGGCGAAACGGCCCCCUUGGUUGUUGUUGUAGUAGUGGUGCGGAGGGCCAUUGUUGUUGUAGUAGCCCCCUCCACCACGGCCACGAUGACCACUGCCUUGGCCACCGCCAGAGUAGCCGCUGCCGCCGGUGCUGUGGUUGUUAUAGCCACCACCGCCAUGGUUAUAGCCGCCGCUACCCGAGCCAGGGUAGCCGCUGGUAGGGUUUUGGCCGCCACCGCCAGAGUAGCCGCCGCCGCGACCACCUUGCUUCUGGUUGCGGUAGCCGCCUCUGCCACCACCCGAUCGACCCCUGGCGGCGGUUUUUGCUGAUGACUUGAAGCCACCAGCGCUGCUGAACAUCUCAGCGCGUUGAUCGAAGUUUGCCACCAUGGAGAAGAGGGCGUCGACGGUGAUGGGUUCGGUGCGGACGUCGAGUGCAUAGAUGAUGGGCUGAUACUCCAUAUCAAGCCCGACGACGAUGAAGGAGAUGAGUUCAUCUUCCCCGAUUGGUUUGCCUGCCGCCGCAAGCUCAUCGGAGAGGGCACGCAUCUGCUCGAAGAAGGUAGAGGCCGACUGUGUUCCCUUCUGGGUGUUCGUGAGGGUCGAUCUAAUGUUGUUGACAUGAGACAAAGAGACCACAGAAAACAUAUUUGCUAGCGCGGUCCAAAUUGCAUAUGAUGAUUCAAGCGAGGCUACUUGAACAAGGACUUCCUUGGACAGGUUUCGGAGAAGAUAUGCUAUGAUUUGCUGAUCUUGAAUUAGCCAGGGAUUAUGAGCAGGGUUGGGAACUACGUGUUCUUUGCCAUCUUUAUCUUUGCUGAUGACUGUUUUUGGAGGCUCCUCUAUAGUUCGAUCGAUGUAGCCAAACAAGCCGGCGCCCAAUAUCUGGGAUCGCGCUUGGGCUCGCCAGAGAACAUAGUUUGUCCGGCUAAGGGGUUUUGAGGUGUUGUAGUUGAGGCCAGAGGAGGGGAGUGCGGAGGAGGAGGACAUAGUUGCGGCGUGGUGGGUUUGGGAGGAAAGCAGAUAGAGGAAGAUGAGCUAGAUGUCGUGGAAGAGGCCCGCUCUGAUACCAUGUGGAAAUUGUGGAAGCGUCUCAAUCUCCAUACAUGGAGACCCACGGUAUAUAUAUUGAUUAGAGGGGAUCGGUUACAUAGAGAUAGCAGCGUCGAGGCUAACUACCAGGAGGUAUUACACGAGGGUUUUAGGAGAUAGAAAGAUAAACAUAAACAGAGAUAAUCUCCUAACUACCAACCUAUACAUAGAUAUUUAACAGAAUAAACUCAUGGGGAGGGCAACGGACCGGACCGCUCGCGCCUACAUUUACAUUCUGCUCCCUCCGUUUUUAAAUAUAAAUCCUUUCGGCCCUGCUCGGUUAAUCCCACCGAAGAGGGGAUUGAAGAGGAUUGAAAGAGAUUGAGGUGGAAUUUGACUUGUAGGGGAUUUAAUCCCUUCCUAUCCUCUCCAAACCCCUCUAAUUCUGAAGGAACCGAACAAAGCCUUCAGAGAUUUUAUUAAAAGGCUACAUACGGAGUAAAAUAAAUGACACUCUAAAGUAUGUCUAUAUAUGUAGUCUCUUAAUGAAAUCGCUAAAAGAGCUUAUAUUUGAAAACCAAGAACGGAGCGAAGAUUCGAGCAUAGGAGGAGGGGCGAAGAUAAUAAUAACCGUGCACUGUCUACUAAUGCCACAAUAUUGUAUUUGGAGUUUGCAUAAGAACUAAAAUGACAUCGGGGCCAGCUCCCUUUGUCAAAUUACAUUUUCAUUUUCCAAAGUUAGGUGGCACUUCAUUAUUAUUUCAUCUUCAUUAUUGACAAACAUCCAAAGUAGACAAACUAGACUUUCAAAUAAAUGUUUUAGCUUUUGCUUUGUGCGACUCUAAGGUUGUAUACAAGCCCUGUCAAAAAUCUGUAUCUAAUAGUUUGCAUCUAUCUAACUAGUAUUUAAUUUUAACAGAUAACAAAAAUACUAAACAAUAAUUUGUACUGAUCUAAUAGUAGUAUCAAUAUAUACAAUGAUAUGUAAUGAUAUACCUUCGUCUAGGGUUGAAUCUUACGAGUCGCACCGCCAAGUUCUGGAUUCCGAGUAACUAUGCAUCCAAUGCGUGGAAGGGUGGUUUUGUCAAGACCAAAACAACGACGCUUGGUCUAUCCAAAGCUGACGGCGAAAACGGCGACGUGACUCGGUGUGCAGCAAUGGUGUUUUUGUCAAGAGCAAAACGACGAUGCUUGGUCUAUCCAAAGCUGACAGCGAAAACGGUGACGACAGUGGCGACGACGACAACAGUGGCGGCGGCAGCGACGGUGGCUAGCUAUGCCCUAGAUCGACCGUGACAAUCAAGUCUAAUCGGGAGUCGCUGUAUGUCGUAUGCAAAUGAAUGGAUCGCGUAUACAUUCUCUCCUAGCUGACCAUCGUGGGCUAUAUCUUAUUGGGCUUGGUUGCAUCCAUAUUUGCUACGAUGCCUGGUGUGAUAGUCCGUAAUUAACAGGUGCUUUAGUAGCUAAAAACGCCGGUGCUCUACAUUGUGCAAUGCUAGCCCCCUCUCGAAUGUGUUGGGGGUGGCCCAUCCAUAAGGGGGGGUCUGCCCCCGCUCGCCCCCACUAGCUCCGUCCCUAUUAGAAACAGAGGGAGUAGUAGUCUAGAGUUAAGUUGAACCGGUUUUCUAGGCCUUGAAAAACUUCAAUGAUUCGUACGAUUGCCCAUUUUUUAGGGGUUCUAACUGUCGGCCUACAUAUAUGCUAUUUGUGCCGUGUUUAUUUAAAAAACAUGUUCCAUUCCUUUAAAAUGAGGAGUCUUUAUAAAAAAAGUAUGGACUAAAAUCAUCUGAAAUUUUAGUUUUUAUUAACACAAAGAAGCCCUAAAAAAAAGGAGCCGUGUAAUUGAAGACCCAUAAAAAAUUGAAAUGUCAUCUCAUGUGUUGUGAAUUUGACAACUCUACUCUCCUAUUAAAGGUGGUUGCUAUUGGUGUGCUAUGAUGGGGUAUUGAAGAUAACAGCUCGUUUGGCUCCCGCCAUUUGGGCCAAAAUCUACGGAUUUCAUUUCGGAAUUCCAACCCUAACUUGCUUGGCUGUCGCGGAAUUGACCCACGGAAUUCAUUUGUCAAAUCCAAUGAAUUAGUAUCGUACCUAGACCGAAAUCCCUCCCCAGACCCUAUCAUUUGCGUGGAUUUGACGCAGCUCUCUCUCCUCCGCCACGGUCGCCCGCCCUGCUUCCCGGCCCUGCUCCCUCUCCUCCGCCAGUGUCGCCCUGCCCUGCCCUGCUCCCUCUCCUCCGCCACGGUCGCCCCGCCCCAAUUCCUCUCCUCCGCCAAGGUCGCCCCACCCCGCUUCCUCUCCUCCGCCAAGGUCACCUUGUCUUGCUCCCUCUCCUCUGCCCAAGUCCUCUCCACCGGCAAGGUCCCUCUCGCCGUCGGUAAGGCUUCUCCUCUCCCUCUUUUCACACUACCUUUUAUUGCAUCUCACAGCCCUAACAAGAUCACUCGAUCGACAGCAGUAGGACGACGUCCUCGUUAAUCCACUCUCAUGCACUUCAAUCUUUUACGAGAUCCAUUGGCAUUUCAAUCUAGAAAUCCUCGUGGUAGCCAAACAUGAUUUUUGGAUCAAAAUUUUCAUCCCAACCAAAUGAAUUCCUCGUGAAGAUUUCAUUUCACUUCAUUUCUACCAAAUAAAAUGAAAUGAGGGGUGCCAAAGGAGCUAUAAACGAAUUCAAGGUUUUUUCUCACUAGUUUCGCCACCUUUUUUUGCGAUGGAGUUUCUUAGUUUCACUAGCAAGAGACUGGAUCUGUCAACGUCAACAUUGUGAUAUGGUCAAAAUGGGGGUGGAUGCUCUAUGCUUUUUCUGUGACGCGAAUAACAAGCGGAGCUCUAUACGCAUUUUUGAAGCAUAUAGAAGGUUGAUUUGAAGGAGAUGUCUGUACGGAAGGUGCAUAGACAGCAUCCAGUAGGGGGGUACUGCCCGUAUCUAGCUCUAUAGUAUGCAAACGUAGACAACUCACCUAACGGAAUGGUUUGUAAGGGUCUACCGGCAUAGCUGGUCCGUGCAAUCAAGUGGUCAUGGAACACAAAUGGCCUUCGCAAGGACAUCCGCACGGCCGCUUUGAGCAUCUACAACUACAAUCACGAUCGACUAACUUGUGGCCUUAUAUCUCAGCGUUCGUGGACAGUGAUCGAAAACCUUUCAUUUCCCGUUCGUAAUAAUCCUAUCCCCAUGUCAGAAAACGACAUUUUGGCUCUGGCGAGGGUGCGCUCCGACGUGAAUAGUAAAUACAGAAAAUACAGUACUCCAUCCGUCUUAAAAUAGGUGACUUAAAAAUUACUCAACUUUCUACUAAAGUUAAUGCAAAUUUGAGUCACUUUUAAAUCAUUUAUUUUACGAUGAAGGGAGUAUUUAAAAAAAAAAAUCUUUUGUAGAUAAUAGUUUGGUGUCGUAAACAUUGUUGAAAAUUUCUUGCGAAACGGAGCAACAUUGUUUCAACGGUAAAAAUCAAAUCUAGGAUGACAUUUAAGGGUAACAUUUGGUGUUUUUAAUAUGGGAAAUAAUCUCAAUCAGCCGGCUGAUUUUUUCGUUGCUUCCGCCUCCUUUUAUGGAUGACGCGUGUCUAAAUUGACCUACACACCGCUUCCACGUGUUGCCUUAUAUUCUCAUUAGACUACUCUCCUCCACAUCUUUUCUUCUUAUAUCUUCUUCCUUCGAGCCAUCCAGCCUCAUCCAUCACACACCGGCCAUGGCCCUCAACAGCAAGCGCUUCAUAGAAAUAGGAUACGAGCUCGCCGGACAACGCGACUGACAACGGGAUUGAUGGUGCUCAAGACGAGAUCUCGGAGACGGAGGUAGGAUACGAGCUCGCCGGACGACGCGACCGGCGACGGGGAUUGGCGGCGCUCGGGACGAGACCUCGGAGGUGGAUGGCCUUCUGGUUGGCGGCGACGAUGGCGAUGCUCUCUACAACGACGGAGGUGUUUCUGUAUCAUCAUUUUUAUUGUAAUAUUUUCUGCAACAUCAUCUGUGUUGCAAAAGUUUAUUCUGCAACAAUACCCCGUGUUGCAGAAAAGUGAAGACAAUUUUUUUUACAACCUCAUCUUUCUUUAAAAACGGGGGGGCUGCAAUAUGCUCUUUGUUACAAAAGUUUUUCUACGACCUCAUCUAUGGUGAAAGUUAUUCUGCAACAAAGGCUUGUUUCUGCGAUUCGCGUUGUUUCAGGAAUUAAUGAGUCCAAAAUUAUUCUGCAACAAAGCGUUUGUUUCUGAAACUUGACCGUUGUUUCGGGAAUUAAUGAUUCGGAGGAGGCGACCGUGCCACAUGCCAGGAGGUAGAUUGGACGGCUGCGCGCGUACAUCCGACGGCUCUCAAGGUGGCGGAUGUUUCUUGCGGAUCAACCGAUGAACGCGUAGCAGUGCCCACUUUUAAUAUACUUUAUUAAUACUCUUUUCAUACAAAUCUGUAUGUAGCAUUUGAAUAUGACAAAAAGCAGACAUAUUUUUUUUGGAUAUUUAAUAUUAAAAAAAACGUGCACAGAAGCCUUACCGACGGUUGUGGCUGGGUGGAGGGUUGUGGCUGGGACCUUGCCGGUGGAGAGGAUUUCCACGUCACCGAGCCCUUUACUUGUGCGCGAGGGUUGUGGCUGGGUCCGUGGGUAGGCGUAAUGUUUUUUUUUUGAGAAAAGCGAUUUGUUUCUCAAAAAAAGAAGUUUACUUUUUGCUUUAUGCGACACGAAAGGGUCGCGUCGGAAGCAUUGGGUCGGCCCACUAUGAAGCGCGCACACGAUCCUGCAAUCUACAUGUUGCACCACGACAAUGCUAACCAAUGCACUGAGUUCACGUUCUUGUAUGAUAGGUACUGCGCGGCUUAUUAGAAGGGAAGGAGCCUGUUUUAUUUCUUUAUUUCUUUGGUUUCUUGUUUCUUCUCUGGUUUUCAUUUUUUUCUCCGGCUUUUUUUAUUUCUUUAUUUCUNUUUUGUUUCUUUAUGUUUUUCAUUCUACAUUCUAAUAUACAUGAUCAGCAUUUUUUCAAAUGUUUUAUUAACAUUUUUUAAAUGUGUGUUCAACAUUUUUUCAAAUGCUUGUUCAACCUUUUCAAAUAAUUGUUCAACAUUUUAUAUAUACAUGAUCAAUAAUUUUUCAAAUACUUGUUCAACAUUUUUAUAUACAUGAUUAAUAUUUUUUCAAAUAUUUGUUCAACAUUUUUAAAAUACCUGUACAAAAUGUUCAUAUAUUUUUUCAACGUUUCUUAUAUACUUUGUUUAAUAUUUGUCUUCCAAACUUGAUUAACAUUUUGUAUACAUGAUCAACAUUUUUUUAUACAUGAUCAACAUUUUUUUAUAUAUUUCUUCAGCAGUUUUCAAAUACUUGGUCAACAUUUUUGAAAUAAUGAUUUAACAUUUUUAUGAUGUUAAAAUAUAGUGUUUUGUUUACAAUAUAUACAUAUAAUACAUUUGGAAUAUAUUUGAAGGUAUAAACAAAAGCAAAAAAAAAUGCAAAAAAUGUAAAAAAAUGAAAAAGGAGGAUGUGGCCUCCCGUGCUGGUGGGCCGGCCCAUCAUGUCCCCCUUUUCCCUCCCCUCUUGCUGAAGGCGAGAAAUAGGGGUGCUCGUGGAUAGGCAGGGCUGCUGCUGCUUAUGCUUCGCGGUGGGGUUUGUGCGGCCUGGCUCGUUGUCGUUGGUCCAUCGUAGAUUACGGGCCUUUUUGGGACUUCUGUGUUUCAUCAAAAUCAACUCUGCUCCACUGAAUUCACUUUGAAACAGUUUCAUAAAGGAGUUGUAACUUUUUCAAAGAGAAUGUUUGGCUUUCAUGUAGCUCUAGCUUCAGAAAUGAAAAAUUUGAUGAAAAUGAUCUACUUCCUCCGUCCAAAAAUUUUGGACUUAGAUUUGUUUAUACUCCCUCUGUUCCUAAAUCUAAGAUCUUUUAGAGAUUGCACUAUAAACUAUAUACGGAUGUACAUAGACAUAUUUUAGAGUAUAUAUUCACUCAUUUUGCUCCUCAUUUUGCUCCGUAUUUAGUCUUUUAGUGGAAUCUCUAAAAGGUCUUAUAUUUUGAAACGGAGGGAGUAUAUGAAUGUAUAUAAUCACGUCUUAGUAUCAGGUACAUCCGUAUCUAGAAAAUCAAAGAUAAGAAUUUUGAGAUGGAUGUAAUAUUUGAUUGGAUUGAAUGGGAGAAAUGAAGGGAUAUCCAUUUACUGGUGGCAAUGAUGGGUAAUUUUCUUUUAACUCUGGCUUCUACAAUUUUAUGAACCACCUGCUAAAGAGCUUCAUAAAAAACAAGAAAGAAGUUACAUCCCAGAUUCUAGUUUUUUGCGAAGCGAUAUACCAUGGAGCUACCCUGUUUGGCUUGCAUCUUAUAGAAUGGAACAGAUUUUUUCUAAAGCAGAGCAGUCCCAAACAGACCCUACAUCCAGACCUCCCUUUGCCGAUCUUCUCUGUGAGGCAGCGCGCUACUGUGCUCAUUAGUAGCUUGACAGACACUGACACGCUGUUGAGCUGCUUGAUUUGUUCCUUCAGCAAGGGAGUGGAAUUUAAACGGAGUUAGUGCAAUAAAUUCAGGGAUCGAGUUGACGGCGUCACAUAGCAAUGAAAAUGCCAGAGUUCUUCAAUUCAUUUUCAUUUACAACAAGGACGAAAAGAGUCUCAACUGCCAUUGAAGCUCAUAGGUCAAACUGUGAUGUCUCAAACAAGAUGGCCUUAUGCCACAAUCCACAGAGAGCUGUUAUGCCAGAACAUGCAUGCAGAUAAAUUACAGGCCAAUCCGACAAUCUGUAUUCUUCACCCAGAAUCAAACCCUUUCAGACGUCCUUCAUAUCCACAUCUACUUCAUCCUCUGGGUUAGCAGGUGGUGCUGGGAAAACCUCGUCUACAAGAGCCACAAGCUCAUUGGCACGGUCCUCUUCAUCCUGCGGCAUUCCUCGCUCAUCCUUGCAAAAUCUUUUCCCACACUCCUCUACCAUCUGCAACAGAGAACGGACCAAAUCAGAUUAACAAGGUCUUAACCUAAAACCUCAAGAUGAUGGAGGUGAGCCAACAAAACAGAUUGCGGUGGUACUUGUUUGCGAGCAGAUGACUACAAGACCCAACGAUUCUCUCAAAGUCUCUGGACAAAAAAAUCAAUUUCGUUCUGUGAUAGCAUAGUGUUUCACUAUAGAGGGAUCAAUGAGGGGCAUACGGUUUUGCAUGCACAUCUAUACAUGUGAAAGUAGGAGCGCACCCAUACCCCAGAGAACACAGCUCAUCUAUAUUCUAUACUAGUUUAAUUCAUCAAGGAAAGGUAAAAAAUGACCUACAGAUGCCAGAAUCCAUACAUAAGUAAUAAACAUCCAUAGUAAGGAUAACUUAAAUCUCUUAUUGAUAAAUAAAGUACAUAUGUAAGCACACAUUUCUGAAAGAUGCAUCAUCGCUAUCAAAAUAUAUUUGCAUCACUAUUUCAGAAAAUCAAUCAAAGCUGGCCAAUAAAGCCGGGCAACGUUCAGUGUUGAGUUUAACCUCUCAUCGUGAUGAGGGAUAAGAAAACUAAACACAAAAACAAAAGACACUUCUAUUUCAAGAUGUCACAAAUGGUCCAGGGUAUCACUAUAUUAUAUCUACAUGUCUUGGUUUGUAUCAGCUACCGCAGAUAGCAUGCUACCAGGCAUCUUAAGAUCAGCAAAAUAAACAUGGCAAUACCGCAUAAACAUCAGCUGCUGAGGCUGGCCUCCAAUUGAUAAUGUUUUGCUUGUCAGCGUCAGUAAGCUUGAAGCCCUCACAUCUGUUUGCAAAUUCAGUAACUGAUUCCCUUGUCUGGUUGCAAGCAGGAGUUUUUAGGAGGUACUCAUAUACCUGUUUGUCGCACCAAUAAACAUGAGAUCAAUUUUAAGCAUAAAAAAGGGACACGGGUCAACAGGUUACCGAGAAUACACAUUGGGUCAAGCAUCAGAGAAACAAAUGACUACCUUACACUCUGAUGCAGCAACAGCCCCCAAACAUCCCAUGGGAUCAAUUUUUGCACCUCUAGUCCGUAAGAAGUCGAGAACUUCGAAGUUGGUGAGAUGUCCUGCAUUUGCUUUCUCUCUGCAGAACAGUAAAGAGCUUUGGAUAUUCAGAACUUCAGAUUAGAAAGACAGCUGAUAGGCAAUGAAGAUUCAGCUUUUAAUAUUCAGCAUCUAGCUAUAAAGUUUGAGACAUAACUGUGACUCAACACUAACGCAAAACAAAAUUAGGUUAGGACAACAUGUCAGCCUCAACAGUUUAUCUGCAUAAUUUCCCAAUCAAACCAACUAACUCCUUGCCGAUAGGAUCUUCGCCCAGGGACCAUUAUUCACUAAACUAAGUUUUGCAAGGAAUUGCACAAUAGAGAGGGUAGUGUACAGCUACAAUAUAGUCAUGGCACACAAAACAUAAACAACAAAUGAGUACGGACAUCUUCAUCGUUGCCGCUGCCGUGCACGGGAGCAAAGUAGAUAGAUCGACGCAGUAUUUGGGCUGGACUGGACCGGGGCGGCGCGAAUUCGACCGACGAGUGUCUCGUUCUGUGUAAUCAGGGGGAGCGGCGACCUGAUUAUGCACCGAGCGAGGAUUGGAGAUGCGGGAGCGGGAGCGGCGGCGGCGGCAACGAUNGUAUUGCGAGCCGGAGCUGAAGGGUGGCGCCGGGUUGUGCGAACGAAAGAGGGCUGGACUAGGUUAGCAAUUACCUGGCCAUCUGGGCCGCCCGGCAGGCCCCAGCCCAUGACUUAAAUGUACCCGGCCCAAAGAGAAGGCUCUAGCGGUUACCUUGCCGUGAGCUAGCGAACACUCCUUCUUAAGCCUCUCAACGAUUACUUCCAUGUGCCACUACUUGACAUGUUCUCAUCCGCCGCCAUAUGUCACACUCUAAAAGUUUGCACCGGAUUUUGUUUUUUAUUUUAUUUUUUUCGCAUGCAUUUUCGACCAUUCGAAUUGUUUUUCUGACUUUUUUGAUGUUUUGAUUUUUCAUCGGUCUUUCUUAGCUUUUGAUAAAAAAAUAAAAAAUUACGCAUGCAAAAAUGUGUUUCUAUUUUAUUUUACUAUGAGAGGCAUAAUUUUGCUUUCGCGAGCGUGCCUUUCAAAAACAAAAAAAAACGCAUUUUUGUUUUUUUAUUGUGAGAGACAUGGUUUUCCUUUCCUCACACGCAUGGUUUGCUUCCGCGAGAGGCAUGACCGUGCCUCUCGGAAACGAUAAAACGCACUUUUUCACGAGAGGUAUGGUUUUUCUUUCGCGAGAGGCACAUCUCUGCUUUCGCGCGAGGCACAGUCGUGCUUCUUAAAAACGAAAAAAUAGGUUCCCUGCUGUUUUUUAAGGCACGAUUUUGCUUCUGUUAGAGGCACGGUUUUGCCUUUGUGAGAGGCACGACCGUGCAUCUCGGAAACGGAAAAAACAUGCUAUUUAUUUAGUUUUUUUCCUAUCGGGAGAGGCACGAUUUUUUCGUCCGGUUAUUUUCGUGAAAAAAAAGUUUGUCAAAACCUAUCAACAUGGGAUCUAGUUUUGAAGAUCUCGACGCGAGAAACUCAAUGGUGAAAAAUGGUUUGAGAUUGAAAUGCACGGUUUAAGAGAUAAACUUUUUGAAAAUACAGAUCUAUGAUAAAAGGAAAAAACUUUCAGGUUACGACAAGUGUCACACAUGCAGUGCGUCACUUGUCGCAACGUGAGGUGGUGUGAGUGAUCCUUGAAAGGAAUACUCCUCAAUUAGUAAUUUUGGACUUUGCCCUUAUUCUAAAAAAUAUUAAAAAAACUUGGUUUUGCUCGGGCGGAUCCUAUUUGAUGCUUAAGCGUUCGUUCGCAAACGGGCGUGUUAAGGAUGUUGUGGUAUUUCCGCGGCAGAUGUCACGGGGUGGCUUAGAUCGUGGUUUGGGCCCGACGGGCGUCGGCGACGUCUGGGAACAGGUGUAGGCGCAAGAUACAUGACACUGAUCUACCCAGGUUCAGGGCCCUCCGAUGAGGUAAACCCCUAGUCCUACCUAUGCGACUAUAUGAGAUCGCAGUACAAAUGGUGCUUCUGGAGUUGUCCGCGAGGAGGGAGACAAAGCUCUUGCUACAGGCCCCACUGCCUCGGUGGUGUGUGUGUUUCUAGGGUCUAAGGGUUCGCUAGUUGCUUCUAGCGUGCCCCCCUCUCUGGGGGGUGAGAUGAGGUUUUAUAGUGUAGCCUGAGAUGUACAGUGGUGGGAGAAAGUAGGAGGCGGGACCUGACUGCCAGCCUCUCCGGCUGGCCGUGGGGCUUGCUGGCUCUCAGGUCUUGUUCGCCAGAGGGCCCAUCGGUCGUGCGUCUCAGCGGCUAACGCGUCGAUCGUUAGGGAGUAGGUAGGGGUGAGCAUGGCUACAUGGCUGCCUCGCCUGGUCAGCCUCAGGGGCGACGGGGGAUCCUCUAGCCUCGCUAACUCUUGCACCAUUGAGCCCGUGGCCACACCAAGCUCGUCAUCGUGCAAUGUGUCCAUGAGCGCCUCUACAUCAUGCGUCGGGUCUCAUCACCGUACGUGGGUACGGUCGGAUGGGAUGGGAGCUGACCAACCAGCUCGCGUCGGGCCAGCUUGCCAGGCCGAAUGCUUCCAAUCGACGUGUUGUGCAUAGACCACACGGGCCGGCUGCCCCAGCCGACCCGGGGGGGGGAGUCGGCCAAUGUCUUGGAGUUGGGUUCCCUCUGCUUGGGUAUACCCAACGGGUGUAUCCCCAUCAUUGGCCCCCAAAAUCGUUGGUGUCCGGAGGCCUCCGGACGAGGGGGGCCAACGUUUUCCCCCGCGCCCGAAGUUGUUGUUGGAGUCAAUGCGCCCGCCGGAGCCGGCGAGCGGGAGCACGUGUCCGUUAGCCGACUAGGGCAGCAGUCGGCCGCAGCCCAGCCAGCCGUCGGGGCGCUUCGGGCCCCGCGGCGACACUUCGGGCUCAACGCCGGCUGGGGCGUGCCACAUGUGAACUGGUGGUGGAUGGCGGGCCCCUGAUACGUCUCCGUCGUAUCUACUUUUUGUUGUAAAUAUGCCCUAGAGGCAAUAAUAAAUUAGUUAUUAUUGUAUUUCUUAGUUCAUGAUAAUUGUUUAUUAUCCAUGCUAUAAUUGUAUUGAUUGGAAACACAAUACUUGUGUGGAUACAUAGACAAAACACUGUCCCUAGUAAGCCUCUAGUUGACUAGCUCGUUGAUCAAAGAUGGUCAAGGUUUCCUGGUCAUAGGCAAGUGUUGUCACUUGAUAACGGGAUCACAUCAUUAGGAGAAUCAUGUGAUGGACUAGACCCAAACUAAUAGACGUAGCAUGUUGAUCGUGUCAUUUUGUUGCUACUGUUUUCUGCGUGUCAAGUAUUUGUUCCUAUGACCAUGAGAUCAUAUAACUCACGGACACCGGAGGAAUGCUUUGUGUGUAUCAAACGUCGCAACGUAACUGGGUGACUAUAAAGAUGCACUACAGGUAUCUCCGAAGGUGUUCGUUGAGUUAGUAUGGAUCAAGACUGAGAUUUGUCACUCCGUGUGACGGAGAGGUAUCUCGGGGCCCACUCGGUAAUACAACAUCACACACAAGCCUUGCAAGCAAUGUGACUUAGUGUAAGUUGCGGGAUCUUGUAUUACGGAACGAGUAAAGAGACUUGCCGGUAAACGAGAUUGAAAUAGGUAUACGGAUACUGACGAUCGAAUCUCGGGCAAGUAACAUACCGAAGGACAAAGGGAAUGACAUACGGGAUUAUAUGAAUCCUUGGCACUGAGGUUCAAACGAUAAGAUCUUCGUAGAAUAUGUAGGAUCCAAUAUGGGCAUCCAGGUCCCGCUAUUGGAUAUUGACCGAGGAGUCUCUCGGGUCAUGUCUACAUAGUUCUCGAACCCGCAGGGUCUGCACACUUAGGGUUCGACGUUGUUUUAUGUGUAUUUGAGUUAUAUGGUUGGUUACCGAAUGUUGUUCGGAGUCCCGGAUGAGAGCAGAGACGUCACGAGGGUUUCCAGAAUGGUCCGGAAACGAAAAUUGAUAUAUAGGAUGACCUCAUUUGAUUACCGGAAGGUUUUCGGAGUUACCGGGAAUGUACCGGGAAUGACGAAUGGGUUCCGGGAGUUCACCGGGGGGGGGCACCCACCCCGGGGAAGCCCAUAGGUAUUGGGGGUGCCGCACCAGCCCUUAGUGGGCUGGUGGGACAUCCCAAAAGGGGCCUAUGCGCAUUAGGAGAAAAAUAAAAGAGAAAAGGAAAAAAAAGGAGGAGGUGGGAAAGGGAAGAAGGACUCCACCUUCCAAACCAAGUAGGACUCGGUUUGGGAGGGGAGACCUUCCCCCCUUGGCUUGGCCGACCCCUUGGGGGUUCCCCCUCUCCCUCCUAUAUAUAGUGGGGUUUUAGGGCUGAUUUGAGACAACUUUUGCCACGGCAGCCCGACCACAUAUCUCCACGGUUUUACCUCUAGAUCGCGUUUCUACGGAGCUCGGGCGGAGCCCUACUGAGACAAGAUCAUCACCAACCUUCGGAGUGCCGUCAUGCUGCCGGAGAACUCUUCUACCUCUCGUCUCUCUUGCUGGAUCAAGAAGGCCGAGAUCAUCGUCGAGUUGUACGUGUGCUGAACGCGGAGGUGCCGUCCGUUCGGCACUAGAUCGUGGGACUGAUCGCGGGAUAGUUCGCGGGGCGGAUCGAGGGACGUGAGGACGUUCCACUACAUCAACCGCGUUCACUAACGCUUCUGCUGUACGGUCUACAAGGGUACGUAGAUCACACAUCCCCUCUCGUAGAUGGACAUCACCAUGAUAGGUCUUCGUGCGCAUAGGAAAUUUUUUGUUUCCCAUGCGACGUUCCCCAACACUUUUCCAAACUCUUUUGCCCUUGUUUUGGACUCUAAUUUGCAUGAUUUGAAUGGAACUAACCUGGACGAACGCUGUUUUCAGCAGAAUUGCCUUGGUGUUAUUUUUGUGCAGGAAUCAAAGUUCUCCAAACGUCCUGAAAAUCUACGGGGAGCAGUUUUGGAAAAUAUAAAAAAUAUCUGCGCCAAGUUCCACCUGAGGGGGUGGGCCAGUGGGCCACAAGCCCUGGCUCCGCCACCACCCCCCUGGUGGCGGUGGGCAGGCUUGUGGGGCCCACACGGCUCUGCCGCCCCCAACCUCAGGUCUAUAAGUUCACUUUCGUCCCAGAAAAAAUAAAAAGAGAAGUUUUUGCCGCGUUUGCGAUACGGAGCCGCCGCCACCAUCUGUUCUUCAUCUGGAGGGCAGAUCUGGAGUCCGUCUAGGGCUCCAGAGAGGGGAAAUCGUCGCCAUCGUCAUCAUCAACCUUCUUCCCUCUCCAAUUCCAUGAAGCUCUUCAUCGUUCGUGAGUAAUCUAUUCGUAGGCUCGCUUGGCGGUGAUGAGUAGGAUGAGAUCUAUCAUGUAAUCGAGUUAGUUUUGAUGGGGAUUGAUCCCUAGUAUCCACUAUGUUCCCAGAUUGAUGUUGCUACUACUUUGCCAUGCUUAAUGCUUGUCACUAGGGCCCGAGUGCCAUGAUUUCAGAUCUGAAAUUAUUAUGUUGUCACCAAUAUAUGUGUGUUUUACAUCCGAUCUUGCAAAUUGUAGUUACCUACUAUGUGUUAUGAUCCGGCAACCCCGGAGUGACAAUAACCGGAACCACUCCCGGUGAUAACCAUAGUUUGAGGAGUUCAUGUGUUCACCAAGUGCUAAUGCGUUGGUCCGGUUCUUUAUUAAAAGGAGAACCUUAAUAUCCCGUAGUUUCCUUUUGGACCCCGCUGCCACGGGAGCGAUGGACAAUAGAUGUCAUGCAAGUUCUUUUCCCUAAGCACGUAUGACGACACACGGAAUGCAUGCCUACAUCACAUUGAUGAACGGGAGCUAGCCACAUAUCUCUCCGUGUUAUAAGUGUUGCAUGAUGAAUAUCAUCCAAAGAAAUCACCGACCCAUUGCCUACGAGUUUGUCCUACUGCUCAUACUUGUCUUGCUCUGCUGCUGCUACUACUGUUGCUACUGCUGAUACUUGUCUUGCUCUGCUGCUGCUACUACUAUUGCUACUGCUGAUACUUGUCUUGCUCCGCUGUUACUACCGCUGUUCCUUGCCACUGCCGUUACUCGCUACUUUGCUGUUACUACUUUGCUUGCAGAUACUAAUCUUUCAGGUGUGGUUGAACCUGAUAAAUUCAGCUGCUAAUACUUGAGAGUAUUCUCUCACCUCCCGUCGUGCGAAUCAACAAAUUUGGGUCGAAUACUCUACCCUUGAAAACUGCUACGAUCCCACGCGCUCGUGGGCGUCAACAACAUUCUUCUAAUUUCUAUUGCCGGAGAGUGCUAACAACAUUCUUCUGGUGCCGUUGCAAAGGGGAAGAACAGUUGACAUCAAGCAUUUUUUUGGUGCCGUUGCCGGGGAGGUAUUGCUAUAUUCUCUGAGUCACUUGGGAUUUAUAUCUGCUGAUCACUAUGAAGAAUCUGAAGGAUCCGAAGACCAAAGUAUUGCCCUCAACUACGAGGGGAGGUAAGGAAUUGUCAUCUAGCUCUGCACUUGAUUCACCUUCAGUUAUGAGUAAGUUUGCGACAUCACCUCAUGCUAGAAAUCUUGAUAUGUCGCAUGUGCUUGAUGAUGCUUAUGAUGCUACUGCUAGAGAUGCUAUGCUUGAUACUAUGCCUGAUGAUACUAUGCUUGAUACUAUGCGUGAUACUGCUAGAGAUGCUAUGCUUGAUACUGCUAGAGAUGCUAUGCUUGAUACUGCUUUGCCUGAUGAUGCUAGAGAUGCUAUUUUUCCUGAUGAUGCUAUGCUUGAUACUGCUAGAGAUACUACCUUGCCUGAUGUUCCACUAGGGGUAUUCCUUGAUGCUCAUAUUGCUAGAGUUACUGCCAAUGCUCGUGAUGCUUCUGAUACUGCUGAUACUAUUGAGAUAGAACCUGCUUUUGCUCCUGCUAGAUCUAGCUCUCCUAGAUAUGAAUUGCUUGAUAUACCUGAGGGUUACGUUAUGGAGGGAGAGAUAGCUGAGGAUUUUCUUGCGUGUAAGGAUGCCUAUGACGCUGAGAAAUUACUUCUCAAGUGGAAGGAAAAAUCUCGGGAAGCUAAGAUGAAAUAUGACCCAAAGUUUUCCACUUCACCUAUCUUUAUCACCGAUAAGGAUUAUGAAUUCUCUGUCGAUCCUGAGAUAAUCUCUCUAGUCGAAUCUGAUCCUUUUCACGGUUAUGAGUCUGAGACGGUCGUAGCCCAUCUUGCCAAACUACACGAUAUAGCCACCCUUUUCACUAAUGAGGAGAAGAUCCGUCACUACUAUAUCCUUAAGCUGUUUCCUUUCUCUCUAAAGGAUGACGCUAAAGCCUGGUUCACCUCUCUUGCUCCUGGGUGUGUGAGUAGUCCCCAGGAGAUGGUCUAUUACUUCUGUGAGAAAUAUUUCCCUGCCCAUAAGAAGCAAGCUGCCUUGCAGGAAAUAUACAACUUUGCUCAACUCCAAGAAGAGAGUCUUCCACAAGCUUGGGGGAGGCUCGUCCUGCUACAAAAUGCUUUGCCUGAUGACCCUCUUAAGAAGAACGAGAUACUUGAUAUCCUCUAUAACGGACUUACCGAUGCCUCUAGAGACCACCUAGAUAGUUGUGUCGGUUGUGUUUUUAGGGAACGAACUGUAGAACAAGCUGAGACUCUACUGAAUAACAUCUUGAUCAACGAUAAUGCUUGGAUUAUUCCCAAACCACGUCCUAAGCCAACUCCUAAGAAAAGAGGUAUUCUAUUCCUCAGUCCCGAAGAUAUGCAAGAAGCCAAGAAAUCUAUGCAAGAGAAAGGCAUUAGAUCUGAAGAUGUCAAAAAUCUACCACCUAUCGAAGAGAUCCAUGGUCUCGAUAACCCGAUACAGGUAGUAGAAGUGAAUUCUCUGCGUAGGUUUGAUGAGAGUGAUAUUCCUUUUGAUAAACCUGCUAGCCUAUGCUUUGAUGAAUUUGACAACUUUGUUGCCAAACAACAGAGUUUCAAUGAUUAUGUUAGCAGACAUUUGGAACAAAAUACUCGUAUGCUUAGCCAUUUAAGUGCUUGUGUAGACAAAAAUGUCAAUGAUCUGAAGCUCCUGAGUAAACAUGCCUCUAUGAUUACUACUCAGGUAGAACAAGUACUUAAGGCUCAGAAUGACCUGCUCAAUGAAUUAAAUGACAACUCUGUCAGAGUCAUUACUAGAGGAGGCAAAAUGACUCAGGAACCUUUGUAUCCUGAAGGUCAUCCUAAGAGAAUUGAUCAAGAUUCUCAAGGAAUCAAUGUUGAUACACCCAGUCAUCCUCAGGAGAAGAAGAAGGAUGACAAAAACCUACACGCCAGUUCACCAAAUACGGUCACACCUGAAGAACCUAAUGAUAUUUCUGUGUCUGAUGCAGAAACACAAUCUGGUGAUGAACAUGAACCUGGUGACAAUAUGGACAGUGAUGUUCAUAAUAAUGCUCAACCUAGCAAUGAUGAGGAUGUGGAGAUUGAACCUACGGUUAAUCCUGAUAACCCACAACCUAAGAAAUACGAUAAGAAUGACUUCACUGCUAGGAAGCUUGGUAAAGAAAGGGAGCCAUGGGUUCAGAGACCUAUGCCCUUCCCUCCUAAGCCAUCCAAGAAAAAGGAUGAUGAGGAUUUUGAGCGCUUCGUUGAGAUGAUAAGACCCAUCUUUCUGCAGAUGCGGUUAACUGAUAUGCUCAAGAUGUCUCCGUAUGCCAAGUACAUGAAAGAUAUCAUGACUAAUAAACGGAAGAUACCGUAUCUUGAGAUCUCCACCAUGCUUGCCAAUUACACUUUUGAAGGUGGAACUCCUAAGAAACUUGGUGAUCCUGGAGUGCCCACUAUACCUUGCUCCAUUAAAGGAAAUUACGUAAGAACUGCCUUAUGUGACCUUGGAGCCGGUGUUAGUGUUAUGCCGCUCUCUCUUUAUCGUAGACUUGAAUUGGAUAAGUUGACACCCACUAAAAUUUCUCUGCAAAUGGCCGACAAAUCAACUGCUUUCCCUAUCGGCAUUUGCGAGGAUGUGCCUGUUGUGGUUGUUAACACCACUAUCUUAACAAACUUUGUUAUCUUGAAUAUUCCCGAGGACGAUGCCAUGGCUAUCAUCCUCGGAAGACCCUUUUUAAACACUGCAGGGGCUGUUAUAGAUUGCAACAAAGGCAAUGUCACUUUCCAUGUCAAUGGUAAUGAGCACACGGUGCACUUUCCGAAGAAACGAUAUCAAGUACAUUGCAUCAAUGCUAUCGAAAAGACUUCAUCGAUUCUCAUUGGGAGAUUUUAAUGCCCUAUUCCUCGUGUCAAGAUGAAGUAUGAUUUGCUUGUUGGGGAGAUACAUAUCCCCAUUGAGGUGACUUAGUGGCUAUUCGAAAAUUCUUCGUUCCCUCUUGCGAUUCGAGAAAGUUUUGUCAUAAGGAUUUGAUCAACCCCAUUGACGGAUUUCUUUCGAUGACCAUGAAACGGAUGAAUCAAGGAGUCACAUACCUCUAUUUUAAGCUUUCAUUUUCUGUUGCUUAGAAGAAAAAUGAUGGAAUUAGUUUAGCUUUUCCUGUUUUCUGUUUUAGCGUCCCGGAGAAAAAUACAUCGAAAAUAAAAGUUCUCCGAUGGUCCUGAAAAUUUAGUAUGAUUUUUUCUGGAAUUUUUGAAAAUUUCUGGGCCUGAGAGAUGGCCUGGGGCCCAGACCAGUGGGCCACAAGCCCUGCCACCACCACCUACCCCCCUGGUGGCGGGGUGCAAGCUUGUGGGACCCACAGGCACCCCCUCCACUCAUUCCAGCUCCCAGCCUCUUCUUCCACCUCCAGAAAAAAUUUAUUUCGCAGCUCAAACCCGUGUUCUUGCUCAUUUGGCUGUGAUUUUCGAUCUCCUUGCUCAAAGCACCAUUCUCCGAACCAUUUUGGGGAAAUUACUCCUUGGUAAGUGACUCCUCCAUUGGUCCAAUUAGUUUUUGCUCUAGUGUUUUAUCCUUCGCGUAUUCUUGCUACCUUGGUGACCCUAUUCUUGAGCUAGAAAGGUUGAUUUUAGCUAGUCCCAAGUAGUUUUAGCGCAUGAUACGGUCUCUAGGCACUAGUAGGAGUAGUUACUACAAGGUAUGGAUGGUUUUCAUUCACUUUUCUCUUGAUCUUCAAAAAUUUCAGCAAAAGGAAAUUAUGUUCAGGAGGAAGUUUCAUGGUGGUUCCUCAAGUAAGAAGGGCCCUCGUCUUUCUUUUGGGAGCCCGAACCUUUUCAACUAAGGGCGCAUCGGUACAACCAUGUGAAUGGCCUUCUGAUGAGUUCAUGAUCGAAGCAGGUUUCAAGAUGAGUUUGAUACACUUGUCCGCAAUGCUGAGUUAGAAGAAUUCCUCUCAGAUAAAUGUGAAUAGUAUGCUAUGCUCACUGCCUCUUUCGUGCGUAGAUUUAAAUUUUCAGUUGGUCGUGAUUCAUCCAUACUGUUUGAUCUGUACGAUAAAUCCUAUACCAUGGAUUUGGAGGAUUUCAAUAGGAUUUGCAAGAUACCCGAUGGGGGUAGUAUUAAUGAUCCUUCUAAGUCUUCGGUCAGAGACUUUGUCUCCUGUAUAACUGUUGGAGAAACCAGAGAUAUCACGCAAGCCACCAUAGGAAGCAUCCAUUUCCCUGCCUUGCACUACCUUGCCCUCUUCAUAGGUAGGUGCAUUAACGACAAGGGUGCACAUUGUCACAUAUGCGCUUCCGACCUUAGUAUCCUUAAGAGCGCAGUAACAGGUGACAGGAGCUUGAAUAUGGGAGCUAUAAUAGCAAGGAGGAUGAAUAAAAAUGCCAGUGAGGGGGAUUUCUUUGGUGGAGUUUAUGCUACACGCUUAGCAAAUUUUCUUGGAGUAUCCAUCCGUCCAGAAGACCCUCCUCUCCGUAUAGCCUACCUUGAUCGUGUCGCUCUAACACGCUACCAGUUCCUUCAGAGAGAUCAUGGAUCCCUCCUAUACCGCUUGAUAUUUAACCGGCAGUGUGUUUUCCAUAUUACCCUUCCUACUCCUGCUUUCUUUGACUUUCAGGUAAAACGAAGAUACUACAUAACCAUAGGAGAGGCAGAGGAGUAUGAGAGGGAGGCGACUGCUGCUCGACUUCGUGAGGCAGCUAUUCAGGCAGUGGCUGCAGUGAUCCCGUAUAACACCCAUUAUGAUUUUGGGUUUCGCCAGGACCAUCCAUGGGAGUAUACCAAGCUAGGCCAAAAUCCUAAGGUUGGGGGAGUACGUGUUCUCACCGACUUUACAUUCAUCCUUAUGCUUUCACUUUGUUAGCCGGUGUUUACACUUUUGCCACUGUAUUAUCCAUGCUAGUUUAUUUUCGUUUUCUUGUUUUCUUCUUUUGUGUCCUUUUGAGAAAACCCCAAAGGAUUUUUCUUUCUUAUUUUGCUUGUUGGGAGCUUUCCCGUGUAAAUAGUUUUCUUUUUCUUUGGGUCAAGGUAGAAGAUAUUGGUUACAAUGUUUAUUGGUUCUUACAUGCUUACCUGUUUAGUUUUCAAAGAGCCAUAUUACUUUGUCUUCUCCUUUGUGUUUGCCUGCAUAUUCAGCUUAGUCCAAUGUGCUUAUUAUUGUUCACAUCGUUCGAUCGUGCAAAUGAAAGGCAACAAUGAUGAUAUAUGAUGAAGUGACUGAGACUGAAAAGCUGGUAUGAACUCUAUCUAUUUUGUUUUUGUAAAUAUGACUAGCUUGUCGACCCAGAUUUAGCUUUGUUGUGAGAGAACCAUGUUUGCAAUGAAAACUUAGAGAUCAUAGUUUCUGAUGCCAUGCUUAUUUAGCUGAGAGCUUAUAAUGGUUUGUCUUGAAUGCCAACAUAGAUUUUGAGAUGACUAUGAUGUAGUAUGAUAGGAUGGUAUUCUCCUUUGAAUGUUUCAAGUGGCUUGACUUGGUGCAUGUUCAUGCAUGUAGUUGAAACAAAAUCAACAUAGCCUCUAUGAUGUUCGUGUUCAUGGUGAUUUAUAUCAUGUUCAUGCUUGCAUUUAAUGUUAGUCAAACUCAUUGCAUCUUGAUGACUGUUGACGCUCUCUAGUUGGUCGCUUCCCAGUCUUUUGCUAGCCUUCACUUGUACUAAGCAGAAUACUGCUUGUGCAUCCACUUCCAUAAACCCAAAAGUUUUUCCAUGAGAGUCCACCAUACCCACCUAUUUGCGGUAUCUACUUGUCGUUCCAAGUAAAUUUGCAUGUGCCAUUCUCUAAACCUUCAAGAAAUACGCUGUUUUGCAUGCCCGAACCGCUCAUGUGGUGACAGGGGGCUAUUGGUAUCUUCCAUGCUAGGAGUGUUAUCCUCGACAUGUGUUUAUUCACAGUCAUUCACGAGAAAGGGGCCGGUAAUUGGAAUGCCCAGUUCCACACUUAAAUCGAAAACAUAACUGUAAAACAAGACUCCCCCCGGAUUGAUGUUAGUAUGGACGGUACCCGAGGAUUCGGCUAGCCGUGGAGUGUGAUUGAUUGGUGGUGGGGAAGUUAAAACUUUACUUUUCUGUUUGGGAACCGCCUAUAGCAUGAGUAGCAUGGAAGAUAUUGAGAACUCUUGGUCAUUGCGUUGACAAUGAAAGCAUGCCACCCAAAAUUAUUAUCUCUGUUUUCAAAGCUUGAGCUCUGGCACCUCUGCAAAUCAAUGCUUCCCUCUGCGAAGGGCCUGUCUAUUUAUUUUCAUCUUGAGUCAUCCUCCUCUUAUAUAAGCACCAAUUGGAGAGCACCUCUGUCAUUUUUAUGCUUUGCUUUUGAUUGAUAUUGAGUAUGACUAUGACUGGAUCUUCGUUGCUAUGAAUUACAAUGUUUAGUCAGCCCUUGAUCUUUGAAAGUGCUCUGCAUUUAUGUUUUGCGGUCUCAGAAAGAGCUAGCGAGAUACCACCUAUUCAUAUUGCUUCAUGCUUGUUUUGAUUGAAGUGUUGGUAUUUGAAACUCAUUAUUAUUUGCUCGUUAGCUGAUUAUACCAUUGAUAUUAGUUUACCGUGAGACCUUUGUGUCAUUUGCUUAUGUGGUUAACUUGUGAUCUUGCUGAAAUUCUGGUUAUGAGUUAGACAUAGUUGCAACAACAAGAUCAAACAGAGUUUGUCAAAGUUUUUCUUUCUCUCUCAGUUUGCCAACUGAGUUGCUUGAGGACAAGCAAGGUUUUAAGCUUGGGGGAGUUGAUACGUCUCCGUCGUAUCUACUUUUCCAAACUCUUUUGCCCUUGUUUUGGACUCUAACUUGCAUGAUUUGAAUGGAACUAACCUGGAUUGACGCUGUUUUCAGCAUAAUUGCCUUGGUGUUAUUUUUGUGCAGAAAUUAAAGUUCUCCAAACAUCCUGAAAAUCUACGGGGAGCAGCUUUGGAAAAUAUAAAAAAUAUCUGCGCCAAGUUCCACCUGAGGGGGUGGCCCAGUGGGCCACAAGCCCUGGCUCCGCCACCACCCCCUGGUGGCGGUGGGCAGGCUUGUGGGGCCCACACGGCUCUGUCACCCCCAACCUCAGGGCUAUAAGUUCACUUUCGUCCUAGAAAAAAUAAAAAGAGAAGUUUUCGUCGCGUUUGAGAUAUGGAGCCGCCGCCACCACCUGUUCUUCAUCUGGAGGGCAGAUCUGUAGUCCGUCUUGGGCUCCGAAGAGGGGAAAUCGUCGCCAUCGUCAUCAUCAACCUUCUUCCCUCUCCAAUUCCAUGAAGCUCUUCCUCGUUCGUGAGUAAUCUAUUGAUAGGCUCGCUGGGCGGUGAUGAGUAGGAUGAGAUUUAUCAUGUAAUCGAGUUAGUUUUGAUGGGGAUUGAUCCCUAGUAUCCACUAUGUUCUAAGAUUGAUGUUGCUACUACUUUGCAAUGCUUAAUGCUUGUCACUAGGGCCCGAGUGCCAUGAUUUCAGAUCUGAAAUUAUUAUGUUGUCACCAAUAUAUGUGUGUUUUAGAUCCGAUCUUGCAAGUUGUAGUUACCUACUAUGUGUUAUGAUCCGGCAACCCCGGAGUGACAAUAACCGGAACCACUCCCGGUGAUAACCAUAGUUUGAGGAGUUCAUGUGUUCACCAAGUGCUAAUGCGUUGGUCCGGUUCUUUAUUAAAAGGAGAACCUUAAUAUCCCGUAGUUUCCUUUUGGACCCCGCUGCCACGGGAGCGAUGGACAAUAGAUGUCAUGCAAGUUCUUUUCCCUAAGCACGUAUGACGACACACGGAAUGCAUGCCUACAUCACAUUGACGAACGGGAGCUAGCGACAUAUCUCUCCGUGUUAUAACUGUUGCAUGAUGAAUAUCAUCCAAACAAAUCACCGACCCAUUGCCUACGAGUUUGUCCUACUGAUUAUACUUGUCUUGCUCUGCUGCUGCUACUACUGUUGCUACUGCUGAUACUUGUCUUGCUCUGCUACUAGUGUUGCUACUGCUGAUACUUGUCUUGCUCUGCUGUUACUACCGCUGUUCCUUGCCACUGCCGUUACUCGCUAUUUUGCUUGCAGAUACUAAUCUUUCAGGUGUGGUUGAACCUGAUAAAUUCAGCUGCUAAUACUUGAGAGUAUUCUCUCACCUCCCGUCGUGCGAAUCAACAAAUUUGGGUCGAAUACUCUACCCUCGAAAACUACUACGAUCCCACGCGCUGGUGGGCGUCAACAACAUUCUUCUAGUUUCAAUUGCCGGAGAGUGCUAACAACAUUCUUCUGGUGCCGUUGCAAAGGGGAAAAACAGUUGACAUCAGCCCCCCACUACGCGCACGAUGGGACGUCGCCGCAAGCCUAGCUUGACGGGCCUCGGCCCAUGCAUGGGAUAUUUUGCGUUCGCGGGCCGCCGGUUGGGGUUCCCCGCGCGGUUUAAUGCCCUUGGGGAUCGUGGGAUAGUGGAGGACGUGGAUGUAAAUGAUCCCACACCCCCACGUCUCCCCCGGGCUUAAAAGGGGGUGUGUGUGGGGAGGCCGGUUCGCCAUUGCCUUCCCACACUCCCUCUUCCACCUUGCCCUCACUUUGGUGCUCGCCACCGUUGCCCUUCCUUCUCGUGCCCGUAGCGCCCGCCACCAUCGUCACUCCCUCCUCGUGCCCACAGCGCUCACUGUCGUCGUUCGUCCUUCCUUCGCCCGCUGCGCUUUCCUGCGGUUGGCCCGCUGGGGGGUGAUACGUCUCCAACGUAUCUAUAAUUUUUGAUUGUUCCAUGCUAUUAUGUUAUCUGAUGAGGACAUCAACACCAUUGUUACACCCACAGCCCCAGCUGCUACAAAUACUGGACCAGUUACUAGAGCUCGUGCACGCCAAUUGAAUUACAAGGUACUUUCCUUUCUUGGGAAUACUUCUAAUGUUCACGAACAUAUGAUGCUUCCUAAGUUAGAUACUUUUGUUGUUCUCAUGAAUGAAGGACCUAGCAUGGACAAGAAGGAUAUCCGUUGGAGCGGGAUCAAGCAUGGAGAAGAAGGUGUGCGCGCGGGAGAGAACAAUGGAGCUUCCACUGGUGAUUUUCGUACUCUAAAGCCACCAUAAGGAGAGCAUGAAGGCUUUGGACGAAAUAUUCAAGACGUCACUUUAUAAAUUUAGUCCAUAGGCUAUUAUAGGUGUUGCGCCACCUUAUUUUUGGGCCAGGCCCAUGUAAUUUCGAAAUACCAUAAUAUAGGCUAUUUUUAGAGUCCGUAUGUGUGGGAAAACCGAGUUUAGGGCUGUUUUCGGACCCUUCCUCCAAGGGUCACGAAAUUGCUUUUCUAUUUCCCCAUAUAUACAGCCCUUAGGGCACCGUUUAGACUUGGGUUUUGUUUAGAUCACAAGUUCGCCAUAGUUGCAACUUCGCGUUCUUCGUUUGUGUUCUACGACCAGACAAAGGCGCACAUAACCUCACCUCCAUCGAUAAAGCUUUCCUCUUAUAUUCGCAAUAUCUUGAUUGCAUCUUGGUUUCUUGCUUGUUCUUUGUUUGCGUGCAGGAAACAGACCUUCGUGGUCAGGUUGAUCGUGCUCUGGCAUGGUCAAUAACCUCUUGGAGUUGGUUUAGCGAUUGCUAAGGCGCGACGUCCUCACACAUUCGUAGUCGGAUCGUCAAAGUCUACUCCACCAAAAUGAUACCCACGAUCUCAUCGAAAGACAAGGACAACUUCGCCUCUAUCAAGUGGUAUCAGAUUUCCAGGUUGCUCAGUGAGAUUUUACUAUUUUUUAGUAGUUAGAUCGCAUCUGUUCUUCAUACCUACCGUCCAUGAAAAAGCAAAAAAAAGGAUUAGAUCAUCAUAUCCGAACCAAUCUGAGCCUUUGCAUAGUCUUUUCAGUAGUUUGCUUAGUUGAAUUUACGGUUACAUCGUCGUGUCGAGUUGCUGGUCUUAGUAUCUAGUCCUUUAGAGUUUCGAUUUCUGUUCACAGGAUUGUCACGCCGCUUCCGCACCGUCUUUCACCGCUGCCAUAUACCACCUCCACGCUACCAUCAUCGCUGCCGCCAUACACCACCACCACGCCACCAUUAUGCUUGCUGCCAUAUACCACCACCAUAUACCCACCACAAUCCUAGUUUGCAUGCUUUUUGUCUUAACUAUUACAACAUGGUCAUCUCAUACAUCUAAUAUAUCACAUCACGUCGUUGGCCAUAUCACACCACAAGCAUACCCUACAAAAACAAGUUAGGCGUCCUCUAAUUCUUGUUGCAUGUUUUACGUUGUUGCCAUGCGUAUCUAGUAGGAUCGCAUCUUACUUACGCAAACGCCACAAGGAGAUGUAUGAAUUGCUAUUUAACCUCUCUCUAAGGACCUCCUCGGUCAAAUCCGAUUCAACUAAAGUUGAAGAAACCGACACUCGCCAGUCAUCUUUGAGCAACGGGGUUGCUCGUAGCGAUGAAACCAGUCUCUCGUAAGUGUACGAGUAAUGUCAGUCCGAGCCGCUUUGAUCCAACAAUACCACGGAAUCAAGAAAAGACUAAGGAGGGCAGCAAAUCGCACAUCACCGCCCACAAAAACUUUUGUGUUCUACUCGAGGUAACAUCUACGCAUGAACCUAGCUCAUGAUGCCACUGUUGGGGAACGUCGCAAGAGAAACAAAAAAUUUCCUACACGCGCGAAGACCUGUCAUGGUGAUGUCCAUCUACGAGAGGAGUUUUGGAUCUACGUACCCUUGUAGAUCGCACAGCAGGAAGCGUUAAGAAACGCGGUUGAUGUAGUGGAACGUCCUCACGUCCCUCGAUCCGCCCUGCGAACCGUCCCACGAACCGUCCCGCGAUCCGUCCCACGAACCGUCCCGCGAUCCGUUGCACGAACCGUCUCGCGAUCCGUUCCACGAACCGUCUUGCGAUCCGUCUCACGAUCCGUUCUGAUCUAGUGCCGAACGGACGGCACCUCCGCAUUCAGCACACGUACAGCGCGAUGAUGAUCUUGGCCUUCUUGAUCCAGCAAGAGAUACAGAGAGGUAGAUGAGUUCUCCGGCAGCAUGACGGCGCUCUGGAGGUUGGUGGUGAUCUAUUCCAGCAGGGCUCCGCCCAAGCUCCGCAGAAACACGAUCUAGAGGAAAAACCAUGGAGGUAUGUGGUCGGACUGCCGUGGCAAAGUUGUCUCAAAUCAACCCUAAUACCUCAGUAUAUAUAGGAGGGAGGGGGAGGGCCUUGCCUUGAGGCUCAAGGGAGCCCCAAGGGGUCGGCCGAAUCAAGGUGGAGGAGUCCACCUCCAAUCCUAGUCCAACUAGGAUUGGAAGUGGAGUCCUUCCCUUCCUUCCCACCUCCUUUUUUUCUUUUCUUUUGAUUUCCUUAUCUCCUGCGCAAGGGCCCUCUUGGGCUUGCCCACCAGCCCACUAAGGGUUGGUGUGCCCCCACAAAGCCUUUGGACUUCUUCCUGGGUGGUUGGGCCCCUCCCGGUAGAACUUCGGAACCCAUUCGUCAUUCCCGGUACGAUGCCGGUAAUGCCCGAAAACCUUCCGGUAACCAAAUGAGACAAACCUAUAUAUCAAUCUUCAUUUCCGGACCAUUCCGGAAACCCUCAUGACGUCCGUGAUCCCAUCCAGGACUCCAAACAACAUUCGGUAACCAACCAUAUAACUCAAAUACGCAUAAAACAUCGUCAAACCUUAAGUGUGCAGACCCUGUGGGUUCGAGAACUAUGUAGACAUGACCCGAGACACUCCUCGUUCAAUAUCCAAUAGCGGGACCUGGAUGCCCAUAUUAGAUCCUACAUAUUCUGAAGAUCUUUAUUGGUUGAACCUCGGUGCCAAGGAUUCAUAUAAUCCCGUAUGUCAUUCCCUUUGUCCUUCGGUAUGUUACUUGCCCGAGAUUCGAUCGUCAGUAUCCGCAUACCUAUUUCAAUCUCGUUUACCGACAAGUCUCUUUACUCGUUCCGUAAUACAAGAUCCCGUGACAUACACUAAGUCACAUUGAUUGCAAGGCUUGUGUGUGAUGUUGUAUUACCGAGUGGGCCCCGAGAUACCUCUCCGUCACACGAAGUGACAAAUCCCAGUCUUGAUCCAUACUAACUCAACGGACACCUUUGGAGAUACCUGUAGAGCAUCUUUAUAGUCACCCAGUUACAUUGUGACGUUUGAUACACACAAGGUAUUCCCCCGGUGCCAGUGAGUUAUAUGAUCUCAUGGUCAUAGGAAUAAAUACUUGACAUGCAAAAAAACAGUAGCAACAAAAUGACACGAUCAACAUGCUACGUUCAUUAGUUUGGGUCUAGUCCAUCACAUGAUUCUCCUAACGAUGUGAUCCCGUUAUCAAGUGACAACACUUGCCUAUGGUCAGGAAACCUUGACCAUCUUUGAUCAAUGAGCUAGUCAACUAGAGGCUUACUAGGGACAGUGUUUUGUCUAUGUAUCCACACAAGUAUUGUGUUUCCAAUCAAUACAAUUAUAGCAUGGAUAAUAAACGUUUAUCACAAACAAAGAAAUAUAAUAAUAACUAAUUUAUUAUUGCCUCUAGGGCAUAUUUCCAACAGUCUCCCACUUGCACUAGAGUCAAUAAUCUAGUCCACAUCACUAUGUGAUUCUAACGAAUCCAACACCCUUAGAGUUCUGGGGUUUGAUCACGUCUUGCUUGUGAGAGAGGUUUUAGUCGACGGUUCUGAACCCUUUCAGAUCCGAGUGAGCUUUACAAAUCUUCAUGUCAUCUUAUAGAUGCUGCUACUAUGUGCUAUUCGGAAAUAUUCCAAAUACCUACUUUACCAUACGAAUCCGUUUCACUACUCAUAGUUAUUCGGAUUUGUGUCAAAGCUUGCAUCGACGUAACCCUUUACGACGAACUCUUUAACCACCUCCAUAAUCGAGAAAAAUUCCUUAGUCCAUUAGUUACUAAGGAUAACUUUGACCGCUGAUCAAUAAUUCAAUCCUGGAUCACUCUGUGUACCUCUUAACAGACUUGUAGCAAGGCAUACAUCAGGUGCGGUACUCAGCAUGGCAUACUUUAGAGUCUACGUCUAAGGCAUAUAAUACAACCUUCGCCUAUUAUCUUUAUUCUUCCGGGGUCGGGUUUUGAGUCUUACUCAAAUUCACACCUUACAACACAGCCAAGAACUCCUUCUUUGCUGAUCUAUUUUGAACUCCUUCAAAAACUUGUCAAGACAUGCAUCUUGUUGAAACUUCUAUUAAGUGUUUUGAUCUAUCUCCAUAGAUCUUGAUGCUCAACGUUCAAGUAGCGCAAUCCAGGUAUUCCUUUGAAAAACUCCUUUAAAACAACCUUUUAUGCUUUACAUAAAUUCUAUAUUACUUCUGAUCCACAAUAUGUCAACCACAUAUACUUAUCAGAAAUUCUAUAGUGCUCCCACUCACUUCUUUGGAAAUACAAGUUUCUCAUAAACCUUGUAUAAACCCAAAAGCUUUGAUCAACUCAUCAAAGCAUAUACUCCAACUCUGAGAUGCUUGCACCAAUCCAUAGAAGGAUCGCUGGAGCUUUGCAUACUUGUUUAGCAUCCUUAGGAUCGACAAAACCUUCUAGUUGUAUCACAUACAACCUUUCCGUCGAGGAAAACAAAUGUUUUGACAUCCAUGUGCAACAUUUUAUAAAUAAUGUAGCAAUUGCUAACAUAAUUCCAACAGACCUUUAGCAUCGCUAUGAGUGACAAAGUCUCAUCAUAGUCAACUCUUUGAACUUGUCGAAAAACUUCCUUGCGACAAGUCGAGCUUUUCUUAAUGGUGAUUGAUACGUCUCAAACGUAUCUACAAUUUUUGAUGGUUUCUGCUGUUAUCUUGUCAUCUUUGGAUGUUUUAUGUAACUUUUAUGUCUUUUUUGGGACUAACUUAUUAAUUCAGUGCCAAGUGUCAGUUCCUGUUUUUCUGUGUUUUUGGCUCUUUUCAGAUCUGAUUUUGGAACGGAGUCCAAACGGAAUAAAAUCCCCUAAAUGAUUUUUUCCAGAACGGAAGAAGAUCAGGGAGCUUGUGGGCCAAGCCAGGAGGGCUACAGGGAGCCCACAAGCGCCCACUCCGCCACGAGGGGGCGGCGGUGGGCAGGCUUGUGGCCUCCCUGGCGCCCCCUGACCUAUAUCUUUCGCCUAUAUAUUCCCUAAAAUACAGAAAAAAUCAGGGGAUCCAUGAAAAUACUUUUCCGCCGCCGCAAGCUUCCGUUUCCGCGAGAUCUCAUCUGGAGACCAUUCCCGGCGCCCUGCCGGAGGGGACUUUGGAGUUGGAGGGCUUCUACAUCAACAUCAUCGCCCCUCCAAUGACUCGUGAGUAAUUCACUUCACACCUACAGGUCUGUAGUUAGUAGCUAGAUGGCUUCUUCUCUCUCUUGGAUCUUCAAUACAAAGUUCUCCAUGAUCUUCAUGGAUAUAUAUCCGAUGUAAUCUUCUUUGGCGGUGUGUUUGUCGAGAUCCGAUGAGUUGUGGAUUUGUGAUCAAAUUAUCUAUGAUAUAUAUUUGAGUCUUUGCUGAUUUCUUAUAUGCAUGAUUUGAUAUCCUUGUAAGUCUCUCCGAGUCUUGGGUUUUGUUUGGCCAACUAGAUCUAUGAUUCUUGCAAUGGGAGAAGUGCUUGGUUUUGGGUUCUUACUGUGUAGUGACCUUUCCCAGUGACAGUAGGGGCAGCAAGGCACACAUCGUGUAGUUGCCAUCAAGGGUAACAAGGUGGGCUCUGUCGUAGAUAUGAGAUUGUCCAUCUACAUCAUGUCAUCUUGCUUAAGGCGUUACUCUGUUCUUUUGGACUUAAUACACUAGAUGCAUGCUGGAUAGCGGUCGACGUGUGGAGUAAUAGUAGUAGAUGCAGAAAGUAUCGGUCUACUUGUUUUGGACGUGAUGCCUAUAGAUAUAAUCAUUGCCAUAGAUGAGGUCACGACUUUGCGGGGUUCUAUCAAUUGCUCGACAGUAAUUUGUUCACCCACCUUCUACUUGCUUUCAUGAGAGAAGCCACUAGUAAACACUACGGCCCCCGGGUCUAUUCACACCUAUCGUUUCCACUUUCGCUUUUACUUUGCUUUGUUACUUUGUUGCUUUCAGUUCUCACUUGGCGAACAAUCUAUAAGGGAUUGACAAGCCCUUCAUAGAGUUGGCAGCAAGCUUUUUGUGUCCGUGCAGGCUCUUGUGAUACUCCUUCACUGGAUCGAUACCUUGGUUCUCAAACUGAGGGAAAUACUUACCACNGUCACGACUUUGCGCGGUUCUAUCAAUUGCUCGACAGUAAUUUGUUCACCCACCAUCUACUUGCUUUCAUGAGAGAAGCCACUAGUAAACACUACGGCCCCCGGGUCUAUUCACACCUAUCGUUUCCACUUUCGCUUUUACUUUGCUUUGUUACUUUGUUGCUUUCAGUUCUCACUUGGCGAACAAUCUAUAAGGGAUUGACAAGCCCUUCAUAGAGUUGGCAGCAAGCUUUUUGUGUCCGUGCAGGCUCUUGUGAUACUCCUUCACUGGAUCGAUACCUUGGUUCUCAAACUGAGGGAAAUACUUACCACCGCUGCGCUACAUCACCCUUUCCGCUUCGAGGGAACACCAACACAAGGCUCCAAGGCCACGGAGGAAAUCCUUUGCAUAUUUGCCUGGGAAGUCCCUUAAGGCGUAGCCGUAGCAGAAGGAUUCUUGGUGCCGUCGACACACCUAUUUCUAGCGCCGUUGGAAGGUCUUUUGUUGAAGUAGCAGAAGUAUUUCUGGCGCCGUUGUCGGGGAAGGAGUGAUCUAUCCAAGUAGGUCUCCCAAACUCAUCUCCUACAUUUACUUUUUUGCGAGUUGCCUCUCGUUUUCCUGCCCCCACUUCACAUUUGCCGUUUUCAUUUGUCUUUCUCCUUUGCCGUUUUCUUUAUCCUUUUGCCUUUUUCGUUCGCCCUUUUCUCUUGCUUGCUUUCUGUUCGCUUGUGUGCCAUGUGCCUUCAAUAUGCUUGCAUCUUCGUUUGCUGAAAAUCUAGUGAUAUGGAUCCUCAUCCACUAGCUAAUCUCUUUAAGAGACCCACUUAUGUGGAACGAAUUGCUAGUGAGUUGAGUGCACUUGACUAUCUUUAUGGAGUUUUGCUUGAGAUGCGUGAAUCUGAAAAUUAUGAGGAAGAAAUUUAUGAAGUGAUUCACGAGGGCUCCUUGGAUGAAAAGCAUGAUUGCAAUGGUUUCACUAUAAAUUCUAUUAGUGACAAUCAUGCUAAAAAUAUGCAAAACCAUAAGCUUGGGGAUGCUAGUUUUGCUAUGUCCACUACUUGUUGCAAUAAUCAUGAUUGGGGUGAUGAUCUUUCUUAUGAUCUUGAAAAUUUGUUCAAACCUCAUGACGAAUAUGAUAUUUGCAACAAUAUUGAAAGUGGGAUUGGAGAAGUCAUGACUUUAAUUGAUGAUAAUCCCACUAUUUUUGAAGAGCGUCAACUUUGCAUGCAUGUGGAUCAUGAAAAGAAUAUCCUAUGGGAUAGCUAUAUUGUUGCAUUUGAAUAUGAUCCCACAUGUAAUUGCUAUGAGAGAGGAAAAUAUUGUGGUAGAAACCUUCAUGCUACCAAAUCACCUCUCGUGAUGUUGAGAUUGCUCUUGUCUUUUUAUUCUUCCUUCCAUAUGGUAGAUAUUGGUUGUCUUGACAAUUUUUUUUCCUAUAAAAUGCCUAUGCAUAGGAAGUAUGUUAAACUUAGAUGUGAUUUUCACAUGCUUUAGGAUGCUCUCAUUGUGCUUCAAUUCUUGAGAGCAUCAUUGAAUGCCUAGCUAAGGGCGUUAAACAAAAGCGCUUGUUGGGAGGCAACCCAACGAAUCUAUCCUUUUUCUUUCCGUUUUGUGUUUUCCACACUUUCAUAAUUCUGUUAUGAUUGUGUUUUUUGUGUUUCUUGUUGCGUUUGUGCCAAGCAAAACCGUUAUGAUUAGUCUUGGGGAUGAUCAUUUGGUCAUGCUGGAAAAGACAGAAACUUUCUGCUCACGAAAAUAGUUUUCGUUGUUUUUCUGUAAGAGCUUUUGUGUUGAUUAUUUUUGCUGCUGAUUGCUACAUACAUUAUUCAGACUGUAGUAAUUGUUCAGAAUUUUUGGAGUACCAUAAGUAUACGAAAUAUACAGAUUGCUACAGACUAGUCUGUUGUUAACAAAUUCUGUUUUUGUUGUGUUGGUUGCUUAUUUUGAUGAAACUAUGGAUAGUAUCGGGGGGUAUUAGCCAUGGAAUAUUGAAAAUACAGUAACCCAACAUCAACAUAAGUAGAAUUUAAGUUUUCUACAGUACCUAAGGAAGUGGUGGUUUGCUUUCUCAUACUAAUGUUAUCACGAGUUUCUGUUUAAGUUUCGUGUUGUGAAGUUUUUAAGUUUUGGGUGAAGUUCUUAUGGACAAAAAGAUAAAGAGUGGAAAGAUCUCAAGCUUGGGGAUUCCCAAGGCACCCCAAGAGAUUCAAGGAUGUCGUAAAAGCCUAAGCUUGGGGAUGCCCCGGAAAGGCAUCCCCUCUCUCGUCUUCAAUCCAUCGGUAACGUUACUUGGGGCUAUAUUUUUAUUCACCACAUGUUAUGUGUUUUUGCUUGGAGCGUCUUGAAUCGUAGGAGUCUUUUAUUUUUGUUGUGUCACAAUCAUCCUUGCUGCACACCUAGAGAGAGAGACAUGCACUCACCGUGAUUUUGUCGAGCUUCACAUAUAUCUUUUGGUAGACAAUUCAGCUCACAUGUGCUUCACUUAUAUCUUUUGAGCUAGAUACUUUUGCUCUAUGUGCUUCACUUAUAUCUUCUAGAGCACAGCGGUGCGUGGCUUGGUAGUUGAUCUAUGCUUUGAAAGUUUUCUCAAAAGGGGUAGUUAUCCAAAGGGAUACAAAAACUUCCACCUUCAUGUGCAUUGAAUAGUUAGAGAAGUUUGAUUCAUCUCAAUUAGUUUUGAGUUGUGGUUAUGGUAAUAUUGAAGUCAUGCUAGUAAGGUGUUGUGGAUCUAGAAAUACUUGUGUUAAAGUUAGUGAUUCCGAUAGCAUGCACGUAUGGUGAACCGCUAUGUGAUGAAAUCUGAGCAUGAUUAGUCUAUUGAUUGUCAUCCUUUGCGUGGCGGUCGGGAUCGCGCGAUGGUUUAUACCUACCAACCCUUCCCCUAGGAGUAUGCGUUGAAUGCUUUGUUUCGAUUACUAAUAAAUUUUUUGCAACAAGUAUAUGAGUUCUUCUUGACUAAUGUUGAGUCCAUGGUUUAGAUGCACUUUCACCUUCCACCAUCACUACCUUCUUAGUGCCGUGCAACUUUCGUCGGUGCACAAAACCCACCAUUAGCCUCCCUCAAAACAGCCACCAUACCUACCUACUAUGGCUUUUUCAAAGUCAUUCCGAGAUAUAUUGCCAUGGAACUACCACCAUGACAUGUGCCACCACAUCUACAUUGCCAUUGCAUGAUCGUAAGAUAGCUAGCAUGAUGUUUCCAUUAAUGUCUAUGCCAUGCUAGAUCAUUGCCACGGUACACUACCGAAGGCAUUCCAUAUAGAGUCAUCGUUGCUCUAAGUUUUGAGUUGUAAGUGUGAUGAUCAUCAUUGAUGGAGCAUUGUCCCAUGUGAGGAAAUAAAAGAGGCCAAAGAAGCCCACCAAAAUAAAAAAAGAGGCCAAAGAGCCCACCAAAAAAUAAAAAAAUGAGAGAAAAAGAGAGAAGGGACAAUGUUACCACUUUUCCACACUUGUGCAUAUUAAACACCAUGAUCUUCAUGAUUGAGAGUCUCUCGUUUUGUCACCACCAUAUAGCUAGUGUGAAAUUUUCAUUAUAUAACUUGGCUUGUAUAUUCCAAUGAUAGGCUUCCUCAAAAUUGCCUUAGGUCUUCGUGAGCAAGCAAGUUGGAUGCACACCCACUAGUUUUCUUUAAGAGCUUUCACAUACUCGUAGCUCUAGUGCCUUAUUUGUAUGGCAAUCCCUACUCAUUCACAUUGAUAUCUAUUGAUGAGCAUCUCCACAGCUCAUUGAUAUGCCUCGUUAAUGUGACCAUCUUCUCCUUGUUUUGUCUUGCAACCUCCACCACACUCCACACCAUCUAUAGUGCUAUAACCAUGGCUCACGCUCAUGUAUUGCGUGAGAGUUGAAAAGGUUUGAGAAAGUAAAGGUGUGAAACAAUUACUUGGACAAUACCGGGGUUGUGCAUGAUUUAAAUUCGUAGUGCAAUGAUGAUAGAGCAUAGCCAGACUAUAUGCUUUUGUAGGGAUAACUUUCUUUUGGCCUUGUUAUUUUGAAAGUUCAUGAUUACCUUGCUAGUUUGCUUGAAUUAUUAUUGUUUCCACGUCAAUAGCAAACUAUCGUUUUGAAUCUAAUGGAUCUGAACAUUCACGUCACAUAAGAGGAGUUACAAAGGACAUCUAUGCUAGGUAGCAUGAAAGCAUCAAAAAUUCAUUCUUUAUCACUUCCCUACUCGAGGACGAGCAGGAGUUAAGCUUGGGGAUGCUUGAUACGUCUCAAACGUAUCUAUAAUUUUUGAUGGUUUCAUGCUGUUAUCUUGUCAUCUUUGGAUGUUUUAUGUACCUUUUAUAUGUUUUUUGGGACUAACUUAUUAAUUCAGUGCCAAGUGCCACUUCCUAUUUUUUCUGUGUUUUUGGCUCUUUUCAGAUCUGAUUUUGGAACGGAGUCCAAACGGAAUAAAAUCCUCGAAAUGAUUUUUUCCCAAACGGAAGAAGAUCAUGGGGCUUGUGGGCCAAGCCAGGAGGGCUAGAGGGAGCCCACAAGCCCCCACUCCGCCACCAGGGGGGGCGGCGGUGGGCUGGCUUGUGGCCUCCCUGGCGCCCCCCUGACCUAGAUCUUUCGCCUAUUUAUUCCCUAAAAUACAGCAAAAAAUCAGGGGAUCCACGAAAAUACUUUUCCGCCGCCGCAAGCUUCCGUUUCCGCGAGAUCUCAUCUGGAGACCCUUCCCGACACCCUGCCGGAGGGGACUUUGGAGUUGGAGGGCUUCUACAUCAACAUCAUCGCCCCUCCAAUGACUCGUGAGUAGUUCACUUUAGACCUACGGGUCCGUAGUUAGUAGCUAGAUGGCUUCUUCUCUCUCUUGGAUCUUCAAUACAAAGUUCUCCAUGAUCUUCAUGGAUAUCUAUCUGAUGUAAUCUUCUUUGGCGGUGUGUUUGUCGAGAUUCGAUGAAUUGUGGAUUUGUGAUCAGAUUAUCUAUGAUAUAUAUUUGAGUCUUUGCUGAUUUCUUAUAUGCAUGAUUUGAUAUCCUUGUAAGUCUCUCCGAGUCUUGGGUUUUGUUUGGCCAACUAGAUCUAUGAUUCUUGCAAUGGGAGAAGUGCUUGGUUUUGGGUUCUUACCGUGUGGUGACCUUUCCCAGUGACAGUAGGGGCAGGAAGGCACACAUCAUGUAGUUGCCAUCAAGGGUAACAAGGUGGGCUCUGUCAUAGAUAUGAGAUUGUCCAUCUACAUCAUGUCAUCUUGAUUAAGGCAUUACUCUAUUCUUUUGGACUUAAUACACUAGAUGCAUGCUGGAUAGCGGUCGACGUGUGGAGUAAUAGUAGUAGAUGCAGAAAGUAUCGGUCUACUUGUUUUGGACGUGAUGCCUAUAGAUAUAAUCAUUGCCAUAGAUGACGUCACGACUUUGCGUGGUUCUAUCAAUUGCUCGACAGUAAUUUGUUCACCCACCGUCUACUUGCUUUCAUGAGAGAAGCCACUAGUAAACACUACGGCCCCCGGGUCUAUUCACACCUAUCGUUUUCACUUUCGCUUUUACUUUGCUUUGUUACUUUGUUGCUUUCAGUUCUCACUUGGCGAACAAUCUAUAAGGGAUUGACAAGCCCUUCAUAGAGUUGGCAGCAAGCUUUUUGUGUCUGUGCAGGCUCUUGUGAUACUCCUUCACUGGAUCGAUACCUUGGUUCUCAAACUGAGGGAAAUACUUACCACCGCUGCGCUACAUCACCCUUUCCGCUUCGAGGGAACACCAACGCAAGGCUCCAAGGCCACGGGGGAAAUCCUUUGCAUAUUUGCCUAGGAAGUCCCUUAAGGCGUAGCCGUAGCAAAAGGAUUCCUGGUGCCGUCGACACACCUAUUUCUGGCGCCGUUGGAUGGUCUUUUGUUGCAGUAGCAGUGACGAUUCACCAUCAUUGUCUGUCUUCCUUAUAAAGAUCCAUCUUUACUUUAAUAGUCCGACGACCAUCAAGUAGUUCUUCCAAAGUCUAUACUUUGUUCUCACACAUGGAUUCUCUCUUGGAUUUCAUGGCCUCCAGCCAUUUGUCGGAAUCUGGGCCCACCAUUGCUUCUCCAUAACUUGUAGGUUCAUUGUCGUUCAACAACAUGACCUCCAAGACAGGGUUACCGUACCACUCUAUAGUAGUACGCGACCUUGUCGACCUACGAGGUCUGUAGUAACUUGAUCCGAUGCUUAAUGAUCACUAUCAUCAGCUUCCACUUCAAUUGGUGUAGGCGCCACAGGAACAACUUCCCGCGCCCUACUACACACUGGUUGAAGUGAUGGUUCAAUAACCUCAUCAAGUUUUACCACCCUCCCACUCAAUUCUUUCGAGAGAAACCUUUCCUCGAGAAAGAACCCGUUUCUAGAAACAAACACUUUGCUUCCGGAUCUAAGAUAGGAGAUGUAUCCAACUAUUUUGGAUAUCCUAUGAAGAUGCAUUUAUCCGCAUUGGGUUCGAGCUUAUCAGACUGAAACUUUUUCACAUAAGCGUCGCAGCCCCAAACUUUCAAGAAACGACAGCUUAGAUUUCUCAAAACCACAGUCUAUACUGUGUCAUCUCAAUGGAAUUACGCAGUGCCCUAUUUAAAGUGAAUGCGGUUGUCUCUAAUGCAUAAACCAUAAAUGAUAGUGGUAACUCCAUAAGAGACAUCAUAGUAUGCACCAUAUCAAAUAGGUCGCGGCUAUGACGUUCGGACACACCAUCACACUAUGGUGUUCUUGGUGGCAUGAAUUGUGAAACAAGCAUCCACAUUGUCUUAACUGUGUACCAAAACUCGCAACUCAGAUAUUCAUCUCUACGAUCAUAUCAUAGACAGUUUAUCCUCUUGUUACGACGAACUUCACUCGGAAACAGAAUUGAACUCUUUCAACAUUUCAGACUUGUGAUUCAUUAAGUAAAUACUCCUCUAUCUACUCAAAUCGUCAUUGAAGUAAGAACAUAAUGAUAUCCACUGCGUGCCUCAGCACCCAUUGGACUCCAUACAUCAAAAUGUAUUACUUCCAACAAGUUACUAUCUUGUUUCAUCUCAAUGAAAACAAGGCCUUGCUCAUGUGGUAUGAUUUGCAUGUCACAAGUGAUUCAAAAUAAAGUGAGUAUAAAGACCCAUCAGUAUGGAGCCUCUUCAUGCAAUUUAUACCAACAUGACUCAAGCGGCAAUGCCACAAGUAAGUGGUACUAUCAUCAUUACCUUGUAUCUUUUGGCACCAAUGUCAUGAACAUGUGUAACACUACGAUCGAGAUUCAAUAAACCAUUGAAGGUGAUUAUUCAAGUAAAUAGAGUAACCAUUAUUCUCUUUAAAUGAAUAAUCAUAUUGCAAUAAACACGAUCCAAUCAUGUUCAUGCUCAACGCAAGCACCAAAUAACAACCAUUUAGGUUUAACACCAAUCCCGAUGGUAGAGGGAGCGUGCGAUGUUUGAUCAUAUCAACCUUCGAAACACUUCCAACACGUAUCGUCACCUCGCCUUUAGCUAGUCUCUGUUUAUUCCGUAGCUUUCAUUUCGUGUUACUAAUCACUUAGCAACCGAACCGGUAUCCAAUACCCUCGCGCUACUAGGAGUACUAGUAAAGUACACAUCAACAUCAUGUAUAUCAAAUAUACUUCUGUCGACUUUGCCAGCCUUCUUAUCUACCAAGCAUCUAGGGUAGCUCCGCCUCAGUGAACGUUCCCCUCAUAACAGAAGCACUUAGUCUCGGGUUUGGGUUUAAUCUUGGGUCUCUUCAUUAGUGCAACAACUGUUUUGCCGUUUCACGAAGUAUCCCUUCUAGCCCUUGCCUUUCUUGAAACUUAGUGGUUUUACUAACCAUCAACUAUUGAUGCUCCUUCUUGAUUUCUACUUUCGCAGUGUCAAACAUCGCGAAUCGCUCAAGGAUCAUUGUAUCUAUCCUUGAUAUGUUAUAGUUCAUCACGAAGCUCUCACAACUUGGUGGCAGUGACUUUGGAGAACCAUCACUAUCUCAUCUGGAAGAUUAACUCCCACUUGAUUCAAGCGAUUGUCGUACUCACACAAUCUGAGCACACGCUCAACGAUUGAGAUUUUCUCCUUUACUUUGUUGACAAAGAAUCUUGUCGGAGGUCUCAUACCUCUUAACAAGGGCACGAGCAUGAAAUCACAAUUUCAUCUCUUUAGAACAUAUCUUAUGUUCCGUGACGUUUCAAAACGUCUUCGGCGCCUUGCUUCUUAGCCAUUAAGUAUUUUGCACUGAACUAUCGCGUAGUCAUCAGAAAUGUGUAUGUCGGAUGUUCACAACAUCCACAGACGACGCUCGAGGUGCAGCACACCGAGUGGUGCAUUAAGGACAUAAGCCUUCUGCGCAGCAAUGAGGAAAAUCCUCAGUUUUGCAGGCUCAGUCCGCAAAGUUGCUACUAUCAACUUUCAACUAAAUUUUCUCUAGGGACAUAUAAAAAUUGUAGAGCUAUAGCGCAAGCCACAUCAUAAUUCGUAAAGACCAUUAGACUAUGUUCAUGAUAAUUAGUUCAAUUAAUCAUAUUACUUAAGAACUCCCACUCAAAAAGUACAUCUCUCUAGUCAUUUGAGUGGUGCAUGGUCCAAAUCCACUAUCUCAAGUCCAAUCAUCACGUGAGUCGAGAAUAGUUUCAGUGGUAAGCAUCUCUAUGCUAAUCAUAUCAACUAUACGAUUCAUGCUCGACCUUUCGGUCUCUUGUGUUCCGAGGCCAUGUCUGCACAUGCUAGGAUCGUCAAGUUUAACCCGAGUGUUCCGCGUGUGCAACUGUUUUGCACCCGUUGUAUGUGAAUGUUGAGUCUAUCACACCCGAUCAUCACGUGGUGUCUCGAAACGACGAACUGUAGCAACGGUGCACAGUCGGGGAGAACACAAUUUGAGCUUGAAAUUUUAGUGAGAGAUCACCUCAUAAUGCUACCGUCGUUCUAAGCAAGAUAAGGUGCAUAAAGGAUUAACAUCACAUGCAAUUCAUAAGUGACAUGAUAUGGCCAUCAUCAAGUGCUCCUUGAUCUCCAUCACCAAAGCACCAGUAUGAUCUUGUUGUCACCGGCGCCACACCAUGAUCCCCAUCAUCAUGAUCUCCAUCAUCGUGUCGCCAUCAAGGUUGUCGUGUAUGCUAUGCUAUUACUACUAAAGCUACAUCCUAGCAAUAUAGUAAACGCAUCUGCAAACACAAACGUUAGUUUAAAGACAACCUUAUGGCUCCUGCCGGUUGCCGUAGCAUCGACGUGCAAGUCGAUAUUAACUAUUACAACAUGAUCAUCUCAUACAUCCAAUAUAUCACAUCACGUCGUUGACCAUAUCACACCACAAGCAUACCCAGAAAAAACAAGUUAAAAGUCCUCUAAUUGUUGUUGCAUGUUUUACGUGGUUGCCAUGGGUAUCUAGUAGGAUCACAUCUUACUUACGCAAACACCACAAUGGAGAUGUAUGAAUUGCUAUUUAACCUCUCUCUAAGGACCUCCUCGGUCAAAUCCGAUUCAACUAAAGUUGGAGAAACCGACACUCGCCAGUCAUGUUUGAGCAAGGGGGUUGCUCGUAGCGAUGAAACCAGUCUCUCGUAAGCGUACGAGUAAUGUCGGUCCGAGCCGCUUCGAUCCAACAAUACCGCGGAAUCAAGAAAAGACUAAGGAGGGCAGCAAAUCGCACAUCACUGCCCACAAAAACUUUUGUGUUCUACUCGAGAUAACAUCUAUGCAUGAACCUAGCUCAUGAUGCCACUGUUGGGGAACGUCGCAAGGGAAACAAAAAUUUUCCUACGCGCACGAAGCCCUGUCAUGGUGAUGUCCAUCUAGGAGAGGAGAUUUGGAUCUACGUACCCUUGUAGAUCGCAUAGCAGGAAGCGUAAAGAAAUGCGGUUGAUGCAGUGGAACGUCCUCACGUCCCUCGAUCCACCCUAUGAACCAUCCCACGAACCGUCCCACGAUCCGUCCCAUGAACCGUCCCGCGAUCCGUUGCAUGAACCGUUUCGCGAUCCGUUGCACGAACCGUCUUGCGAUCCGUCUCACGAUCUGUUCCGAUCUAGUGCCGAAUAGACGACACCUCCGCGUUCAGCACACGUACAACGCGACGAUGAUCUCAGACUUCUUAAUCCAGCAAGAGAGAUGGAGAGGUAGAUGAGUUCUCCGUCAGCGUGAUGGCACUCCGGAGGUUGGUGGUGAUCUAUUCCAGCAGGGCUCCGCCCGAGCUCCGCAGAAACACGAUCUAGAGGAAAAACCGUGGAGGUAUGUGGUCGGACUGCCGUGGCAAAGUUGUCUCAAAUCAGCCCUAAUACCUCAGUAUAUAUAGGAGGGAGGGGGAGGGCCUUGCCUUGAGGCUCAAGGGAGCCCCAAGGGGUCGGCCGAAUCAAGGUGGAGGAGUCCACCUCCAAUCCUAGUCCAACUAGGAUUGGAAGUGGAGUCCUUCCCUUCCUUCCCACCUCCUUUUUUUCUUUUCUUUUGAUUUCCUUAUCUCCUGCGCAAGGGCCCUCUUGGGCUUGCGCACCAGCCCACUAAGGGAUGGUGUGCCCCCACAAAGCCUUUGGACUUCUUCCCGGGUGGUUGGGCCCCUCCCGGUAGAACUCCCGAACCCAUUCGUCAUUCCCGGUACGAUGCCGAUAAUGCCCGAAAACCUUCCGGUAACCAAAUGAGACAAACCUAUAUAUCAAUCUUCGUUUGCAGACCAUUCCAGAAACCCUCGUGACGUCCGUGAUCCCAUCCGGGACUCCGAACAACAUUCGGUAACCAACCAUAUAACUCAAAUAUGCAUAAAACAUCGUCGAACCUUAAGUGUGCAGACCCUGCGGGUUGGAGAACUAUGUAGACAUGGCCCGAGACACUCCUCGGUCAAUAUCCAAUAGCGGGACGUGGAUGCCCAUAUUAGAUCCUACAUAUUCCUAAGAUCUUUAUCGGUUGAAUCUCAGUGCCAAGGACUCAUAUAAUCCCGUAUGUCAUUCCGUUUGUCCUUCGGUAUGUUACUUGCCCGAGAUUCGAUCGUCAGUAUCCGCAUACCUAUUUCAAUCUCGUUUACCGGCAAGCCUCUUUACUCGUUCCGUAAUACAAGAUCCCGUGACAUACACUAAGUCACAUUGAUUGCAAGGCUUGUGUGUGAUGUUGUAUUACCGAGUGGGCCCCGAGAUACCUCUCCGUCACACGGAGUGACAAAUCCUAGUCUUGAUCCAUACUAACUCAACGUACACCUUCGGAGAUACCUGUAGAGAAUCUUUAUAGUCACCCAGUUACUUUGUGACGUUUGAUACACACAAGGUAUUCCCCCGGUGCCAGUGAGUUAUAUGAUCUCAUGGUCAUAGGAAUAAAUACUUGACAUGCAAAAAAACAGUAGCAACAAAAUGACACGAUCAACAUGCUACGUUCAUUAGUUUGGGUCUAGUCCAUCACAUGAUUCUCCUAAUGAUGUGAUCCCGUUAUCAAGUGACAACACUUGCCUAUGGUCAGGAAACCUUGACCAUCUUUGAUCAACGAGCUAGUCAACUAGAGGCUUACUAGGGACAGUGUUUUGUCUAUGUAUCCACACAAGUAUUGUGUUUCCAAUCAAUACAAUUAUAACAUGGAUAAUAAACGAUUAUCACGAACAAAGAAACAUAAUAAUAACUAAUUUAUUAUUGCCUCUAGGGCAUAUUUCCAACAAUUCUCUGUGUUCCUAUUGCUGCUAACCAUGCCAGGAUCACACGACAAGGAGAUCGACUCGAAGAACCUGACCAACUGGGAGCUCCAUGAUAAAUUUCAGCAAAUGAUGUCUGACCAGGUACAGGAUUUCGUGACCACCUUUGGAGAGGCCACGGACAAGCUCGAAGGUAUGAAUAAGAAAUUCGACACCAAGAUGAAUGCCAAGUUUAAUGAGGUGCUUGCCCGUUUACCACCACCAGCUGCAGCUUCUGUCCCUCUUCAACCACAACCACAACGGCUACGAGCGCGAUGUGUGUCUGUCGGUCAAGUGCAGAAUUUUGGUGUUGUUGCUACUACUGCUGCUUCUCCUCCUCCUUCUGCUACUACCGAGGUUUCUAUGGCUGAGCAAAAUGAGGAUUAUGAUGAUGAUUAUGAUGGAGAUUACGAUGAUGAGGGAGAGGUUGCUCCAGUUCAGCCCCAGGAACAACAACCACCACGACAAGCCGCCGAUCGUCCACAUGGAUACACUCGCAAUGGUAGGGAUGCACCACACCCUCAGGUACGGGAUCAUGACCAUAUCCCUAAACUUAAAUUGAAUAUUCCUACUUUUGAUGGUCGAUAUGUUCCUGAUAUAUAUCUUACUUGGGAGUUAGAAACAGAGCAACGUUUUACAUGCUUGCAAUUUCCUAAAGAUAGACAUGUUGCUGCCGUUGUUUGUUCUUUCACUAGUUUUGCUUGUGUUUGGUGGUCUGAAUAUUGUCGAAUACAUCAUGCUAAUAUUCCAACUACUUGGGAUGUUUUGAAAACUGCUAUGCGUACUCGUUGGGUUCCACCAUAUUAUCAACGUGGAUUACUUAAAAACUUACAGCGUUUAAGGCAAGGAAAAAAGUCUGUAGAAGAAUAUUAUCAGGAAUUACAAAAUGGAAUGAUUGGAUGUGGUAUUGUUGAGGACAAUGAAGCUAUGCUUGCACGUUUUAUGGGUGGAUUAAAUAGAGAUAUUCAAACUAUUCUAGAAUAUAAGGAUUAUAACACUAUCAUUCGUUUAUUCCAUCUUGCUUGCAAAGGUGAACGUGAAGUGCAGGAUCGACAGGCAUUGGCGAGAACUAAUUUUUCUGUAGGUCGCACUUCCUCAUGGACGCCACAAACCACAUCUAUUUCCACACACCCUUCUACAUCAGCACCGCCUGCUUCAGCCGCCAAUUCCACCAGAGAUACCAGGAAACAGGCCUCUGCCCCACCCUUCGUCAAUAGCACACCUUCCAGGCCCGCACAGAGCUCUUCUUCAUCCAUGGCAUCCAUAGGGCAAACACAUGAGGUUAUUUUUCGUCGUUGCAAGGGUGGAUGUCAUUAUGCGAGAGAGUGCCCAUCCAAGUGCGUGAUGAUAUUACUGAGGAUGGUGGAUAUGACUCCGCUAGUGAUUAUGACGAGGAGACUCCGGCUCUUAUUGCAAGUGAGGAAUGAGGUGUCGAUGAUACUAAACAAGAGACACACUACAUGGUUGCUGACUAUGCUGACAGGUAUGAAAGCUUAGUUGCUCAACGUGUUUUAAGUGUGCAGGUAACACAGGCUGAGAAAAAUCUGAGGCACAACUUGUUCCAUACAAAUGGCAUUGUAAAGGAACGUUCUGUUCACGUCAUCAUCAAUGGAGGGAGUUGCAACAACUUAGCUAGCAUGGAGAUGGUGGAUAAGUUGUCUCUCACCACCAGACCACAUCCUCAUCCUUAUUAUAUCCAGUGGUUCAACAACAGUGGCAAGGUUAAGGUAACACGUAUUGUUCGUGUGCAUUUUAGCGUUGCUACAUAUUCUGAUUUUGUUGAUUGUGAUGUGGUACCCAUGCAAGCAUGCUCCGUUUUACUUGGUAGACCAUGGCAAUUCAAUAAUUGUUUUUACACCAUGGUAGAACAAAUCAGUAUACUCUUAUUCAUAAGGAUCAAAACAUAACUUUGCUUCCUAUGUCUCCUGAACAUAUUAUGAAAGAUGACAUUGCUAGAGCUAGUAAAGCAAAAAAAGACUUACAUAAGAGUGAAAAUCAGAUUGUAGCAAAGGAAUUUGAGCAACACAAUAAGCCUACUAAAUCAUCAUCUAGUGUUGCAUCUGAAAUCAAACUGAAUAGUGGUUGUUUACUUGCCACUAAAUCUGAUAUUACUGAUUUGGAUAUUACUACAUCUGUUUGCUACGCUUUCGUAUGCAAAGAGGUAUUAUUUUCAUUUGAGGACAUGCCACCCUCUUUGCCUCUUGCUGUCAUUAACAUUUUGCAGGAGUUCGCUGACGUCUUUCCACAAGACGUGCCACUGGGAUUACCACCUAUUAGAGGGAUUGAACAUCGGAUUGACUAAAUUCCCGGUGCAUCGCUAGCCAACCGGGCACCAUACCGUACCAAUCCAGAGGAGACGAAGGAGAUUAUGCGUCAAGUACAGGAGCUGCUCGACAAAGGUUAUAUACGUGAAUCUCUUAGUCCUUGUGUUGUUCCUAUUAUUCUAGUGCCGAAAAAGGAUGGUACAUCGCGUAUGUGUGUUGAUUGUAGAGGCAUUAAUAAUAUUACUAUUCGUUAUCGUCAUCCUAUUCCUAGGCUAGAUGACAUGCUUGAUGAAUUAAGUGGAUCUACAAUUUUCUCCAAAGUUGAUUUGCAUAGUGGACACCAUCAAAUUCGCAUGAAAUUGGGAGAUGAAUGGAAAACGACAUUUAAAACUAAGUUUGGCUUAUAUGAGUGGUUAGUUAUGCCUUUUGGAUUGACUAAUGCACCUAGCACUUUCAUGAGAUUAAUGAAUGAGGUUUUACGUGCUUUCAUUGGACAAUUUGUGCUAGUCUACUUUGAUGAUAUACUGAUUUAUAGUAGAUCUUUGGAGGAACACUUGGAUCAUUUGCGUGCUGUUUUUACUGCUCUAUGUGAUGCACUUCUAUUUGGUAACCUUGGCAAGUGCAUCUUUUGCACAGACCGAGUAUCUUUUCUUGGCUAUGUUGUUACUCCACAGGGAAUUGAAGUUGAUAAAGCCAAGAUUGAAGCUAUUGCGAGUUGGCCGCAGCCCAAAACGUUCACACAAGUGAGGAGUUUCCUUGGACUCGCUAGGUUUUAUAGGCGUUUUGUGAGAGAUUUCUGCACCAUUGCUGCAUCUCUCAAUAAGCUUACAAAGAAGGAUGUGCCUUAUUCUUGGGGUACCGCACAGGAAGAAGCCUUCACGGUUUUGAAAGAUAAGUUAACACAUGCUCCUUUACUCCAACUUCCUGAUUUUAAUAAGGCUUUCGAGCUUGAAUGUGAUGCUAGUGGAAUUGGAUUAGGAGGUGUGUUAUUACAAGAUGGUAAACCUGUUGCAUACUUUUCUGAAAAAUUAAGUGGGCCUAGUCUGAAUUAUUCUACUUAUGAUAAGGAAUUAUAUGCUCUUGUUCGGACUUUGGAAAUAUGGUAACAUUAUUUAUGGCCAAAGAAUUUGUCAUACAUUCUGAUCAUGAAUCUUUGAAACAUAUUAAAAGUCAAGCAAAACUGAACCGUAAACAUGCUAAAUGGGUUGAAUUCAUUGAGACUUUCCCGUACGUCAUUAAACACAAGAAGGGUAAAUAAAAUCUUAUUGCCGGUGCUUUGUCUCGUCGUUAUACUAUGCUUUCACAACUUGACUUUAAAAUAUUUGGUUUGGAGACCAUCAAAGAUCAAUAUGUGCAUGAUGCUGAUUUCAAAGAUGUGUUGGAAAAUUGUAAAGAUGGGAGAACAUGGAACAAGUUCAUCAUUAAUAAUGGAUUUGUGUUUCGUGUUAACAAGCUAUGCAUUCCAGCUAGCUCCGUUCGUCUUUUGUUGUUACAGGAGGCGCAUGGAGGAGGAUUGAUGGGACACUUUGGCGUAAAGAAGACAGAGGACGUACUUGCUACACAUUUCUUUUGGCCAAGGAUGCGUCGGGAUGUUGAGCGUUUUGUUGCUCGUUGCACGACAUGUCAAAAAGCUAAGUCAUGACUCAAUCCUCAUGGUUUACAUAUGCCUUUGCCUGUACGUAGUGUUCCUUGGGAGGAUAUAUAUAUGGACUUUGUUUUAGGUUUACCUCGAACAAAGAAGGGUAGGGAUAGCAUAUUUGUUGUCGUGGACAGAUUUUCUAAAAUGGCACACUUUAUACCAUGUCAUAAAAGUGUUGAUGCCGCUAAUGUGGCUGAUUUGUUCUUUCGUGAAAUUAUUCGCUUGCAUGGUGUGCCAAAUACGAUUGUUUCAGAUCGUGAUGCUAAAUUUCUUAGCCAAUUUUGGCGAUGUUUAUGGGCUAAGUUGGGGAUAAAUUUGCUUUUUAGUACUACAUGUCACCCCAAACUGAUGGACAAACUGAAGUAGUCAAUAGAUCUUUGUCUAGUAUGCUUAGGUCUGUUUUGAAGAACAAUCUAAAACUAUGGGAAGAAUUCUUGCCUCAUAUUGAAUUUGCUUAUAAUCGUUCGCUGCAUUCUACUACAAAGAUGUGUCCUUUUGAAGUUGUGUAUGGUUUCCUACCUCGUGCACCUAUUGAUUUGUUACCUCUUCCAUCUUCGGACAAGGUUAAUUUUGAUGCUAAAGAACAUGCUGAUUUGAUAUUAAAGAUGCAUGAGUUAACUAAGGAAAACAUUGAGCGCAUGAAUGCUAAAUAUAAACUUGCUGGAGAUAAGGGUAGAAAACAUGUUGUCUUUGCACCUGGAGAUCUUGUUUGGUUGCAUUUGCGUAAGGAUAGGUUUCCUGAUUUGCGCAAGUCAAAACUAAUUCCGCGUGCUGAUGGUCCUUUCAAAGUGUUAGAGAAAAUAAAUGAUAAUGGAUAUAGACUUGAGCUACCUGCAGAUUUUGGGGUUAGUCCCACUUUUAACAUUGCAGAUUUGAAGCCAUAUUUGGGUGAGGAAUAUGAGCUUCCGUCGAGGACGACUUCAGUUCAAGAAGGGGAGGAUGAUGAGGACAUCAAUACCAUUGUUACACCCACAGCCCCAGCUGCUAUACAUACUGGACCAGUUACUAGAGCUCGUGCACGCCAAUUGAAUUACCAGGUACUUUCGUUUCUUGGGAAUACUUCUAAUGUUCAUGAACAUAUGAUGCUGCCUAAGUUAGAUAAUUUUGUUCUGCUCAUGAAUGAAGGACCUAGCAUGGACAAGAAGGAUAUCUGUUGGAGUGGGAUCAAGCAUGGAGAAGAAGCUACAUGCACGGGAGAGAACAAUGGAGCUUCCACUCGUGAUUUUCGCACUCUAAAGCCACCAUAAGGAGAGCAUGAAGGCUUUGGACGAAAUAUUCAAGACGCCACUUUAUAAAUUUCGUCCAUAGACUAUUAUAGGUGUUGCGCCACCUUAUUUUUGGGCCAGGCCCAUGUAAUUUCGAAAUACCAUAAUAUAGGCUAUUUUUGGAGUCCGUAUGUGUGGGGAAACUGAGUUUAGGGCUGCUUUCGGACCCCUCCUCCAAGGGUCACGAAAUUCCCUCUCUAUUCCCUCAUAUAUACAACCCUUAGGGCAUCGUUUAGACAUGGGUUUUGUUUAGAUUACAAGUUCUCCAUAGUUGCAACUUCACAUUCUUCGUUCGUGUUCUACGACCAGACAAAGGUGUCACAGAACCCCACCUCCAUCAAUAAAGCUUUCCUCUUAUAUUAGCAAUAUCUUGAUUGCAUCUUGGUUUCUUGCUUGUUCUUCGUUUGCGUGCAGGAAACAGACCUUCGUGGUGAGGUUGAUCGUGCUCCGGCGUGGUCAAUAACCUCUCGGAGUUGUUUUAGCGAUUGCUAAGGCGCGAUGUCCUCACACGUUCGUAGUCGGAUCGUCAAAGUCUACUCCACCAAAACGAUACCCAUGAUCUCAUCGAAAGAUAGGGACAACUUCGCCUCUAUCAUUAUCUGUUUUGGAUGAUUUAUAUGCAUUUAUAUGUUGUUUUACAUUAUUUUUGGAAUUAACCUAUUAAUCUAGAGCCUAGUGCCAGUUUCUGUUUUCCACGUGUUUGAGUAUUGCAUAUAAGGAAUAUUAAGCGGAGUCGAUGACGCUAGGGUUAUAGGGAAUUGUUAUACGAGGUUACCGAAAGUUGUUCGGAGUCCCGGAUGAGAUCCCGAACGUCAUGAGGAGCUCCGGAAUGGUCCGGAGGUAAAGAUUGAUAUAUAGGACGGAUGGUUUCGGACACGGAUAACGUACCGGGACCACCGGGACCACCCGAGGUGGCCCCGGGGGUCCACCGAAGGGGGCAACGACCCUGGGAGGUAAGAUGGCCCAAGUGGGGGAGGGAACCAUCCCCUAGGUGGGCUGGUGCGCCUCCCCACUCAGCCCAAUGCACAGGGGAGAGGGAAGGGGGCAAACCCUAAGCCAGGUGGGCCUAAGGCCCACCACGGGUGCGAACCACCCCUCCUCCCUGCCCUGACCGCCACCCCCUCUCCCAUCUGGGGCUGCCGCACCCCUUGGGGGUGGGAACCCUAAGGGCUGCGCCCCCUCCCCCUCCCCCUAUAUAUAGUUGAGGUUUCAGGGCUGUUUUGGACACGUUUUCUCUCUCUCUCGGCGCAGCCGUGCCCUUCCUCCUCCCCCUCUCCGCCGGUGCUUGGCGAAGCCCUGCCGGGGGACCUCGUCUCUCCAUCGACACCAUGCCGUCGUGCUGUUGGAGUUCUUCCCCAACCUCUCCCUCCUCCUUGCUAGAUCAAGGUGCGGGAGACGUCACCGGGAUGCGCGUGUGUUGAACGGGGAGGUGCCGUAGUUCGGCACUAGAUCGGAAUCACACCGCGAUCUGAAUCGCCGCGAGUACGACUCCAUCAACCGCGUUCUAGUAACGCUUCCGCUUAGUGAUCUUCGAAGGUAUGAAGAUGCUCUUACCCCUCUCUCGUUGCUGGUCUCUCCAUAGGAAGAUCUGAAUAUGCGUAGGAAUUUUUUGAAUUUAUGCUACGUUACCCCAACAGUGGCAUCCGAGCCAGGUUUUCUAUGCGUAGAUUCUAUGCACGAGUAGAACACAAAAGGUUGUGGGCGAUGAUUUGUCAAUUGCUUGCCGCUACUAGUGGCGGUAUUGUGGGAUGAAGCGGCCCGGACGGAUCUGACACGUACGUUUACGUGAGACUGGUUCCACCGACAGACAUGCACACCGUGCAUAAAGGUGGCUAGCGGGUGUCUGUCUCUCCCACUCUAGUCGGAUUGGAUUUGAUAAAGGGUCCUUAUGAAGGGUAAAUAGCUUUGGCAUAUCAUCGUUGUGGCUGUCACGUAGGUAAGAAGGCGUUCUUGCUAGAAACCCAAAUCAGCCACGUAAAACUUGCAACAACAAUUAGAGGACAUCUAACUUGUUUUUGCAGGGUUUGACAUGUGAUGUGAUAUGGCCAAAGUUGUGAUGUUGCAUGUAUGAUGUAUGAGAUGAUCAUGUUAUUGUAAUAGGUUUCACGACUUGCAUGUCGGUGAGUAUGACAACCGGCAGGAGCCAUAGGAGUUGUCUUAAUUUAUUGUAUGAGAUGCAACGCCAUGUGCUUACUACUUUUACUUCAUUGCUAACGGUUAGCUAUAGUAGUAGUGAUAGUAGUAGUUGGCGUGAUGACUUCACGGAGACACGAUGAUGGAGAUUAUGAUGAUGGAGAUCAUGGUGUCACGCCGAUGACGAUGAUGAUCAUGUGAUGCCUGAAGAUGGAGAUCGAAAGGGCAAAGAUGAUAAUGGCCAUAUCAUGUCACUAUAUGAUUGCAUUGUGAUGUUUAUCAUAUUUUUCAUCUUAUUGCUUAGAACGACGGUAGCAUAAUAAGAUGAUCCCUCUUAAAAUUUCGAGAACGUAUUCCCCUAAGUGUGCACCAUUGCGAAGGUUCGUUGUCUCUAAGCACCACGUGAUGAUCGGGUGUGAUAGAUUCUAACGUUCGCAUACAACGGGUGUAAGCCAGAUUUACACACGCGAAACACCUAGGUUGACUCGACGAGCUUAGCAUGUACAGACAUGACCUCGAAUACAAGAGACCGAAAGGUCCAACAUGAGUCGUAUGGUUGAAUACGAUCAGCAUGAAGUUGCUCACCAUGGUGACUAGUCCGUCUCACGUGAUGAUCGGACACGGGUUAGUAAACAUGGAUCAUGUAUCACUUAGAUGACUAGAGGGAUGUCGAUUUAAGUGGGAGUCCAUACUUAAUUUGAUUAAAUGAACUUAAUUGUCAUGAACUUAGUCUAAAAGUUGUCUUUAUAAAUAUUGUAGAUGGCCAACGUCAACCUCAAUUUCAUCGCAUUCUUAGAGAAAAACAAGCUGAAAGAUGAUGGUAGCAACUAUGCGGACUGGGUUCGCAACUUGAAGCUCAUCCUUGAAGGAGCUAAAAAGGCUUAUGUCCUUGAUGCGCCGCUAGGUGACCCUCCCGCUCCCGCAGCAGCCCAGGACAUUCUGAACGUCUGGCAAACGCGGAGUGAUGACUACUCUCUGGUUAGGUGUGGCAUGUUAUAUAGUUUAGAAACGGGGCUCCAAAGGCGUUUUGAGCAACACGGAGCAUAUGAGAUGUUCCAAGAGCUGAAUCUAGUUUUUCAAGCUCAUGCCCGUGUCGAGAGAUAUGAAGUCUCCGACAAGUUCUUUAGCUAUAAGAUGGAGGAGAACAAUUCUGUCAGUGAGCACAUACUCAAAAUGUCUGGGUUACACGGUCGUCUGACUUCACUUGGAGUCGAACUUCCGGAUGAUGCUAUAAUUGACAGAAUCCUCCAGUCUCUCCCACCAAGAUACAAAGGCUUUGUGCUUAACUACAACAUGCAAGGGAUGGAGAAGACCAUUCCCGAGCUGUACUCGAUGCUCAAGUCUGCAGAAGUAGAAAUCAAGAAAGAGCAUCAAGUGUUGAUGGUCAACAAGACCACUAGUUUCAAGAAGGGCAAGGGUAAGAAGAACUUCAAGAAAGACGACAAAGUUGUUUCUGCGCCCGGUAAGACAGAUGCCGGGAAGAAGAAAAAGAAUGGACCCAAGCCUGAAACUGAGUGCUUCUAUUGCAAGGGAAAAGGUCACUGGAAGCAGAACUGCCCCAAAUACUUAGCGGACAAGAAAUCCGGCAACGUUAAAGGUAUAUGUGAUAUACAUGUUAUUGAUGUGUACCUUACCAACGCUCAUAGUAGCUCCUGGGUAUUUGAUACCGGUGUUGUUGCUCACAUUUGCAACUCAAAGCAGGAACUGCGGAAUAAGCAGAGACUGGCCAAGGACGAGGUGACGAUGCGCGUCGGGAAUGGUUCCAAGGUCGAUGUGAUCACUGUCGGCACGCUACCUCUACAUCUACCAUCGGGAUUAGUUUUAAACCUUAAUAAUUGUUAUGUACCAGCUUUAAGCAUGAACAUUGUAUCAGGGUCUUGCUUGAUGUGAGACGGCUACUCAUUUAAGUCAGAGAAUAAUGGUUGUUCUAUUUAUAUGAGUGGUAUGUUUUAUGGUCAUGCUCCGCUGGUGAAUGGUUUAUUCUUGAUGAAUCUCGAUCGUGAUGUUACGCAUAUUCAUAAUGUGAGUACCAAAAGAUGUAAAGUUUAUAAUGAUAGUCCCACAUACUUGUGGCACUGCCGCCUUGGUCAUAUCGGUGUUAAGCGCAUGAAGAAGCUCCAUACUGAUGGACUAUUAGAGUCUCUUGACUUUGAAUCAUUUGACACAUGCGAACCGUGCCUCAUGGGAAAGAUGACUAAGACUCCAUUCUCAGGAAUAAUGGAGAGAGCAACCGGCUUAUUGGAAAUAAUACAUACUGAUGUGUGUGGUCCAAUGAACGUUGAAGCUCGCGGUGGCUAUCGUUAUGUUCUCACUCUCACCGAUGAUUUGAGUAGGUACGGGUAUAUCUACUUGAUGAAGCACAAAUAUGAGACGUUUGAAAAGUUCAAGGAAUUUUAGAGUGAGGUUGAGAAUCAACGUGACAGAAAAAUUAAAUGUCUACGAUCUGAUCGUGGAGGAGAAUAUUUGAGUCACGAGUUUGGCACACACCUAAGGAAGUGUGGAAUCAUUUCACAGCUGACGCCGCCUGGCACACCGCAACGGAACGGAGUGUCUGAAUGUCGUAAUCGCACUUUAUUAGAUAUGGUACGAUCUAUGAUGUCUCUUACCGACUUACCGCUAUCAUUUUGGGGAUACGCAUUAGAAACUGCAGCAUUCACUUUAAAUAGGGCACCGUCUAAAUCCGUUGAGAUGACACCGUAUGAACUAUGGUUUGGAAAGAAACCUAAGUUGUUGUUUCUUAAAGUUUGGGGCUGCGAUGCUUAUGUGAAGAAACUUCAACCAGAAAAGCUCAAAGCCAAAGCGGAGAAAUGCGUAUUCAUAGGAUACCCUAAGGAAACUAUUGGGUAUACCUUCUAUCUUAGAUCCGAAGGUAAAACCUUUGUUGCCAAGAACGGAUCCUUUCUAGAGAAAGAGUUUCUCUCGAAAGAAGUAAGUGGGAGGAAGGUAGAACUUGAUGAGGUAAUUACACACCCUCUCGAACAGGAUAGUAGCGCAGCGCGGGAAGUUGUUCCUGUGGCGCCUACACCAACUGAAGAGGAAGUUAAUGAUGAUGAUCAUGAAGCUUCGGAUCAAGUUACUACUGAACCGCGAAGGUCCACAAGGGCACGCUCCGCACCAGAGUGGUACGACAACCCUGUGAUGGAAAUCAUGUUGUUAGACAACAGUGAACCUUCGAACUAUGAAGAAGCGAUGGCGGGCCCGGAUUCCAACAAAUGGCUUGAAGCUAUGAAAUCCGAGAUAGGAUCCAUGUAUGAGAACAAAGUAUGGACUCUGGUGGACUUGCCCGAUGACCGGCGUGCCAUAGAAAAUAAAUGGAUCUUCAAGAAGAAGACUGAUGCAAACGGUAAUGUAACCGUUUAUAAAGCCCGACUUGUCGCAAAGGGUUUUCGACAAAUUCAAGGAGUUGACUACGAAGAGACUUUUUCUCCCGUAGCAAAGCUGAAAUCAGUCCGAAUCAUGUUAGCAAUUGCCGCCUUUUAUGAUUAUGAAAUUUGGCAAAUGGACGUCAAAACAGCGUUCCUUAAUGGGAACCUUAAGGAAGAGUGGUAUAUGAUGCAACCAGAAGGUUUUGUCGACCCUAAGGGUUCUAACAAAGUGUGCAAGCUCCAGCGCUCCAUCUAUGGGCUGGUGCAAGCAUCUCGGAGUUGGAACAUUCGCUUUAAUGAGGUGAUUAAAGCGUUUGGGUUCAUACAGGUUUACGGAGAAGCCUGUCUGUACAAGAAAGUGAGUGGGAGCUUGUAGCUUUCUUCAUACUGUAUGUGGAUGACAUAUUAUUGAUGGGGAAUAAUAUACAGAUGUUGGAGAGCAUAAAGGCCUAUUUGAACAAGAGUUUUUCAAUGAAGGACCUUGGAGAAGCUGCAUACAUAUUAGGCAUCAAGAUCUAUAGAGAUAGAUCGAGACGCCUCAUAGGUCUUUCGCAAAGUACAUACCUUGACAAGAUAUUGAAGAAGUUCAAUAUGGAAAACUCAAAGAAAGGAUUCUUACCAGUUUUGCAAGGUAUGAAAUUGAGUAAGACUCAGUCACCGACCACGACAGCAGAUAGAGAGAAGAUGAGUUCUGUCCCCUACACUUCAGCCGUAGGCUCUCUUAUGUAUGCCAUGCUGUGUACCAGACCUGAUAUAAACCUUGCCAUAAGUUUUGUAGGGAGGUACCAAAGUGAUCCCGAUAUGGAACACUGGACAGCGGUCAAGAAUAUCCUUAAGUACUUGAAAAGGACUAAGGAAAUGUUUCUUGUUUAUGGAGGUGACGAAGAGCUCGUCGUAAAGGGUUACAUCGACGCUAGCUUCGACACAGAUCCGGAUGACUCUAAGUCACAGACCGGAUACGUAUAUGUUUUGAAUGGUGGGGCAGUGAGCUGGUGCAGCAGCAAGCAAGAAGUUGUGGCAGCAUCUACAUGUGUAGCGGAGUACAUAGUUGCUUCAGAAGCGGCUCAUGAAGGAAUUUGGAUGAAGGAGCUCAUCACCGACCUUGGAGUGGUUCCAAGCGCGUCGGGUCCAAUGACACUCUUCUGUGAUAACACUGGGGCCAUUGCCAUAGCCAAGGAGCCCAGGUUUCACCGGAAGACGAAGCACAUCAAACGCCGCUACAACUCCAUCCAGGACCAUGUCCAGAGUGGAGUGAUAGAUAUUUGUAAAGUACACACGGAUCUGAAUGUUGCAGACCCGUUGACUAAACCUCUUCCACGAGCAAAACAUGAUCAACACCAUAAUGCUAUGGGUGUUCGAUACAUCACAAUGUAACUAGAUUAUUGACUGUAGUGCAAGUGGGAGACUGUUGGAAAUAUACACUAGAGGCAAUAAUAAAAUGGUUGUUAUCAUAUUUCCUUGUUCAUGAUAAUCGUCUAUUGUUCAUGCUAUAAUUGUAUUAACAGGAAACCGUAAUACAUGUGUGAAUAAAUAGAUCACAAUGUGUCCCUAGCAAGCCUCUAGUUGGCUAGCUCGUUAGUCAAUAGAUGAUCAUGGUUUCCUGAUCAUGGGCAUUAGAUGUCAUUGAUAACGGGAUCACAUCAUUGGGAGAAUGAUGUGAUGGACAAGACCCAAUCCUAAGCAUAGCAAUAGAUCGUAUUGUUAGUAUGCUAAAGCUUUUCUAAUGUCAAGUGUCUUUUCCUUCGACCGUGAGAUUGUGCAACUCCCGGAUACCGUAUGAGUGCUUUGGGUGUAUCAAACGUCACAACGUAACUAGGUGACUAUAAAGGUGCACUACGGGUAUCUCUGAAAGUGUCUGUUGGGUUGGUACGAAUCGAGAUCGGGAUUUGUCACUCUGUGUGACGGAGAGGUAUCUCUGGGCCCACUCGGUAGAACAUCAUCAUGAGCUCAAUGUGGAUAAGGAGUUAGUCACACGAUGACAUGCUAGGGAACGAGUAAAGAGACUUACCGGUAACGAGAUUGAACAAGGUAUAGGUAUACCGAUGAUCGAAUCUCGGGCAAGUUCUAUACCGACAGACAAAGGGAAUCACAUACGGGAUUGAUUGAAUCCUUGACAUCGUGGUUCAUCCGAUGAGAUCAUCGUGGAGAAAGUGGGAGCCACCAUGGGUAUCCAGACCCGUCUGAUGGUUAUUGGCCGGAGAGGUGUCUCGGUCAUGUCUGCCUGUCUCCCGAACCCGUAGGGUCUACACACUUAAGGUUCGAUGACGCUAGGGUUAAAGGGAAUUGUUAUACGAGGUUACCGAAAGUUGUUCGGAGUCCCGGAUGAGAUCCUGGACGUGACGAGGAGCUCCGGAAUGGUCCGGAGGUAAAGAUUGAUAUAUAGGACGGAUGGUUUCGGACAUCGGAAGUGUUUCGGCCGUCACCGGUAACGUACCGGGACCACCGGGACCACCGGAGGUGGCCCUGGGGGUCCACCGAAGGGGGGCAACGACCCCGGGAGGUAAUAUGGGCCAAGUGGGGGAGGGAACCAUCCCCUAGGUGGGCUGGUGCGCCUCCCCACUCAGCCCAAUGCGCAGGGGAGAGGGAAGAGGGGUGCGCACCACCCGUCCUCCCUGCCCUGGCCACCACCCCCUCUCCCAUCUGGGGCUGCCGCACCCCUUGGGGGUGGGAACCCUAAGGGCUGCGCCCCCUCCCCUCCCCCUCCCCCUAUAUAUAGUUGAGGUUUCGGGGCUGUUUUGGACACGGUUUUUUCUCUCUCUCGGCGCAGCCCUGCCCUUCCUCCUCCUCCUCUCUACUAGUGCUUGGUUAAGCCCUGCCGGGAGACCUCGUCUCUCCAUCGACACCACGCCGUCAUGCUGCUGGAGUUCUUCCCCAAGCUCUCCCUCCUCCUUGCUGGAUCAAGGUGCCGGAUACGUCACCGGGCUGCACGUGUGUUGAACGCGGAGGUGCCGUAGUUCGGCACUAGAUCGGAAUCACACCGCGAUCUGAAUCGCCGCGAGUACGACUCCAUCAACCGCGUUCUAGUAACGCUUCCGCUUAGAUAUCUUCAAAGGUAUGAAUAUGCUCUUACCCCUCUCUCGUUGCUGGUCUCUCCAUAGGAAGAUCUGAAUAUGCGUAGGAAUUUUUUUGAAUUUAUGCUACGUUACCCCAACACGCGCCCCCUCGCUUGUGGGCCCCCUGCAGUUCUCCUAACCCUAUUCUUUGGCAUAUAAAUUCCCAAACAUUCCCGUAUUGCCAAAAAUAGCCACAAAAAUACUUUUAUGCCGCCGGGAGCCUCUGUUCCCGUGAGAUCCUAUCUGGGAGCCUUUUCCGGUAAUCUGCCGGAGAGGGAAUGGAUCAUGGAGGGCAUCUACAUCACCUCCACUACCCCUCUGAUGAUGUCUGAGUAGUUCACCACAAACCUACGGGUCCAUAGCUAGUAGCUAGAUGGCUUCUUCUCUCUCUUUGAUCUUCAAUACCACGUUCUUCAUGAUCUUCAUGGAGAUCUAUCUGAUGUAAUACUCUUUUGUAGUGUGUUUGUCGAGAUCCGAUGAAUUGUGAGUUUAUGUUCAGAUUAUCUAUGAAUAUUAUUUGAGUCUCUUCUGAAUUCUUAGAUGCAUGAUUUCAUAUCUUUGCAAGUCUCUUCGAAUUGUUGGUUUGGUUUGGCCAACGAGAUUGGUAAUUCUUGCAAUGGGAGAAACGCUUAGUUUUGGGUUCAAUCUUGUGGUGUCCUCACCCAGUGACAAAGUAGGUGCAGCGAGGCACAUAUUGUAUUGUUGCCAUCAAGGAUAAAAAGAUGGGGUUUUCAUCAUAUUGCUUGAGUUUACCCCUCUACAUCAUGUCAUCUUACUUAAUGCAUUACUCUGUUCUUCGUGAACUUAAUACUCUAGAUGCAAGCAUGAGUCAGUCAAUGUGUGGAGUAAUAGUAGUAGAUGCAGAAUCGUUUUGGCCUACUUGACAUGGAUGUGAUGCCUAUAUGCAGAAUCAUUGCCUUAGAUGUCUUCAUAAUUAUUCGCUUUUCUAUCAAUUGCUCGACAGUAAUUUGUUCACCCACCGUAUUAUUUUCCUUUAUGAGAGAAGCCUCUAGUGAAACCUAUGGCCCCCGAGUCUAUUUUCCAUAUUACAUUUUCAGAUCUAUAAACCAAAAAUACGAAAAAUACUUUGCUGCAAUUUAUUUACUUUUGUUUCCGCUAUCUUUUAUAUCUAUCUCUAUAAAAUCUCAUCCUUGCAAAUAACUCUGAAGGGAUUGACAACCCCUUUAUAACGUUGGGUGCAAGUGUUUGAUUGUCUGUGUAGGUACUACUAUUGGGGCCUUGCUUGUUCCUCCUAGUGGAUUGAUACCUUGGUUCUCAACAAAUGGAGGGAAAUACUUAUCUACUUCACUUCAUCACCCUUUCCUAUUAAAGGGAAAACCAAUGCAAGCUCAAGAGGUAGUAGGGGCGCGUUUCGUGUCUCUUUUUCACCGGUCCAUUGACGGCGAAUGACGAGAUGGCCGGACUACCCACCCGUUCGUGGGAGGGCUCCAUCAUGACCGACGAGCACAUUGCGUACCUCCGGUGGACACGGAAGAUCCCGCCCACGAAGCGCGUCGAGGCACGCGCGCCCGACGGCGAGCGGGUGCCGGAGUCCCGCGUAGGUGAGCGUGUCAUGUUCGGCAUGCAUUUCGUUGUCGGCUUCGGUCUACCGGCGAGCCGCUUUCUUUGACAGUUCUGUGAGUUCUACGGGCUCAAGAUGCACCAUCUAGGGCCAAAAUCGGUGUUGUACCUCGCAUGCUUCGCCACCUUGUGCGAGGCGUACCUGGGUUUCUUGCCCUUUCCUUCUUUCUUCCGCCUCCUCUUCCACUUCCGGGCCCAGAUGCACGAUGAUGUGUCAUACUCCUGCGGUGGCGCGAUGGUGUACUCGCAGCAAGGCGGGCUUUUUUCAAAGAUGCAUUGGAUCGAAUCCUUCAAGAAGUGGCAACGCUCCUUAUUCUACGUCCGCAGCGUCAGCCAGGGGCGGGACUGGGUCAACCUCCCGCCGUUUGCCGACAUGCUGCCAACUGGGGAGAACUGGAGCCUCUAGGUGCGCAAUGACGAGCUGCUCACGAUUGCGGGCCAGCUGAUUGAGCUCAAGGGUUCCCAAGGGUUGAUGCCCUCGGAUUUGGUGGUGGACUUCAUUUCCCACCGAGUCCUGCCGCUGCACGCACUGUCGGAGCUUCCUAGUGGGCAGGUUAUGGCACCUGCCAUACCUUGAUUUAGAGCAAUUUUUUUAUACCUAGUGUUAAUCACUAGUGACUCAAUUAACCCAACCACUUUGAACCCAGCCACACGCAACCGGUGCAUGGGUGCGUGCGUGCCUGGCCACCAUCCCACCACAUCCACUCGCACUCCCCCUGUCCCCCAUUGAGACAACGACCCACUCCUGGGCUCCUGCCUCUGGCUGCAGCGCACCCCCCACCCCACGCAGAGCAAACCCUACGCGGCAUCUUGGUCUCUGGGCGACGCCGUGGUGGCAUGUGAUACGUCUCCGUCGUAUCUACUUUUCCAAACUCUUUUGCCCUUGUUUUGGACUCUAAUUUGCAUGAUUUCAAUGGAACUAACCCGGACUGACGCUGUUUUCAGCAGAAUUGCCAUGGUGUUGUAUUUGUGCACAAAUAAAAGUUCUCGGAACGUCCUGAAAAUUUACGGAUAUUUUUUCUGGAAUAAAAUAAAAAUACCUGCGCAAAGAUCCACCUGAGGGGGUGUGCCAGUGGGCCACAAGCCCACACGGCGCGGCCACCCCCUAGGCUGCGCCAUGCAGGCUUGUGGGGCCCACGUGGCACCACCGCCCCCAAUAUGAGUCCUAUAUCUUCCGUUUCGCGUGGGGAAAAAUCAGAGAGAAGGUUUCAUCGCGUUUUGCGAUACGGAGGCGCCGCCACAUCCUGUUCUUCAUCUGGAGGGCAAAUCUAGAGUCCGUUUCGGGCUCCGGAGAGGGGAAAUCAUCGGCAUCGUCAUCAUCAACCUUUCUCCAUCAACAAUUCCAUGAUGCUCUUCAUCGUUCGUGAGUAAUCUCAUCGUAGGCUUGUGAGUUGGAUGAGAUCUAUCAUGUAAUCGAGUUAGUUCUUGACGGGGAUUGAUCCCUAGUAUCCACUAUGUUCUAGAUUGAUGUUGCUACUACUUGGCUAUGCUUAAUGCUUGUCACUAGGGCCCGGGUGCCAUGAUUUCAGAUCUGAACCUAUUAUGUUGUCGCCAAUAUAUGUGUGUUUUAGAUCCUAUCUUGCAAGUUGUAGUCACCUACUCUGUGUUAUGACCCGGCAACCCCGGAGUGACAAUAGCCGGAACCACUCCCGGAGAUGACCAUAGUAUGAGGAGUUCAUGUAUUCACAGCGUGUUAAUGCGUUGGUACGGUUCUUUAUUAAAAGGAGAACCUUAAUAUCCCGUAGUUUCCAUUAGGACCCCGCUGCCACGAGAGGGAUGGACAAUAGAUGUCAUGCAAGUUCUUUUCCCUAAGCACGUAUGACUACAUACGGAAUACAUGCCUACAUUAGAUUGAUGAACGGGAGCUAGCCACAUAUCUCUCCGUGUUAUAGCUGUUACAUGAUGAAUCACAUCUGUCACACUCAUCCAUCACCGAUCCACUACCUACGAGUCUUUUACUACUGGUCCUCGCUACGUUACUUUGCCUAGGCUUGUCCCUUGCUACAAGAGGGAUUGGGCCACUUUGCUGCUGUCACUACUGCUGUCACUUUGCUGCUGUCGCUACUGCUGUUACUUGUUACUUCGCUGCUGCUGGUACUACUGUUCCUUGCUACUCCGCUGUUACUUGUUGCAAGACUUUGUUGGCGCUAACAUCCCGUCAACAAGGCUUUUUCUAGCGCCGUUGCUGGGGAUUGCCAAAGCUUUUUCUGGUGCCGUUGCUAUCGUACUACCUUGCUACUGAUACUUUGCUUGCACACACUAAUCUUUCAGGUGUGGUUGAAUUGAGAACUCAGCUCCUAAUACUUGAGAAUAUCCUUUAGCUUCCCCUUGUGAGCGAAUCAAUAAAUUUGGGUUGAAUACUCUACCCUCGAAAACUGCUGCAAUCCCAUACGCUUAUGGGACAUCAGCAUGCUGCCGGCUGCGUGCAGGUUCAACCAGGGUCGCCAACGACGGAGGAGGGGCAGGCGGGGAGGCGACGACAGUCGGCAAGGAAGGCGGGGAUAGGGGAGGAGACGACGGGGCAGGCCGUAGGCGGGUGAUACGUCUCCAACGUAUCUAUAAUUUUUGAUGGUUUCAUGCUAUUAUCUUGUCAAACUUUGGAUGUUUUGUAUGCUUUUUAUAUCUUUUUUUGGACUAACUUAUUAACUCAGUGCCAAGUGCCAGUUCCUGUUUUUCCAUGUUUUUGACCCCUUUCGGAGGAGGAUUUUAAACGGAGUCCAAACGGAACGAAACUUCCAAAAAGAUUUUUUCGGGAACAGAAGAAGAUCGGGAAGCCUGAGAAUCAAGGCAUGGGGCCAGCAGGGCCCCCACAAGCCCCUUAGCCGCGGCCAGGGGGGCCCGCGCCUUCCAGGCUUGUGGGCUCCCUGGGCCACCUCUUCCCUAGGUCUUUCGCCUAUAAAUUCCCUAAAAUCCUAGAAAAAAUCAGGAGAUCAUCGAAAGUACUUUUCCGCCGCCGCAAGCUUCUGUCUCCGCAAGAUUCCAUCUGGGGCACGUUCUGGUGCCCUGUCGGAGGGGGGAUUCAGAUACGGAGGGCUUCUUCAUCAACACCAUGACCUCUCCGAUGAUGCGUGAGUAGUUCACCACAUACCUACGGGUCCAUAGCUAGUAGCUAGAUGCCUUCUUCUCUCUCUCUCUUUGAUCUUCAAUACAAAGUUCUCCAUUAUCUUCAUGGAGAUCUAUUCGAUGUAAUCUUCUUUUGCGGUGUGUUUGUCAAGAUUUGAUGAAUUGUGGAUUUAUGAUCAGAUUAUCUAUGAAUCUUAUUUGAGUUUCUUCUGAUCUCUCUUAUGCAUGAUUUCAUAUCCUUGUAAUUCUCUUCGAGUUGUGGGUUUUGUUUCGCUAGGUUGAUCUAUGAUUCUUGCAAUGGGAGAAGUGCUUGGUUUUGGGUUCAUACCGUGCGGUGACCUCACCCAGUGACAGAAGGGGUAGCGAGGCACGCAUCGUGUUGUUGCCAUCAAGGGCAAAAAGAUGGGGUUUCCAUCAUUGGUUUGAGUUUAUCCCUCUACAUCAUGUCAUCUUUCUUAAGGCGUUACUCUGUUUGUCAUGAACUCAAUACACUAGAUGCAUGCUGGAUAGCGGUCGAUGUGUGGAGUAAUAGUAGUAGAUGCAGAAAGUAUCGGUCUACUUGUCUCGGACGUGAUGCCUAUAUGUAUGAUCAUUGCCUUAGAUAUCGUCAUGACUUUGCGCGGUUCUAUCAAUUGCUCGACAGUAAUUUGUUCACCCACCAUAAUAUUUGCUAUUUUGAGAGAAGCCUCUAGUGAACAUUAUGGCUGCCGGGUCUACUCCACACCAUAUCUUUAGCCUUACACUUUUUCUUCGUUGCACUUUCCGCCUUCAAAUCUCACUUUGCAAUCAAUCUUGAAGGGAUUGAGAACCCCUUUAUAGCGUUGGGUGCAAUCUCUUUUGUGUUUGUGCAGGUACUCUGGAUUUGACGAGAUUCUCCUACUAGAUUGAUACCUUGGUUCUCAAACUGAGGGAAAUACUUAACUGCUCCUGUGCUGCAUCACCCUUUCCUCUUCAAGGGAAAAACCAACGCAAGCAAGUCUUUGUCAACGUGUCAAAUUCUGGCGCUGUUGUUUGAGAAAUAGCAGAAGGAUUUCUGGCGCCGUUGCCGCGGAGGAUCAAGUCAAGAACUCAUGCAAGUAAGUAUCGCAAACUCAUCUCUUGUACUUUUCUUUUUUUCCUCUCGUUUUGUUCCUCUCCCCCACUUCUGAAAAACAAGAAUUGACAAAAAAAAUCUUUGCCUUUUUCGUUUGCCUUUUUGUUCGCCCUUUUCUCUCGCUUGCUUUCUGUUCGUUUGUGUGGGAUAGUCUACCUGUCCUAAUGGCUAGAUCCACCACUUCGAACGAUACUCCUGAGAAUGAAGUACUCAAUUUCAAACAAAUUGAGGAAGAACACUUAAGGGACGCUUGGUAUAGGAUUUGCAAUGCUCAGAGUAGAUCUACUCAUAAGCAACCUACUACCGUCCUGCUUCACAGUUUUUAUGUGGGUGUUUCUGCUUGGAAUAGGUAUAUUCUUGACAGCAUCGUAGGUGGAAAUUUCUUGGGUAGCCAUAACGUUGAUUCUUCAGGAGCUGUAAUAAAUUUGGUAGGCUCACCCCCACUCAUGGUUAAUGGAACUACCUUAACUCUGGAACAUGUGAUGCGUAGGCUAGACGUCAUUGAAAAUAAAGUUGCUACGAUCAAACUCAUUGAGAAUUUGGAUAAAAAGAUCCACAACUAAAUCACUCAGUACGGAUCCAAGGUGGGAAUGGUUUUGAAAAAUCUAAAGGAGAAGGAACCCACAGUUAACGAAAAACUAGGUCAUGAUUCCGCUAGGAUUGGUAAACUAGAGGAUGUUAUAACCCACUUGGGUUCCGCUUUUGCCGCUCUGCAGAAUACUCUAAAUUUUGCCCACAAUAAAAUCACCAAGUCUGUUUUUGUUCCCAAAAAUAGUGGUGAAUCAUAUAUCAAGAAAAGUAAAAACCUUAAGAUGAUAAGUGAUCACGCUACUUAUGGUUUGAGCACCAAAGACGACGAUACGUGAUUCUAUCGCCUUAUGCCUAGCUAAGGGCGUUAAACAAUAGCGCUUGUUGGGAGGCAACCCAAUAAAUUUAUUUAUUUUUAUUUCUGUUUUUUUGCGUCCACACCAUCAUAAUUCUGUUAUUAUUGUGUCUUUUGUGUUUGAUCCAAGCAAAACCUCUGUGACUAGUCUUGGUGAUGGUUGUUUGAUCCUGCUGGAAAAAGACAGAAACUUUUCGCUCACGAGAUGAUUUUUCAUUUUUAUUCAGAAAGAGCUUUUGAGUUGAUUCUUUUUGCUUCUGGUUGAUAUGCCUUUUUCCCAGGCAGUAGUAAUUUUUCAGAAUUGUUGAGUUACCAGAAGUAUACAAAGUAUACAGAUUGCUACAGAUUGGUCUAAUUUUGAAAGAUUCUGUUAUUGUUGAGUUGGUUGCUUGUUUUGAUGAAACUAUGGAUAGUAUCGGGGGGGGGGGUGUACUAGCCAUGGAAAAGUGAGAAUACAGUAGCCCAACACCAAUAUAAAUAUAAAUCAAGAUUGCUACAGUACCUAAAGAAGUGGUAGUUUGUUUUCUUGUGCUAAUGAUAUCACGAGUUUCUAUUUAAGUUUUGUGUUGUGAAGUUUUCAAGUUUUUGGUGAUGUUCUCAUGGACAAAGAGAUAAGGAGUGGAAAGAGCUCAAGCUUGGGGAUGACCAAGGCAUCCCAAGCCAAAUUCAAGGACACCAAAAAGCCUAAGCUUGGGGAUGCCCCGGGAAGGCAUCCCCUCUUUCGUCUUCAAUCCAUCGGUAACAUUACUUGGAGCUAUAUUUUUAUUCACCACAUGAUAUGUGUUUUGCUUGGAGCAUCUUGUAUCGUAGGAGUCUUUUCUUUUUGUUGUGUCACAAUCAUCCUUGCUGCACACCUUUUGAGAGAGACAUGCACUCAUCGUGAUUUUGCUAGAAUGCUCAUAGUGCUUCACUUAUAUCUUUUGAGCUAGAUAAUUUUGCUCUAUGUGCUUUACUUAGAUCUUUUAGAGCACGGCGGUGUGUGACUUAGUAGUUGACUUAUGCUAUGAAAGUAGUCCAAAAGGUGAUAGGUACCCAAAGAGGAUACAAAAACCUCCACCUUCAUGUGCAUUCAGUAGAAAGAGAAGUCUUGAUUCCUCUCAAUUAGUUUUGAGACGUGGAUUUGGUAAUAUUGAGAGUUAUAUUAGUAGGGUGUUGUGAAUGUAGAAAUACUUGUGUUGAAGUUAGUGAUUCCCGUAGCAUGCACGUAUGGUGAACAUCUAUGUUAGGAAGUCAGAGCAUAAUUGAUCUAUUGUUAUCAUCCUUUGUGUUGAGGCCGGGAUCGCGCGAUGGUUAACACCUACCAACCCUUCCCCUAGGAGUAUGCGUUUAGCACUUUGUUUCGAUUACAAAUAAAAACUUUUGCAACAAGUAUGUGAGUUCUUCAUGACUAAUGUGAGUCCAUGGUAUAGAGGCACUUUCAACUUCCACCAUUGCUAGCCUCUCUAGUGCCGUGCAAUUCUCGCCGGUGCACAAACCCACCAUAUGCCUUCCUCAAAACAGCCACCAUACCUACCUACUAUGGCAUUUUCAUAGCCAUUCCGAGAUAUAUUGCCAUGCAACUCCCACCAUUCCGUCUCAUGACUUGUGCCGUCACUCUCAUAUUGCCAUUGCAUGAUCGUAAGAUAGCUAGCAAGAUGUUUCAACGUCAUACGCCAAGCUAGAUCGUUGCACAUUCUGGUACACUACCGGAGGCGUUUCCUAUAGAGUCAUCAUCGUUCUAAGCUUUGAGCUGUGAGUAAAUAAAAGUGUGAUGAUCAUCAUUAUUAGAGCAUUGUCCCAUGUGAGGAAAUAAAAAACAAGAGGCCAAAGAGCCCAAAUAAAAAAAGGCAGAAAAAAUAGGCCCAAGAGCCCAAAUAAAAAAAGAGAGAAAAAGAGAGAAGGGACAAUGCUACUAUGUUUUUCCACACUUGUGCUUCAUAAUAGCACCAUGUUCUUCAUGAUUGAGAGCCUCUCGUUUCGUCACCACCAUAUGCUAAUGGGAGUCUUCAUUAUAAAACUUGGCUUGUAUAUUCCAAUGAUGGGCUUCCUCAAAUUGCCCUAGGUCUUCGUGAGCAAGCAAGUUGAUGCACACCCACUAGUUAUCCUUUUGAGCUUUCACAUACUUAUAGUUCUAGUGCAUCAUUUGUAUGGCAAUCCCUACUCAUUCACCUUGAUAUCUAUUAAUGGGCAUCUCCAUAGCCGUUUGAUACGCCGAGUCAAUGUGCCCAUCUCCUCCUUUUUGUCUCACAACCACCACCACACUCUAUUCCACCUAUAGUGCUAUAUCCAUGGCUCACGCUUAUGUAUUGCGUGAUAGUUAUAAAAGUAUUGAGAAAGUAAGAGUGCGAAAACAAUUGCUUGUCCAAUACCGGGGUUGUGCAUGAUUUAAAUUAGUUGUGUGAGGAUGAUGGAGCAUUGCGAGACUAUAUGAUUUUGUAGGGAUAACUUUCUUUGGCCUUGUUAUUUUGAAAGUUCAUGAUUACCUUGCUAGUUUGAUUGAAGUAUUAUUGUUUUCAUGUCAAUAGCAAACUAUUGUUUUGAAUCUUACGGAUUUGAACAUUCAUGUCACAUGAAAGAAGUUACAAAGGACAACUAUGCUAGGUAGCAUUCCACAUCAAAAAUUCAGUCUUUAUCACUUCCCUACUUGAGGACGAGCAUGAGUUAAGCUUGGGGAUGCUUGAUACGUCUCACAAUGACAAGGGUUAGUAAAACAAUGAAUCAUGUUGCAUGCCAUGCAGUAAUCAAAUGCAACAACAAAAUGCACAAUCAAGGCCCUAUACUACUCGUGGUUCUAACGCGGGUUAAAUAGGGUGUCCUAUAGUGAGCGCGGCUCUAAUACCAAGCGUUGUGGCACCCCGUCUUAGAGAACUGAAUUACCAGUGUCUCCAGUCCAGAGAUCAUUUCUUCGGGAAACACACAAUAAUUUGGAACAGAACUGAACUGACUUUAUUGAUAGCUUUCGGGUAAAAGCUCAUACUUUACAAUGAUAGCGAGUCCAAAGGCACCCUCGGUGCUGCGACAGUAUGUACAUUAUUUAUGAAACACAGCCGGCCUUGAAACUACUAAGUACUUCUACGGCAUAGCGAAACAUAGCGGAAACUCCAUCCACAGGGACACUACUGUGGACACAUCCUAGUACGAACCAUUAGGACCUCCGUCCUCGGCUUCUCCUGCAUCUAGCAUGACACGCCAGGUGAGUACUUUGAAUGUACUCGCAAGCUCAUGACAACCAAGUAAUGCAGUAAACAAUAGCAUGGCGAUCAAUAUGUUAAUUACUAAAGCAACUUACUAACCGUACCAGUUACCAACUUACUCUUAUCCGGGUUGUUUCACAACACCCGGAAUACUCAUCGAGCAUCUCCAAUCAUGUGAAGAGAUCUUCCAUCAUUACUAACACUGAUAUGGUUGACCAUCUACUGAGGUCUAGACGGGCUGUCCAAUACCAUGGCCGCGAAUAUUCGAAUAGAUUUGACACUCUGCGGAGGUUGCACACUUUACCCACACCAUGGAGCAUCUGACCUCAUGAUCCCAUUCGGGUGGACCAGCGUUGCUCCAACGAAACGUGCCUGACCCGUGACUUUCCCAUCAUACCACCGGCAUUCAUCCUCCCCCGGAGCCCUGCCCUGGGUGGCCCCUGUGUCCUCAUGACACGUGCCACCGUUGUGGCCAAACUAAACUGUCCCAAACGGGGACGGGCCCAAACAACUCAACUGGGCUCACGGGGUUAUCACCACCUACCUGAUCAGGGUAGCGUGCGUGCAUAACCCUCCUUCUUUGGAGGUACCGGUGAAAGAACACGCGAUCAGCCCAAUUCACGGCCGUUCCAUACCGGCAAAUGUGGUUGCACGGUUAAGCCCGGACAGGUCACUCUAGAUCAACCACUCAGUUAUUUCAACUAUAGUGGUUCACAACAAUGAGCAACUAAGUAUUUUAAAUAAUUUACUAUGAAUUAUCCUAUAGCAAUUAAAUAGGUAUAAUGUAUGAAAGUAUGCAAUGCUAUGGAAAUGCUACAUAACAUGGGUAUCAUGGCUUGCCUUGCUCAGUUGGGUUGUUCAAACACUCCUGGUCUUCAAAAUCACCAAAGUUUCCUUCUGAAAAUAUUUUUGAACUGCAAAGAGGAAAUGUCACAUAAUGCAUUUUUGUUAACCAUAAAUUCUGCGAAUAUUGGAAAAAUACCAAAGUUUGUCAGAAAAUAAAGGGGCUCAGUACCAACUCAAUGCAAAAAGAAUCAACUGAGUUGGACCUAUAAAUAAAAAGUUAAGAGUGGUCAAAGUUACUGGUCAAACCUGGGAUUUAAAUAAAAACUAGAAAAUCUAAAAAGGACCACGUCGAAAGCGUAAAGUGGAGAGGCGUCUCCACCUACCGCUUCGAGCACGCAGGGAUGUCAUUGUGCCCGCACGGGUCUCACAGUGUGGCGCUGCAGUGGCGGCCGACGAGGGCUUCUCCGGCGAGGGGGGAGGGUCUGGAGGGUCUAGGUGGCUGUCGGGGAGCUAGUCGGCACUAGCCAACGAAGUACGGCGAUGCGGGCGUCUCGCUCCGACGAGACCCGAGCCUGGCGGCGCCCAGAGCGCGAUUUUGGCAGGCUGGCUAUGCGGUCACCGCGUGCACCGGCACUUGUGGCGCACGCCGGCCUACCACACCUUGUCUGGAGCAUCGUCCGUGCACUCUAGAAUCUCCUGGUGGCACUGUCUUGCCCAGUAAGCCAAUGAGAUGAGAGCUAUCUUCACCAACAGUCCCUGACGCCAAACUUGGGGAGGUUCUGGAGGGAAAAAAGAAAUAUAUAUGGAGCUUGUGGAGAUGUAUAGGGUUAUCUAUCUUGGAAGGACUUCAAACUGGCAAAGUUUGAGAAGGUUUGAAGAAGAAAUGAACAUAGCUCCUUUGGAAACCACUAUUCUGGUCGAGAAUACAAAUGAGCUCGAGGCACUCACAUGAAUGCUCUGCUGAGGAUGAAACUUGGUGGAGGGAAGUUAUUUGGUAGUGCACACAUGCCAUAAAAAUUGUAGAUCAUUUGUGCACCCCUAGCUGGUACUUCCUUCACAAAUGUUCAGAAUCAGCAGAAACUUGACAGGGUUCUUCUGCUCAAAAUUUGUACUAGACCAGAUGAUGUUUCUGGAUAUUGUGGCUAGAUAAGAUCCCUAGGAGCUUGGGGAAUUUAUUGGGAAUUUUUCAGGGUAGGAAAAAUGGGGUUGCUUCACAAUGGGGCAAUCUGGGGAGAGAAGAAAUAAUUAUUCUGGCAAAAAUUUUGCAUUGGGUAAUGGAAUAUGUUUGAAGAUUUUGGAAUCAUAUGUUGAUCAGAAGAUGUGGAAAAGGUUUGGGAGUUUAUUGAUCAUCUAGACUAUAGGUUGUUUCACAACCCAUAGUGAUGCCAUAAUUUCCUAACUAAAGAUAAGAAUUAUUGGAGAGGAUUAAAUAUUGGAAAUUGAUCCAAGAGAGGUGUGGAAAGGUUUUGGCAAGAUGAUGAGGGUUUUGGGUUACUUGAAAAAAAUCAGAGAUUCACAUAUCCAAAUGAGUUGAACAGAUUUGAGAAUCAACCAAGUUUGCAGGUAAAAACCCAAAAGAUUUUGGAAAGAAAAAGUUGACAAAAUCAGGGUGACACACAUCCCCCUAAGAGGGAUAAAGUAACCUUGGGUUUUGUUGUAGAAGAGUUCAAGUCGCUGUAGUAGUGGUGGAUGCUCAUUGUUGAUGAAGAUCAUCUUGAGUUUGGAUCAAUCCUAGUUGUUCUUACUCUCCUCACCUACAUGGGUUUGUCCUAGAUCAAAGGUAACAUAUGCAAGAAUAUCUAUGGACAUAGAAUGAAUUACAUUGAAGAUGAUGUCCAAAGAUGCAUUAAUUACUUUGUCCCUCACUCACCUUUGAGGGAAUGUGUGACUCCUUGAACUAAUGCAUAUGGUUGGAGUUGAUUGCAUGAAGCUCUUGCCAAAAUGAAUGAGUGAAUUUCAUUGGCGGAGUCACCCCUCAAGAACUUUCUAGUUCCUCCUCUUGGGGACCCACAUCAAGUUGAUGGGGAUCCUUGGAGUUGUGAUAGCACUAGAUGAGGUAGUGCUAGAAGUGUCCUUGGGAACCCACUCGACCUUGGCUUGGGGUUCUUCCUCAAAUAAGUCAAUCUCCUCUUGAAGCUUUCCCUUUCCCUUGUGAUCUUGUGGUCGAAGGUCAUCUUGAAGUCUUGUUCGCUUGGGAGGAGUAGCAUUAUACUUCUCCUCUCGAGGAACAAACUUGGGAAUGGGAUAUGGGACUUCUUCCCAAACAUCUCCGUUUACAUUAAAGUAUCCAACACCUUGCUUCUUCCGUUUUCCUCCUUGCUUGCACACAAUUUCCUCGAAUUGCUUACUUCUGGCAAGACUAUUUAAGACAUCUCUCUCUAUAAUCCCUUUCAAUAAAUCAUUUUCUUGCUCAAGUGUAACUUGGCUAAGAGAAUCAUUAGUGUAAUCAAGAGAGCUACUAGCAACAACAUCAUUUGAUCUAGCUUUAGCAUUGUUGUUACUCGAUGAAGAAACUUUCUUGCCUUUGUUACUAGUGUUCUUAUGUUUAACUUGUGGAACAAAAGUAGACAAGAGUAAUCGUUUGGCUAGGUAAGAAGAACUCUUCUUUCGCAGAUCAUCAUUGAUUGAUUUUAGAAACUCAUGCUCUUGCUCUAAAUUUAGCUUCUCAAAGCGUAACUUGUCAUGAGUUCUUGCAAGCUCACUAUGAUCCUAUAGAGUAGUUUCAUGAGCUAACUUAAGAGUGUUUAAUUCUUUAGUUAGUUGUUCAAUCUCUUUCUUAUCAUCAUCAUUCGAUUUCUCUUGACUAGCAUGAUUAUUUUCUAGUUCAUUUUCAAGGUUAUCACUAGUAUUAUCAAAGAGCAAGUCAUCUUCUCCUAACAAGUCAUCCUCGUCACUAUCAAAGUCAAAGUACUCGGGGUGCGAUACCUUGGGGCCUUUUGCAGUGAAGCAGUUUCCAAUCCCUUCAUUUGGUGAAUCAAAUAAGUCGUAGGAGUUGGAGGAAAUGAGUGCAAGACCGGCAACACCUUCACCUUGACUAUAGUCGGAGUUGGUGUGAUAGCUUCUCUCAGAUUGGUUGUCACACUAAGAGCCGAAACUCAUUCACCAACAUGAGCUUGAUGUCUUAUUCUUGGACUGCUCUUAGUGUACUUGUCUUUCUUCUCCGAUUCCUUUCCUCUUUGGGAGUGUCUUCAUUCAUAAUGAUCUUCUCUACUCCUUCUCUUUCUGCGAGGUGACUCAUCUCUUGAGCUUUGUCUUCGAGGUGACUCUUCUCUUCGUUUGUGAUAGCCGAGCACUCAUUGGAAUAGUAUCCAGGAUUUCCACAAUUGUAGUAGUUUCGGUCACGACUAUACGAACACUUAUCAUCAUAUCUUGAGCUUGAUCUUAUGUCUUUGCCUCUACUCUAGUAGAACUUGUUUAAUUUUGUGACCAGGAGGCUGAUCUCUUCAUUGGUAACAAGGUUUUCAUUUGAAGUGGUGAGAGUAUCACUUGAAGCUUUGUAAGCACCGCUUCACUUAUUAUGCAACUCAUCUUUGUCCUUGAGUGACAUUUCAUGAGCAACAAUCCUUCCAACGACUUUAGUUGGCUUGAGAUCCUUGUAGUUUGAGAUCAUUUGGAUUAAUGUGCACACGGUGUCAUAUCUUCCAUCCAAGGCUCUAAGUAUCUUCUUGAUGAUGAUCUUGUUGGUCGUCUCUUCACUUCCUAAGCCGGCAAUCUCAUUUGUGAUGAGAGCUAGCCUAGAAUACAUCUCAGUGACUCCUUCACUAUCGUUCAUCUUGAACUUGCCAAGCUGACUUUGAAGCACACCCAACUUAGAUUCCUUGACAAAAUCAGUACCUUCGUGCAUAUCAAUCAAAGUAUCCCAAAUUUCCUUUGCGUUCUCAAGGCGACUGAUUUUGUUGAAUUCUUUAGGACACAAGCAGUUGAAUAGGAUAUCACUGGCUUGAGCAUUAUACUUCAACAUCUUCUGCUCAUCCGCUGUCGCAUCACGAUCUGGUUCUUUUUGUUAUCCGAAGAAACCACCUUGCACACGAACACGAACAAUAGCCCAAACGACAACAUUAUGACCAAGAAUAUGCAUUUUCAUCUUAUGCUUCCAAGUAGCAAAGUUUGUUCCAUCAAAAUAUGGACCUCUACAGUGAUACUUUCCCUCGCUAGAUGCCAUAAAAUCCUAGGUUGUGAAACCAAUGCAAUGGAGACCAAAGCUCUGAUACCACUUGUAGGAUCGAAAACGUGUCUAGAGGGAGGGGGUGAUUAUACUACUUGACAAGAUAAAAACUUAGGCUUUUCCCAAUUUUAGUUGUGAUCCACUUUUAGCAAUUAUGACUAGUCAAGUUCACCCAAGAUGCACAUCUAAGAGUAUAGCAGCAGAAAGUAACGACAUGCAAAUGGAAAGUAGAGGGUAAGGUAGAGAGAUCAAACGCAAAGGUUGACACAAUGAUAUUUGGCAUGGUUCCGUUAGGUGGCACUAUUGUACGUACAUGUGAGUGAAAACUUCAACCCACGAAGGGUAACGGCUACGAGAGUCCACAGAGGGCUCCACCCACAAGGGGUUCAUGAAUAAGCGACCUUGUCCAUUCCACCAUGGCUUCCGUCCACACAGGAUUAGCCUCACUCACAGUAGAUCUUCACGAAGUAGGCGAUCUCCUUUCUCUUACGAACUUCUUUGUUCAACUCCCCAACACAAAGCAGGAGGCUCCCAAGCGACACCUAACAAAUCUAGGAGGCACCACCCUCCAAAAGGUAAUACAUGCGGUAGAACGAUGAAAUCCUUGCUCUUGUGCUUCAAAAGAUAGUCUCCUCAACACUCAAUCAAUAUCUCAUAGAUUUGGCAUGGGUAGGAGAGAUUGAUCUUGUGGAAAGCAACUUGGGGAGGCUAGAAAUCAAGGUUCAAAUGGUUGGAUUGGAAUCUCUUCAUCUCAAUACAUGAGUAGGUGGCUCUCUCUCAGAAAGAUGGAUCUGGCAAGUGUAAGUGUGUUCUGAGUGCUUCCUCUACAAAUGAGAGGAGGUGGAGGGGUAUAUAUAGGCAUCUCCCAAAAUCCAACCGUUACAACAUUAUUGCCCAACUCGGUGACACCGAAAUGAAUCUCGUUGGUAUUGAGUUGCACUAAAUGUGGCAACUUUUGAAUUCUCGGUGAGACUGAUACAGGAAUCUUGGUGGUACCGAUACAAUGACCGAGACCGGUUUCCAAGUCUCGGUGAGACCGAUUUCAAACUCGGAAAUUCUAAUUCUUGAAAUCUUCUCAAGAUAAAGUUGGUCACUGAAUCUCGGUGGCACCGAUGUGAAAGUUAGUGAUAUCGAGAUGGUAGGGUUUGGCAUAGGAUCUAUCAAGUGUAAAAUCGGUAGGGUCGAGUGGAAAUAGUUGGUGGCACUGACUUUGCUCGUUUAGCUUUGGAGAGAUAUAUUUUUUGUGAGAAUGGGUGAGUAUUUUUGGUGGCGACCUCUGAUCACUUGAGCAACCAAUUCAUCAUAAUACAUCACCCCAUUUUAAUAGUAUUGGAUUUCCUAUGGACUCAAAAUGAUUUCUCACAAAUGUAAAAUGUAGAGUCUUUUGCUUGAAGCUUGAGCCAAUCCUAUUCCUUUCCUUGCAUCAAGGGGCUUCUCCUCACAAUACUAUAGCCAAGGCAUCUUUGAACUUUUCUAAAAAUAUACUUGGAUAAUAUCAUUAGUAUAAUGAUGCAUAUGUUGUGAUCAAUUAUCAAAACCACCUUAGGGAGCAAUUGUGCUUUUGGUGUUGGGUGCAAGUGUGUGCUCUUUUGUGGGUAAGUGCUUGAUACGUCUACAACGUAUCUAUAAUUUUUGAUGGUUUCAUGCUAUUAUCUUGUCAAACUUUGGACGUUUUGUAUGCCUUUUAUAUAUUUUUGGAACUAACUUAUUAAAUCAGUUCCAAGUGCCAGUUCCUGUUUUUCCGUGUUUUUGACCCUUUUCAGAGGAGAAUUUUAAACGGAGUCCAAACGGAAUAAAAUCUACGGAAUGAUUUUUUCCAUAACAGAAGACACGCGGGAGACUUGAGAACCAAGGCAGGAGACCUCGGAGGAGGUCACAAGCCCACCAGGCCUGGCCUAGGUGGGGGCCUAGUAGGCUUGUGAGCUCCCCGUGGCUCCCCUGCCCUAGGUCUUCCGCCUAUAUAUUCCCUAAAAUCCCAGAAAAAAUCAGGAGAUCAUCGAAAGUACUUUUCCGCCGCCGCAAGCUUCUGUCUCCGCAAGAUCCCAUCUGGGGCAUGUUCUGGUGCCCUUCCGGAGGGGGGAUUCGGAUACAGAGGACUUGUUCAUCAACACCAUGACCUCUCCGAUGAUGCGUGAGUAGUUCACCAUAGACCUACGGGUCCAUAGCUAGUAGCUAGAUGGCUUCUUCUCUCUCUUGGAUCUUCAAUACAAAGUUCUCCAUGAUCUUCAUGGAGAUCUAUCCGAUGUAAUCUUCUUUUGCGGUGUGUUUGUCGAGAUCCGAUGAAUUGUGGAUUUAUGAUCAGAUUAUCUAUGAAUCUUAUUUGAGUUUCUUCCGAUCUCUUUUAUGCAUGAUUUCAUAUCCUUGUAAUUCUCUUCGAGUUGUGGGUUUUGUUUGGCCAACUAGAUCUAUGAUUCUUGCAAUGGGAGAAGUGCUUGGUUUUGGGUUCAUACCGUGCGGUGACCUCACCCAGUGACAUAAGGGGUAGCGAGGCACGUAUCGUGUUGUUUCCAUCAAGGGUAAAAAGAUGGGGUUUUCAUCAUUGGUUUGAGAUUAUCCCUCUACAUCAUGUCAUCUUGCUUAAGGCGUUACUCUGUUCAUCAUGAACUCAAUACACUAGAUGCAUGCUGGAUAGCGGUCGAUGUGUGGAGUAAUAGUAGCAGAUGCAUAAAGUAUCGGUCUACUUGUCUCGGACGUAAUGCCUAUAUGUAUGGUCAUUGCCUUAGAAAUCGUCAUGACUUUGCGCGGUUCUAUCAAUUGCUCGACAGUAAUUUGUUCACUCACCGUAAUACUUGCUAUUUUGAGAGAAGCCUCUAGUGAACACUAUGGCCCCCGGGUCUACUCCACAUUAUACUUUUCAGCCUUACACUUUUUCUUCGUUGCACUUUCCGCCUUCAGAUCUCACUUUGCAAUCAAUCUUGAAGGGAUUGACAACCCCUUUAUAGCGUUGGGUGCAAGCUCUUUUGUGUUUGUGCAGGUACUCUGGACUUGACGAGAUUCUCCUACUGGAUUGAUACCUUGGUUCUCAAACUGAGGGAAAUACUUACAGCUCCUAUGUUGCAUCGCCCUUUCCUCUUCAAGGGAAAAACCAACACAAGAUCUUUGUCACCGUAGCAGAAGAAUUUCUGGCGCCGUUGCCGGGGAGGAUCAAGUCAAGAACACAUCCAAGUUAGUGUCGCAAAAUCAUCUCUUGCGUUUACCUUUUUUGCCUCUCGUUUUCCUCUCCCCCACUUUUAAAAAACAAAAAUUACAAAAAGAUUUGCCUUUUUCGUUUGCCUUUUCAUUUACCUUUUUUUCUCGCUUGCUCUUUGUUCGCUUGUGUGCUUGCUUGCUUGCCAAAGUCACCAUGACUGAAAACACCAAACUUUGUGACUUCUCGAAUAUUAAUAAUAAUGAUUUUAUUAGUACUCCGAUUGCUCCCGCCACUAGUACAGAGUCAUACGAAAUCAAUGCCGCUUUGCUGAAUCUUGUUAUGAAAGAGCAAUUUUCCGGCCUUCCUAGUGAAGAUGCCGCAUCCCAUCUCAAUACCUUCAUUGAGCUUUGCGAUAUGCAAAAGAAGAAAGAUGUGGAUAAUGGUGUGAUUAAAUUGAAGCUUUUUCCUUUCUUGUUGCGAGAUCGAGCAAAAACUUGGUUUUCGUCUUUGCCCACAAAUAGUAUCGAUUCUUGGGAUAAGUGCAAAGAUGCUUAUAUAUCCAAGUAUUUUCCACCGGCUAAGAUUAUCUCUCUCCGUAAUGAUAUCAUGAAUUUUAAGCAACUUGAUCAUGAACAUGUUGCACAAUCUUGGGAGAGGAUGAAAUUGAAGAUUAGAAAUUGUCCCGCUCAUGGCUUGAGUCUUUGGAUGAUUAUACAAAUCUUUUACGCUCGCUUGAAUUUCGCUUCUAGAAACAUGUUGGACUCCGCCUUAGGUGGAACAUUCAUGGAAAUCACGUUAGGAGAAGCCACAAAACUCCUAGACAAUAUCAUGACGAACUACUCUCAGUGGCACACUGAAAGGUCACCUACUAGUAAAAAGGUACAUGCUAUAGAAGAAAUUAACUCGUUGAUUGCUAAGAUGGAUGAGUUAAUGAAUUUGGUUGCUAGUAGAAGUGCUCCUUUAGAUCCUAAUGAUAUGCCCUUGUCAUCCUUGAUUGAGAGUAGCAACGCUAGCUUGGACGUAAAUUUUGUUGGUAGGAAUAAUUUUGGCAACAACAAUGCUUUUAGAGGAAACUAUGUUCCUAGGCCUUUUCCUAGUAACUCCUCUAAUAACUUUGGCAACUCCUACAACAAUACUCAUGGAAAUUACAAUAGAUUACCCUCUAAUCUAGAGAGUAAUAUCAAAGAUUUUAUCAACUCACAAAAAAAUUUCAAUGUGUCCAAAGAGGAAAAACUACUCAAGAUUGACGAUUUGGCUAAAAGCGUUGAUAGAAUGUCUAGUGAUAUUGAUGCUUUGAAAAUUAGAUGUGAUCCUCCCAAGAUCAAUAUGGAUAAAACCUUAAAAGCUAUGUGUGUUUCCAUGAUUGAGAGCAAAGAAAGAACCGCCCAAAUUCGUGCUAGACAUGAAUGGCUUAAAAAGGCGUGUUCUCGUGAUAAGAAUCACGAAGAUCUUAAAGUGCUUGGUGUGACUCCCAUUGAAUGUUUGUUUCCCUGUGUCAAACUCAAUGAUGAUGGGGCUGGAUAUGAAUCCACUUUGGUUGAAAAACGCCCCAAUGAUUCAGAGUCCAUCUAUCUUGAUGCUAAAAGCAUUAAAAGUGGAGUAGAAGACAUUAAAACUUUGAGUAGUAAUGAAAUUACUACUUUGGAUUUCAAGGAAUUCAAUUAUGAUAAUUGCUCCUUGAUUGAAUGCAUUUCCUUGAUGCAAUCCAUGCUAAACUCUCCACACGCUUAUAGCCAAAACAAGGCCUUUACCGAUCAUAUCAUCGAAGCUAUGAUAAAAUCUCUUGAAGAGAAACUUGAAUUGGAAGUCUCUAUCCCUAGAAAGCUUCAUGAUGAGUGGGAACCUACUAUCAAAAUCAACAUAAAAAACUAUGAAUGCAAUGCUUUGUGUGAUUUGGGUGCUAGUGUUUCCGCGAUUCCAAAGUCUUUAUGUGAUGUUCUGGGUUUUAAUGAGCUUGAAGAGUGUUCUCUUAAUUUGCAUCUUGCGGAUUCUACUGUCAAGGAACCCAUGGGAAGGAUCAAUGAUGUUCUUAUUAUUGCAAACAGGAACUAUGUACCCGUGGAUUUCAUUGUGCUUGACAUUGAUUGCAAUCCUACAUGCCCUAUUAUUCUUGGUAGACCUUUCCUAAGGACUAUCGGUGCUAUCAUCGAUAUGAAGGAAGGGAAUAUUAGAUUUAAAUUUCCUUUAAAGAAGGGCAUGGAGCACUUUCCUAGAAAGAAAAUAAGAUUACCUUAUGAAUCCAUGAUGAGGGCCACUUAUGGUUUGAGCACCAAAGACGACGAUACGUGAUUCUAUCGCCUUAUGCCUAGCUAAGGGCGUUAAACAAUAGCGCUUAUUGGGAGGCAACCCAAUGAAUUUAUUUCUUUUUCUUUCUGUUUUGUUGCGUACACACUAUCAUAAUUCUGUUAUGAUUGUGUCUUUUGUGUUUCUUUUUGUGUUUGAGCCAAGCAAAACCUUUAUGAUUAGUCUUGGUAAUGGUUGUUUGAUCCUGCUGGAAAAAGACAGAAACGUUUUGCUCACGAGAUGAUUUUUAAUUUUUAUUUAGAAAGAGCUUUUGAGUUGAUUCUUUUUGCUUCUGGUUGAUAUGCCUUUUGCCCAGGCAGUCGCAAUUUUUCAGAAUUUGUGAGGUACCAGAAGUAUACGAAGUAUACAGAUUGCUACAGACUGGUCUAUUUUUGACAGAUUCUGUUUUUGUUGAGUUCGUUGUUUGUUUUGAUGAAACUAUGGAUAGUAUCGGGGGGUAAUAGCCAUGGGAAAGUGAGAAUAUAGUAGCCUAACACCAAUACAAAUAUAAAUCAAGAUUUCUAUAGUACCUAAGGUGGUGGUAGUUUGUUUUCUUAUGCUAAUGUUAUCACGAGUUCCUGUUUAAGUUUUGUGUUGUGAAGUUUUCAAGUUUUGGGUGAUGUUCUCAUGGACAAAGAGAUAAGGAGUGGAAAGAUCUCAAGCUUGGGGAUGCCCAAGGCAUCCCAAGCCAAAUUCAAGGACACCAAAAAUCCUAAGCUUGGGGAUGCCCCGGGAAGGCAUCCCCUCUUUUGUCUUCAAUCCAUCGGUAACACUACUUGGGGCUAUAUUUUUAUUCACCACAUGAUAUGUGUUUUACUUGGAGCAUCUUGUAUCUUAGGAGUCUUUUCUUUUCGUUGUGUCACAAUCAUCCUUGCUGCACACCUUUUGAGAGAGACAUGCACUCAUCGUGAUUUUGCUAGAAUGCUCAUCGUGCUUCACUUAUAUCUUUUGAGCUAGAUAAUUUUGCUCUAUGUGCUUCACUUAGACCUUUUAGAGCAUGGCGGUGCGUGACUUGGUAGUUGGCUUAUGCUAUGAAAGUAGAACCAAAGGUGAUAGGUACCCAAAUAGGAUACAAAGACCUCCAUCUUCAUGUGCAUUGAGUAGAAAGAGAAGUCUUGAUUCCUCUCAAUUAGUUUUGAGACAUGGAUUUGGUAAUAUUAAGAGUUAUGUUAGUAGGGUGUUGUGAAUCUAGAAAUGCUUGUGUUGAAGUUAGUGAUUCCCGUAGCAUGCACGUAUGGUGAACCACUAUGUUAGGAAGUCGGAGCAUAAUUGAUCUAUUGAUUGUCAUCCUUUGUGUUGAGGUCGGGAUCGCGCGAUGGUUAACACCUACCAACCCUUCCCUCGGGUAUGCGUUUAGCACUUUGUUUCGAUUACUAAUAAAAACUUUCGCAACAAGUAUGUGAGUUCUUCAUGACUAAUGUGAGUCCAUGGUAUAGAUGCACUUUCACCUUCCACCAUUGCUAGCCUCUCUAGUGCCGUGCAAUUCUCACCGGUACACAAACCCACCACAUGCCUUCCUCAAAACAGCCACCAUACCUACCUACUACGGCAUUUUCAUAGCCAUUCCGAGCUAUAUUGCCAUGCAACUCCCACCGUUCUGUCUCAUGACUUGUGAUGUCACUCUCAUAUUGCCAUUUCAUGAUCGUAAGAUAGCUAGCGAGAUGUUUCAACGUCAUACGCCAAGCUCGAUUGUUGCACAUCCCGGUACACUGCUGGAGGCAUUUCCUAUAGAGUCAUCAUCGUUCUAAGCUUUUAGCUGUGAGUAAAUAAAAGUGUGAUGAUCAUCAUUAUUGGAGCAUUGUCCCAUGUGAGGAAAAAAGAGAGGCCAAAGAGCCCAAAUAAAAAAACGAGAAAAAGAGAGAAGGGACAAUGCUACUAUCUUUUUCCACACUUGUGCUUCAUAAUAGCACCAUGUUCUUCAUGAUUGAGAGCCUCUCGUUUCGUCACCACCAUAAGCUAGUGGGAAUCUUUAUUAUGUAACUUGGCUUUUAUAUUCCAAUGAUGGGCUUCCUCAAAAAAUUUCCUAGGUCUUCGUGAGCAAGCAAGUUGGAUGCACACCCACUAGUUCUCCUUUUGAGCUUUCACAUACUUAGAGCUCUAGUGCAUCAUUUGUAUGGCAAUACCUACUCUUUCACAUUGAUAUCUAUUAAUGGGCAUCUCCAUAACCUUUUGAUACGCUGAGUCCAUGUGACCAUCUCCUCCUUUUUGUCUCACAAUCACCACCACACUCUAUUCCACCUAUAGUGCUAUAUCCAUGGCUCACGCUCAUGUAUUGCGUGAUAGUUAUAAAAAGUUUGAGAAAGUAAGAGUGCGAAAAUAAUUACUUGGCCAAUACCGGGGUUGUGCAUGAUUUAAAUUAGUUGUGUGAGGAUGAUGGAGCAUAGCCAGACUAUAUGAUUUUGUAGGGAUAACUUUCUUUGGCCUUGUUAUUUUGAAAGUUCAUGAUUACCUUGCUAGUUUGCUUGAAGUAUUAUUGUUUUCAUGUCAAUAGCAAACUAUUGUUUUGAAUCUAAUGGAUCUGAACAUUCAUGUCACAUGAAAGAAGUUGCAAAGGACAACUAUGCUAGGUAGCAUUCCACAUCAAAAAUUCAGUUUUUAUCACUUCCCUACUCGAGGACGAGUAGGAGUUAAGCUUUGGGAUGCUUGAUACGUCUCCAACGUAUCUAUAAUUUUUGAUGGUUUCAUGCUAUUAUCUUGUCAAACUUUGGACGUUUUGUAUGACUUUUAUAUAUUUUUUGGGACUAACUUAUUAACUCACUGCCAAGUGCCAGUUCCAGUUUUUUCCGUGUUUUUGACCCUUUUCAUAGGAGAAUUUUAAACGGAGUCCAAAUGGAAUAAAAUCUGCGGAAUGAUUUUGUCCAUAACAGAAGACACGCGGGAGACUUGAUAACCAAGGCAGGAGACCUCGGAGGAGGUAACAAGCCCACCAGGCCCGGCCUAGGGGGGGGCAGGCCUAGCAGGCUUGUGAGCUCCCCGUGGCUCCCCUUCCCUAGGUCUUCCGCCUAUAUAUUCCCUAAAAUCCCAGAACAAAUUAGGAGAUCACAGAAAGUACUUUUCUACCGCCACAAGCUUCUGUCUCUGCAAGAUCCCAUCUGGUGGCACGAUCUGGUGCCCUGUCAGAGGGGGGAUUCGGAUACGGAGCGCUUCUUCAUCAACACCAUGACCUCUCCGAUGAUGCGUGAGUAGUUCACCAUAGACCUACGGGUCCAUAGCUAGUAGCUAGAUGGCUUCUUCUCUCUCUUGGAUCUUCAAUACAAAGUUCUCCAUGAUCUUCAUGGAGAUCUAUCCGAUGUAAUCUUCUUUUGCGGUGUGUUUGUCGAGAUCCAAUGAAUUGUGGAUUUAUGAUCAGAUUAUCUUUGAAUCUUAUUUGAGUUUCUUCUGAUCUCUUAUAUGCAUGAUUUCAUAUCCUUGUAAUUCUCUUCGAGUUGUGGGUUUUGUUUGGCCAACUAGACCUAUGAUUCUUGCAAUGGGAGAAGUGCUUGGUUUUGGGUUCAUACUGUGCGGUGACCUCACCUAGUGACAGAAGGGGUAGCGAGGCACAUAUCGUGUUGUUGCCGUCAAGGGUAAAAAGAUGGGGUUUUCAUCAUUGGUUUGAGAUUAUCCCACUACAUCAUGUCAUCUUGCUUAAGGCGUUACUCUGUUCGUCAUGAACUCAAUACACUAGAUGCAUGCUGGAUAGCGGUCGAUGUGUGGAGUAAUAGUAGUAGAUGCAGAAAGUAUCGGUCUACUUGUCCCAGACGUGAUGCCUAUAUGUAUGAUCAUUGCCUUAGAUAUCGUCAUGACUUUGCGCGGUUCUAUAAAUUGCUCGACAGUAAUUUGUUCACCCACCGUAAUACUUUCUAUUUUGAGAGAAGCCUCUAGUGAACACUAUGGCCCCCGGGUCUACUCCACAUUAUAUUUUCAGCCUGACACUUUUUCUUUGUUGCACUUUCCGCCUUCAGAUCUCACUUUGCAAUCAAUCUUGAAGGGAUUGACAACCCCUUUAUAGCGUUGGGUGCAAGCUCUUUUGUAUUUGUGCAGGUACUCUGGACUUGACGAGAUUCUCCUACUGGAUUGAUACCUUGGUUCUCAAACUGAGGGAAAUACUUACUGCUCCUGUGCUGCAUCGCCCUUUCCUCUUCAAGGGAAAACCAACGCAAGCUCAAGAGACGACAAAAGAUCUCUGUCGUCGUAGCAGUGGUGAAGACGGAAAGUUGUGUGAUCCUCCUAUUGGUUUGAUAACCUUGAUUCUCACUGAAGGAAAUACUUAUCUAUAUUGUGCUGCAUCAUCCCCUCCUCUUCGGGGGAAAACGCAACACAGAUCACAAGUACCAGUGGCCUCUCCCAAUGUCACCUCCAUAAAGGUAUCACCUUAGCAGAAUCUAGAAGAUUUCUAGACACAAAGUUUAGUCUCACAUAGAAAUUUUGUAUAAUCAUCCAUAAAAUUAAGCCAUGCACGGUACAAUUUAUAAUCAUCAAUUUCAUUCUCUCCCAUGCUUGUGCAACAUGUUCUUGCUCAUGUUGUUUAUAAUUCAUAAUUUUAACGAAGAAAUACAAUCUUAGAGGGAGGAAAAUACUUGGAAAUGAAAGCAUAUUUACACGUAUCCCAUGUUCCAAUACUAUUAUGAGAUAAAUAUGAAAAUCAAGCUUUAGCUUUCUCUCUUAGUGAAAAAGAAAAUAAUUUCAAUUUGACUACGUCAUUAUCCACAUCCUUAUUGUUUUGCAUAUCACAUAAUUCAAUAAAAGUAUUGAGAGGCCAAGCCGGAUCCUCAUUAAGACUUAUCAAAGAUUUCUCUUUCAUAACAAGAUUUAGCAGUGCAACAUUAAUACCAUAAAACUCCGCACUAGUGGCGGCCAGUAUAUGUAAUGCCCCAAGUGUAGAACUUUCCCUUCUUGUAACCUUCCAUGUCGGGCCACCUUGUCAGAGAUCUUGAUGAUAUCAUUUUGUGCCAUGAAUUCAUGUGUGUUCCCUAGUGCUUACUUCCCUUGCAUGCAUGAAUUACAUAUCAUUCCUUGCCAUACUUAUGAUUGCAUGCCAUGAUCAUGUUGCAUUUGAGUUUAAUAGGAGUAGUGUUGUGGUGUUGUGAGUGCAUGUGAUCUUGCUAGGAUUAAGUGGUGGUUUUGCACUACCUUGUGAUGCAUGUGAUAAUGGUGUGUGUGAUGCAAGGGGGUGUGCUAGUCUUUUUAAGCUCUUGCCUUUUAAACUCCUUUUCCCUCCUAUUUUUAUUCUUGUCAAAAUUCCUUCUUCCCAAAGAUGAUCCUAAAAUGUCUAGUGGUUAGAUAAAAAUGUGCUUAUGAGGGGGUGCAAUUUUUCUGAUUUGAUUCCUUGAUUUAAGUGGGGCAAAUAAACUCAAAACAGUAGCUUAAUUACUGUUUUGCAUUUAUUUCAAACUUCUCCAAAAAUUGCNNNNNNNNNNNNNNNNNNNNNNNNNNNNNNNNNNNNNNNNNNNNNNNNNNNNNNNNNNNNNNNNNNNNNNNNNNNNNNNNNNNNNNNNNNNNNNNNNNNNNNNNNNNNNNNNNNNNNNNNNNNNNNNNNNNNNNNNNNNNNNNNNNNNNNNNNNNNNNNNNNNNNNNNNNNNNNNNNNNNNNNNNNNNNNNNNNNNNNNNNNNNNNNNNNNNNNNNNNNNNNNNNNNNNNNNNNNNNNNNNNNNNNNNNNNNNNNNNNNNNNNNNNNNNNNNNNNNNNNNNNNNNNNNNNNNNNNNNNNNNNNNNNNNNNNNNNNNNNNNNNNNNNNNNNNNNNNNNNNNNNNNNNNNNNNNNNNNNNNNNNNNNNNNNNNNNNNNNNNNNNNNNNNNNNNNNNNNNNNNNNNNNNNNNNNNNNNNNNNNNNNNNNNNNNNNNNNNNNNNNNNNNNNNNNNNNNNNNNNNNNNNNNNNNNNNNNNNNNNNNNNNNNNNNNNNNNNNNNNNNNNNNNNNNNNNNNNNNNNNNNNNNNNNNNNNNNNNNNNNNNNNNNNNNNNNNNNNNNNNNNNNNNNNNNNNNNNNNNNNNNNNNNNNNNNNNNNNNNNNNNNNNNNNNNNNNNNNNNNNNNNNNNNNNNNNNNNNNNNNNNNNNNNNNNNNNNNNNNNNNNNNNNNNNNNNNNNNNNNNNNNNNNNNNNNNNNNNNNNNNNNNNNNNNNNNNNNNNNNNNNNNNNNNNNNNNNNNNNNNNNNNNNNNNNNNNNNNNNNNNNNNNNNNNNNNNNNNNNNNNNNNNNNNNNNNNNNNNNNNNNNNNNNNNNNNNNNNNNNNNNNNNNNNNNNNNNNNNNNNNNNNNNNNNNNNNNNNNNNNNNNNNNNNNNNNNNNNNNNNNNNNGCACUACUUGUUGACAUGAGAAGGGAGAGAUGCAAUGUAAGGUGACUGCAGGCCCACUGAUACAAUUAAACCAACCAGAUCAACAAAAAGGCGCCGAGGGGGGGACUCGAACCCUGGACCUCUCAUCAGGCGCAUGCAUAUAACAGAGAGAUACUACCAUCAGGCUACGAACCGGAGUCUGGCUAAGACUAGAAGGUAAAACAGAAAAACACGCCUCUCACGAGAAGCAUUCCGCCAGCGUCCUCGGGUCCGGCCGCCGGCGGAAUGCUUCUCGUGAGAGGCGUGUUUUUCUGUUUUACCUUCUAGUCUUAGCCAGACUCCGGUUCGUAGCCUGAUGGUAGUAUCUCUCUGUUAUAUGCAUGCGCCUGAUGAGAGGUCCAGGGUUCGAGUCCCCCCCUCGGCGCCUUUUUGUUGAUCUGGUUGGUUUAAUUGUAUCAGUGGGCCUGCAGUCACCUUACAUUGCAUCUCUCCCUUCUCAUGUCAACAAGUAGUGCCGCAGCACCGUGGCGUGAGCAUGGGGUGCUGGGCACCAGGGUCCGGGAUCGAAUCCGAGCAGCCCCUGACCUAUUUUUUUUUGCUUCUGUUUUUNGUCUUUUAAAUUUCUGUGUCCUAUCUCCUACACUUAUGUGUCUUAUCAGUUUUGUUCCCUGUUGUUUUUAUUGCAAACACUCCUACGCAGUGAUGAUUGCUCCUGUUCCUGCUAGAAUAGUGGAAUAAGAUUUAGUUGUGAGUAUGUUUUACACUAGGGGUGAUAAAUAGUAUUGCUAGCUUGUGAUGCUUAUAGUGGUUGUACCUUGGUGAUGAGGAGCCAACCUUGAUAAGGGCAUGAUGCUAGAUGCCUUGAUAGAUAUGGGUGUAGUGUUUGGAGGUGAUUAGUUGCCCUAGCUAUUCUUGCAAAGCCCUAGCUUGUGAACUUUGGUGUGGGCUAAGGGAUCUUGUAGUUUUAUUAGCUUGCUUUGAUAUAGUGGGGUGUGGGUGCCUCCCCCUCAUCACAUGUUUUGGGGUGAAGUGAGGUUCUAGAUAGCUAUCUAUGUUAGCAUGUGAGGGUGUGGAUUGUUGUGGUAGUUUGCAUAUUGAUGGUGACAUGAAUACUAGGAAGAUCCUAGUGAUGCUUGUGAGAGUGUGCACCAUCACAUGCCCAUAUGUGGGGGGUGUGCAUACUCUCUUGUUAGUUAAAGAUUUCUUAUGUGUGAGCUUGAUGCUAGUGCUUGAGAGGAAUUGUGUGUGUUGGAGUUGUUGAUGUGCAUGACACAAACAUGGGGUUCAAACCCCCAUGUCACUUUGUCAUUGUGCACAUGAAACCCUCCUAUGUAGUUGUCAUCUUAAAAGCAUACCUUAUGGUUUUGCAUUUUCAUUUUGUUGAAAGUUUGGGCUUUGUUUCCAUGAUAUAGAUGGAGCCCAAAGGCAUGGGUCUUGGUGUGUUAGUUGUAGGGGUUUGUGCUCAAUACCAUAGUGGUGUCAAACACCUCUUGGGAACUUGUGUGUGCAAACUAUGCCUAGACAAAGUGGGCAUGUGGCUGGAAAAAUUCCAGAUUUUUGAACUCUGAAAAUUUCACUAAGUCUGGAUUGCUGAAAACAUUUUCUUCCCCUGUAGAUAAGGUUGUGCUGGUCAUUGUGUUAAGAACUGGACUUAGUUCAGUGCUAGUGUUUUGAACCUGGUAUGUUUGUGAAGCUUCCUGUCAAUUUUAAAGUCAUUUGGAGUCCAGUAGCUUGUGUUUUGAUUGCUGUCGAAAAGGCUUCAGAACAGAAACAGAAACUCAGGUGCAGGAAUUUUCACUAAGUCCCUGAGAACUGAUGGUUUUGGGAAAGUUUGUGGCCUUGUAUCUUCUAGAGUUUAAUUCCUUUUGCUGUGAUUAUUGCUGGAGAUUGUAGUGUUCUUGGUUGGCAACAGCCACAUAUAUUAUUUGUCAUAUUUGAAGACCUGUAGCUAUGUUGCAUGUGGCUCACAAACAGCUAAAAUGCAGAAACUGGCAGAUUGCGUAGUUUUGACAUUCUGCUCAAAGUUUGUGUUUAAUUGUUGUUGGAGUGUUCUACCUUGCUCCAUUUCAUUCAUGUUGGGUUAAUAUAUGUCUUGGCGACCUGGGAACACCAGAUUUGUGCCAAUUGUGUGUGUGGUGAUGAAUCUUUCACGUAGGGCUUCAUAUCGUGUUACGUUGAUUCCCGUUGUUCCGUAGCUCCGUUUGCAAAGUUCUUUAUAUGAUUUUGCACCGUUUUUACGAGAUGCAUCUGUUCAUUUCAUUCCCAUGCAUGUCCAAAUAGUUUAGUGCAAAGUUCUGUCCAGGAACUUGUUGUAGUUAUCCUUGCUUGUGCUAGUGUUAGAAAUAGUGGUGCAUGCUCAACUUUCUUCUCAUGCAUCAUGUGAUUGUUGCAUUUUGUGGUGCUGCUGUUCAUUGGCUGUUAUUCUUGUGUUGGGUAGCACCGGGAGUGGAGACCGAUUACGUGGAGUCAGGAGAGUACUUGCAGGACGAUCCAGAACCAUUCCAAGCUGAGGAUAUCACAUGCAAGAUGACAUGACCUUGAUCCAAUAUCUAGACUUGUUAUGUUAGUUUCGGUUCCACGUCAUAUUGCUCGCUGCCUACCACUGAAAAUAUAUUUCCUCUUCAUAUGCCAUGAGCCUAAACACCUUACUCCUUCCUAGCAAACUUGCAUGGCUAGGUAGGCUUGCUCAGCUACUAAUGUUAGCAUUGUUAGUUGCAGGUGAUUAUAACUCAUGAGUUGUCAUGAGCUUGAUAUCAUUAUAUUAAUUUAUGUUAUUAAUUUAAUGUAUCUAUAUACUUGGCAAAUGACGGGAGGCCUAGCCUUUUGCCGGGUGUCUUGUUCCGUUAUUGCCGCCUUAGUUACCGGUCACUGGUGUUUGAUUCCAUAAUGAUCGCUCCUAACACGUUCGGGGUUGUUAUGGGGACCCCCUUGAUAAAUCGCGUAGUGUUAAGGCUUGUCCGGCAGGACCCAACUUUGGUACUAUUUGCUAAUCACCUAAUAAUAAUCUCCAUAGGGAAUAGCUACCCCGAGGAUUCUAAUCAACAACCCGGGCCAGUGCUCCUCAUGAGUGUUGGUCCAAACUGGUCUGCCUGCGGGGCCACCACAAGGAAACUUGAGGUUUGGCACCUGUAGCUAGUUCCAUCCGGCGCGUCCUGAGACUGAGAUACGCGGCUCUUAUCGGGGUCGUCGACACGUCGGGAGGUCCUGCUAGUCUUGUCUUGCCUUAGCGGUAUAUCUUGCGUAUAGGAAUCCCGGUGAAGCUUUGGUUUUCCCCAAAGUUGAGGUUUUCCCUCUAAGGAAUUCGACGAGAUCACGAGAUUCGUGAUAGAGGAUGCCUUUGCGGCCUGUGUUCGUUUGUGAUGGACUAGUUGGAGCACCCCUGCAGGGUUUAAUCUUUCGGAAAGCCGUGCCCGCGGUUAUGUGGCAACUUGGAAUAUUUUGUUAACAUCCGGUAUUAGAAAACUUAAACAUAAACUAAUAAAAAUAUGCCAACUGUGUGCGUAACCGUGACUGUCCCUUCGAAGAUCUCUCUUCGAUCCGGAACACGGUGGGGUUAUGAAUGCCGUAGGUAGGGGUUCAGGAUCACUUUCUGAUCAAGUUUUCACGAUCGUUAGCAUAGAACACUGUCACUUCUCCUUUGCGUAAGCUAGCCACUUAUUCAUCCUUAGGGUGCAGCAGCCUGAAACACUUCACCCCUUCCUUACCCAAUAACAUGACUAGAUCUGGCACCAAGGUCUUAGAUUGCUGAGUCCCCGUGACUCACGGAUUCCUCCGAAACUCCCAGCAGGUACAGGUACCCCAGAGGCAGAUGAUCCCGACGGCACCCAGCUGACGUGGCACUACGACGAGGAGACAGAUCGCCUUUACGUGAACUAUCCAGAGGACUGAGCCGUGGUCGUGAUCGUGGGCCUGCAGCGGGUAGCAUAGCAUUUCCCUUGUUUUGUAGUCCGUACCGGAACUACCUUGUUUGUAUCUGCAUUGUACUCUGUAUUUUUUAAAUAAGAAGACAGUUGAAUCCCAGAUUGUCUACUAUAUUUAUUAUUAUGUGCUAUGUUUACUUGCUUGCAAAACACUUAGAUGCGCUUCUUUCCUAUUCGGGGGCCUCGACCCCCAGAUCGGAAAGGACCGCAUCUUGGUCGUUACAAGUUGGUAAUCAGAGCCUUACGACCAUAGGAGCCUUUGUGUGAUCGUAUUUGGCCGAGUCGAGUCUAGUAAAUGUUUUGAGUCUUAGUUAUAUCGGAGAGUAGGUUUCAUUUUUCUCCUCUUCUUUGCUCUUGUGAGGCUUCCGUCUUAGGAAAUCUUUAACUCUACUCCUUUUCCCGCUCAAAUUUUUUUUUAGGAUCACGCGGGUGUUUGCGAAAUCUAUAUGAUUUCGAUGUGACGGAAUCGUGUCCUGGUGCCUCAUAUCUGCUCUAAGUAUCAGGGGAGUUGAGCUCCAGGGAUUAUCACGCACAUUGCCAUCAUUCGGAUUUCUGAGUACCUAAGAACGGAGGGUGUUCGCUAUUGCUUCAAUACGGGUAGUGGUGAGAUAACCCCGACGUCCCCAGUACUGGUGUAGAUUGUUCAGGGGUACUACCACACUUUGUAUCGUUGUGAUCACGAGGAUCUGUUGUAGACGAAGGUCCGAGAUGCUGGUUGUGUGUUGAAGGGUGUGAUACAGGUGACGGUUUAGAUUAGGAGUUGUGUGAAAUACUCCUUGUAUCCGGGUGCCUGAUUGCAUGACCAGUUAUUUCGGGAAUUCAUAGGUGGGAUAUCUGGUAGUAUCUUAUAGGGCUAUCUUCCUACAGACGCUUGAUUGAGGUUUGGGAAAUCUCGAUUAUAUGUUUGUUCCGAGCAGUUCUAGCUCACACUUGUUUGCUGUGGCCCUUAUCGGAAUUUUGUCGUCUGUUACUUUGAGAAUGCACUCUUGCUAUGUUGUUAAAGUGCAAUGCUAAGUUCUAUUCAGAUAUUCUGUCUUUUGAUUCAGCUUAUCUUCAAAUGUUCUGUGGACUAAUAUGCUGUCCGUCUUCAGGAUGGCUCCACCAACGCGUCAGACCCCAGCGCGUGAGGAUAUGCCGCCUCCACCUCCUGUCCUCCGCCACCGCCGCCGCCUCCUCCUACAGAGGCCUGGCAGGCGAUGAUGGCAGCUACCAAUGCAAAUACUCAGAUGUUGUUGCAGUUGAUCCAGGAGAGAGCCAAUCAUCAGCAAGGCAAUUUCCAGCAGGGUGGCAAUCACUUCGCCAGUCUGAGUCAGUUCCUGUCAAACCAUCCUAGGACGUUCACUUCUUGCGACCAGCCGUUUGACGCGGAAGAUUGGAUCCGUGAUAUGAACAAGCAUUUCGAGUGUAGCAAUGUGCGUCCAGAGGAUUAUGUCAAGUUUGCAACAUUCCAGUUGAAGGGGCAGGCUUCUAUUUGGUGGCAGCAGCUUAAGGACUCCAGAGGUGGCAGGGUGAUGUCUUGGGACGAGUUCUGUCGUGACUUCAGGUCCCACUACAUUCCUUCCAGUUUUGUUGAGGAGAUGCGUGAGAAGUUCAGGCGCUUGAAGCAGGGCAGCAAUUCUGUGUACAAGUACAAUGUGGAGUUCCACGAGCUGGCCCGUUACGCUGUGCAGGAUGUUCCGGAUCAGAAGAGUAAGAUAUACCAGUUCAGGGGUGGCUUGAAGGAGGAUUUGCAGUUAGCACUCGCUUUGCACGAUCCUGAGGAGUUUGACAAAUUCUAUAACUUAGCUCUCAGAGCAGAGGCAGCCUUGCUCAGGGUGGAGAACUCCAAGAAACGUUUCAGAGAUUCCAGCUCUUCCUCGACUCAGGUGGUUCAGAAGCAACAGAGGUUUUGGGUUUCUCCUCCUCCUCCUCGGCACUCUCAGCAGCCGAAGCACUCAGGUGGACGUGGUUCUUCCCGCCCACCCAACCCUGGAUUCCAGCAGAGAUAACAGCAGCAGAAGCAAGGGCCUCCUCAGAUUCAGUUCCGGCAGCCAGCAGAUGUCACUUGUCACAAAUGUGGGCAGAAGGGUCACUAUGCCAACAAAUGCACUUCUCAGCUCCGUCUGCCGCCUCCUCCUCCAGGCAAACCUCCUAGAAAUUCUCUUGUGAAGUUCAACCCCAGGUCAGCUCGAGUCAACAUGGUGAAUGCAGCUGAGGCAGAAAAUUCAUCGGAUGUGAUCAUGGGUAAUCUCUCAGUCAAUGGUAUUCCUGCUAAAGUCUUGUUUGAUUCUGGUGCUUCGCAUUCCUUCAUGUCUUACCCCUUUGCAUUUGAUAAUAAUUUUGCGACCGAGUUCCUUCCCAAGCCAUUGCAAGUUGUGUCUCCCGGUAUGCGGAUGAGCUCUAAGUUGUUCGUCCCACACGUUUCUGUCAAGAUGGACAAUUACGCUUUUCUGGCGUCUCCUAUUGUCUUGGGCAAGUCCGACAUUGAUUUGAUCCUUGGUAUGGACUGGUUGGCCAUGAACAAAGCAUCAAUUGAUUGCGCAGCUAAAGAAGUGAAGCUGACCCACUCUUCGGAGGAUGUGAUCAUAUUGGCGCGCGAUGACACAGUCCGCUUGUUCUCCUUGAAUGAAAAGGGUGAGAUCAAUCCCAUUGAGCAAGUUCCAGUAGUCUGCGAAUAUCAGGACGUGUUUCCCGAGGAGUUGCCAGGGAUGCCUCCGCACCGUGAAGUGGAGUUCGUCAUUGAGCUUGAGCCAGGCACAGAGCCAGUGUGCAAGCAGCCAUACAAGCUGGGUCCGGAAGAGUUGAAGGAACUCAAGAGACAACUCGAUGAGCAGGAGCGUUUGGGUUUAAUCAGACCAAGCUCGUCUCCAUGGGGAUGUGGUGUUCUGUUUGUCAAGAAGAAGGAUGGUACGGAACGACUGUGUGUCGAUUACCGCCCAUUGAAUAAGAAGACAAUCAAGUACAAAUAUCCGCUUCCGAACAUAAAUGAGUUGUUCGAGAAGCUGAAAGGUGCUAAAGUAUUCUCCAAGCUUGAUCUCAGAAUGGGCUAUCAUCAGAUUCGCAUUCGUGAGGAAGACAUUCCAAAGACGGCUUUCAGGACCAGUUUUGGCUCUUAUGAGUAUACGGUCAUGUCUUUUGGUCUGGCUAAUGCUCCUCCGACCUUUUGCCGAUUGAUGAACUAUAUUUUCUCGCCAUUCAAGAAUGAGUUUGUCUUGCUUUAUCUCGAUGACAUUCUGGUCUUUUCUGAGGAUGAGGAAGAACAUGAGAAACAUCUCAGGUUGGUGCUUGAUAAACUGAGAGAAUACAAGCUUUAUGCCAAGUUUUCCAAGUGCGAGUUCUGGCUGAAAGAAGUGGUGUAUCUUGGGCAUAUUAUCUCUGCCGAGGGCAUUAAGGUUGAUCCGUCCAAGGUUCAGGCCAUUGUUGAAUGGGAACCCCCGCAGAAUGUGAAGCAGCUUCGAAGCUUUCUCGGUCUUGCCGGAUAUUGCAGAAGAUUCGUUGAGAACUUCUCCAAAAUCGCCAAGCUGCUCUCUAGUCUUCUUCCGAAGGGUGUCAAGUAUGUGUGGUCUCCAGAGUGUCAACUAGCUUUUGAUACACUCAAAGAGAAGCUUACCUCCACUCCGGUAUUGGCGCCUCCGGAUGAUUCCAAGCCAUACCAGGUCUUUUGCGAUGCUUCCCUUCAGGGUUUCGGUGCAGUCUUGAUGCAAGAUAGGAAGGUGGUUGCUUACACCUCCAGGCAGCUGAAGCCUGCGGAGAAGAACUAUCCUGUGCACGAUCUCGAGCUAGCAGCUGUUGUGCACGCCUUGAUGACUUGGAGACAUCUCUUGUUGGAACGUAAGGUUGAAGUUUUCACCGAUCACAAGAGCCUCAAGUAUAUCUUCACUCAGCCUAACUUGAAUAUUCGGCAAACACGUUGGGUGGAAAUGCUCCAGGAUUUUAAUCCGAGUGUUGAGUAUACGCCAGGCAAGGCAAAUGUUGUGGCAGAUGCAUUGAGCAGGAAAGCAUAUUGCAACAGUCUGAUUCUGCAACCUCUCCAGCCGGGUCUUUCUGAGUCUUUCAGGAAGCUCAAUCUUCAGCUGGUUCCUCAGGGUUUUCUUGCGAACCUUCAGAUCUCUCCUACCUUGGAAGAUCAGGUCAGAGCAGCUCAGCUACUUGAUACUAUGGUGAAGAAGGUCAAGAUUGGUGUGGGAAAGAGUCUUCCCAAGUAUAAGUGUUUCACUGUGGAUGCCAGGGACACUUUGUUUUUCGAGGACCGCCUUGUCGUCCCGAAAGGUGAUCUCAGGAAGGUGAUCAUGGAAGAAGCUCAUAAUUCUCUGCUUUCUAUUCAUCCGGGAAGUUCUAAGAUGUACCAUGACUUGAAGCAGUCGUUCUGGUGGACCCGUAUGAAGCGAGAAAUUGCACAAUUCGUCAAUGAAUGUGAUGUAUGUCGAAGAGUGAAAGCAGAACAUCAAAGACCAGCGGGCCUCUUGCAGCCUUUGCCGAUUCCCGAGUGGAGGUUCGAUCACAUUGAGAUGGACUUCGUCACAGGGUUUCCGAAGUCCAAGAAGGGCAAUGACGCUAUCUUCGUCGUCAUCGACAAAUUGAGUAAAGUGGCGCAUUUCCUUCCAGUCAAGGAGUCCAUUUCAGCAGCUCAGCUGGCAGAGUUGUACACCUCGAGGGUUGUCUCGUUGCACGGUGUACCCAUGAUGAUCUCAUCAGAUCGCGGGAGUAUCUUCACUUCCAAGUUCUGGGACUCUUUUCAGUCUGCUAUGGGCACGAAGAUCCGCUUCAGCACAACAUUCCAUCCUCAGACUAGUGGUCAAGUGGAGAGAGUGAAUCAAGUUCUUGAGGACAUGCUGAGAGCCUACGUUAUCUCGUUUGGCAUGAAGUGGGAGGAUUGUCUGCCUUUCGCGGAGUUCUCAUAUAACAACAGUUAUCAAGCUAGUUCCGGCAAGGCUCCGUUUGAGAUUCUCUAUGGCAGGAAGUGCCAUACUCCGCUCAACUAGUCCCAGACAGGCGAGCGUCAGAUCCUUGGCAAUGAUAUGAUAGAAGAGGCUGAGGAGAUGUGUCGGAUCAUUCGCGACAACCUCAGAGCAGCGCAGUCCCGUCAGAAGAGCUAUUACGAUAGCAAGCACCGUGACAUGUCGUAUGAGUUGGAUGAUUUUGUCUACCUCAAGGUGUCGCCUAUGAAGGGUAUGCAGCGUUUUGGCAUCAAAGGCAAGCUUGCGCCUCGUUUCGUUGGUCCGUUCAGAGUGGUUGGCAAGAGGGGUGACCUCGCGUACCAGCUCGAGCUUCCGUCAACCUUUGCAAAUGUCCAUGAUGUGUUCCAUGUUUCUCAGCUUCGGAGGUGUUUCAAGAACCCCGAGCGCACUGUGCAUCUUCAGGAUAUCGAUCUCCAGCCUGACCUCUCUUAUCGCGAGCAUCCAGUUGCGGUUCUCGAGGCGACUGAGCGCAAGACCCGUAACAAGUCUGUCAAGUUUCUCAAAGUGCAGUGGUCACACCAUUCCGAUAAAGAGGCUACGUGGGAACGCGAGGAUCACCUCCGUUCCGAAUUUCCCGAUUUCUUUCAGUCUUAGAUCUCGGGGUCGAGAUCUUCUUUGUAGUGUGGGAGAGUUUGUAAUGCCCCAAGUGUAGAACUUUCCCUUCUUGUAACCUUCCAUGUGGGGCCACCUUGUCAGAGAUCUUGAUGAUAUCAUUUUGUGCCAUGAAUUCAUGUGUGUUCCCUAGUGCUUACUUCCCUUGCAUGCAUGAAUUACAUAUCAUUCCUUGCCAUACUUAUGAUUGCAGGCCAUGAUCAUGUUGCAUUUGAGUUUAAUAGGAGUAGUGUUGUGGUGUUGUGAGUGCAUGUGAUCUUGCUAGGAUUAAGUGGUGGUUUUGCACUACCGUGUGAUGCAUGUGAUAAUGGUGUGUGUGAUGCAAGGGGGUGUGCUAGUCUUUUUAAGCUCUUGCCUUUUAAACUCCUUUUCCCUCCUAUUUUUAUUCUUGUCAAAAUUCCUUCUUCCCAAAGAUGAUCCUAAAAUGUCUAGUGGUUAGAUAAAAAUAUGCUUAUGAGGGGGUGCAAUUUUUCUAAUUUGAUUCCUUGAUUUAAGUGGGGCAAAUAAACUCAAAACAGUAGCUUAAUUACUGUUUUGCAUUUAUUNNNNNNNNNNNNNNNNNNNNNNNNNNNNNNNNNNNNNNNNNNNNNNNNNNNNNNNNNNNNNNNNNNNNNNNNNNNNNNNNNNNNNNNNNNNNNNNNNNNNCUCUCUCUGCACCCUCUGCUAACUUACCUGACAGAGAAGAAGGAAGAGAGAUGGGAACGAGGUGGGUUUGGGAGAGGUGGCGGCGGCGGCUGAGGGGAGAAGAGGAACCCUAGGCUUCGGGCACGGACGCCAACACAACUUAUAGGGGGCCCUCGACGAGCUGCUCACGGCGCCGUCAGCUCUCUCCCUCUCACAUGUGCUGACGGAAAGCAGACAGCGAGGGGAGGAGGAGGACGCCGUCAGGAGGAAAGGAAAGGCCUCGCGUGGGCUCUCUCUGGAGGCAGCAGCUGGGCCAGGAGGGAGGAAAGAGGCCCAUGCUGCCCAGGAAGAAGAAGAAAAAUAUAUUGGGGAGGGGAUUCCUAUAUAGUUUAAACACACUCAAGAAAAAAACCCACAUAUAAGCUAUUGUGGCAAAAAUCAAAAGGAAAAUCCUGCUGGACUUAGGGAAUUUUGGUCCAAUAGGGAAAAAUAGGAAUGCAAUUUUUGGAGAAGUUUGAAAUAAAUGCAAAACAGUAAUUAAGCUACUGUUUUGAGUUUAUUUGCCCCACUUAAAUCAAGGAAUCAAAUAAGAAAAAUUGCACCCCCUCAUAAGCAAAUUUUUAUCUAACCACUAGACAUUUUAGGAUCAUCUUUGGGAAGAAGGAAUUUUGACAAGAAUAAAAAUAGGAGGGAAAAGGAGUUUAAAAGGCAAGAGCUUAAAAAGACUAGCACACCCCCUUGCAUCACACACACCAUUAUCACAUGCAUCACACGGUAGUGCAAAACCACCACUUAAUCCUAGCAAGAUCACAUGCACUCACAACACCACAACACUACUCCUAUUAAACUCAAAUGCAACAUGAUCAUGGCCUGCAAUCAUAAGUAUGGCAAGGAAUGAUAUGUAAUUCAUGCAUGCAAGGGAAGUAAGCACUAGGGAACACNNNNNNNNNNNNNNNNNNNNNNNNNNNNNNNNNNNNNNNNNNNNNNNNNNNNNNNNNNNNNNNNNNNNNNNNNNNNNNNNNNNNNNNNNNNNNNNNNNNNCUCUCUCUGCACCCUCUGCUAACUUACCUGACAGAGAAGAAGGAAGAGAGAUGGGAACGAGGUGGGUUUGGGAGAGGUGGCGGCGGCGGCUGAGGGGAGAAGAGGAACCCUAGGCUUCGGGCACGGACGCCAACACAACUUAUAGGGGGCCCUCGACGAGCUGCUCACGGCGCCGUCAGCUCUCUCCCUCUCACAUGUGCUGACGGAAAGCAGACAGCGAGGGGAGGAGGAGGACGCCGUCAGGAGGAAAGGAAAGGCCUCGCGUGGGCUCUCUCUGGAGGCAGCAGCUGGGCCAGGAGGGAGGAAAGAGGCCCAUGCUGCCCAGGAAGAAGAAGAAAAAUAUAUUGGGGAGGGGAUUCCUAUAUAGUUUAAACACACUCAAGAAAAAAAUCCACAUAUAAGCUAUUGUGGCAAAAAUCAAAAGGAAAAUCCUGCUGGACUUAGGGAAUUUUGGUCCAAAAGGAAAAAAUAGGAAUGCAAUUUUUGGAGAAGUUUGAAAUAAAUGCAAAACAGUAAUUAAGCUACUGUUUUGAGUUUAUUUGCCCCACUUAAAUCAAGGAAUCAAAUAAGAAAAAUUGCACCCCCUCAUAAGCAAAUUUUUAUCUAACCACUAGACAUUUUAGGAUCAUCUUUGGGAAGAAGGAAUUUUGACAAGAAUAAAAAUAGGAGGGAAAAGGAGUUUAAAAGGCAAGAGCUUAAAAAGACUAGCACACCCCCUUGCAUCACACACACCAUUAUCACAUGCAUCACAAGGUAGUGCAAAACCACCACUUAAUCCUAGCAAGAUCACAUGCACUCACAACACCACAACACUACUCCUAUUAAACUCAAAUGCAACAUGAUCAUGGCAUGCAAUCAUAAGUAUGGCAAGGAAUGAUAUGUAAUUCAUGCAUGCAAGGGAAGUAAGCACUAGGGAACACNNNNNNNNNNNNNNNNNNNNNNNNNNNNNNNNNNNNNNNNNNNNNNNNNNNNNNNNNNNNNNNNNNNNNNNNNNNNNNNNNNNNNNNNNNNNNNNNNNNNGAUCAAACAGAGUUCGUAAAAGUUUUCCUUUUGUCUCUUUCAGUUUGUCAACUGAAUUGCUUGAGGACAAGCAAGGUUUUAAGCUUGGGGGAGUUGAUACGUCUCCAUCGUAUCUACUUUUCCAAACCCUUUUGCCAUUGUUUUGGACUCUAAUUUGCAUGAUUUGAAUGGAACUAACCCGGACUAACGCUGUUUUCAGCAGAAUUGCCAAGGUGUUGUUUCUGCGUAGAAAUAAAAGUUCUCGGAAUGACCUGGAAAUUUACGGAGAAUUUUGGCGCAAGAAUCAACGGAGGAAGUGGAGCGUGGAGCCCACAAGUCCACCAGGCGCGGGCCCCCCUGGCCGCCCCUGGCAGGCUUGUGGGGCCCACAAAGCUCCACCGCCUCCAAUCUUAGCUCUAUUUAGCCUCUUUCGUUCGGAAAAAAAUCAGGGAGAAGAGUUCGUCGCGUUUUACGAUACGGAGGCGCGACCACCUGCUGUUCUUCAUCUGGAGGGCAGAUCUGGAGUCCGUUCUGAGCUCCGGAGAGGGGAGAUCGUCGCCAUCGUCAUCACCAACCUUCCUUCAUCGCCAAUUCCAUGAUGCUCUUCACUGUUCGUGAGUAAUCUCAUCGUAGGCUUGCUGGACGGUGAUGGGUUGGAUGAGAUCUAUCAUGUAAUCGAGUUAGUUUUGACGGGGAUUGAUCCCUAGUAUCCACUAUGUUCUGAGAUUGAUGUUGCUACUACUUUGCCAUGCUUAAUGCUUGUCACUAGGGCCCGAGUGCCAUGAUUUCAGAUCUGAACCUAUUAUGUUGUCGCCAAUAUAUGUGUGUUCUUGAUCCUAUCUUGCAAGUUGUAGUCACCUACUAUGUGUUAUGACCCGGCAACCCCGGAGUGACAAUAGCCGGAACCACUCCCGGAGAUGACCAUAGUAUGAGGAGUUCAUGUAUUCACUAAGUGUUAAUGUGUUGGUCCGGUUCUUUAUUAAAAGGAGAACCUUAAUAUGCCGUAGUUUCCAUUAGGACCCCGCUCCCAUGGGAGGGAUGGACAAUAGAUGUCAUGCAAGUUAUUUUCCCUAAGCACGUAUGACUACAUACGGAAUACAUGCCUACAUUACAUUGAUGACACUGGAGCUAGUUACAUAUCUCUCCGUGUUAUAACUGUUGCAUGAUGAAUACCAUCCGGCAUAACCAUCCAUCACCGAUCCAAUGCCUACGAGUUUUUCCUACUGGUCCUUGCUACGUUACUUUGCUGCUACUGCUGUCACUGCUGCUACUGUUACUCUGUUGCUACUGCUGUUACUUUGCUGCUACUGGUUACUGUUGCUACUGCUGCUAUCAUAUUACCUUGCUACUCAUACUUUGUUGCAAAUACUAAAUCUUUCAGGUGUGGUUGAAUUGACAGCUCAACUGCUAAUACUUGAGAAUAUUCUUUGGCUUUCCCUUGAGUCGAAUCAAUAAAUUUGGGUUGAAUACUCUACCCUCGAAAAUUGUUGCGAUCCCCUAUACUUGUGGGUUAUCAAGAGACAUCAAGGCUGAGUCUGUUCAGCUAAAUAUGUUUGAAAGAAAUAUUAAGAUUGAAGCUGAGAUGAAACUACAAAAACUUUUGAGAGAUGAAGAGGUGAAACGGGCUAUUAGAGCUAAGGUGAUGAACGUCGCUUAUGGGGACGAUAACACUAAAUUCUUUCAUAUGAUUGCAAAUGGCAAACACCGAAAGAAGAAAAUUAUCCAAUUAGAACAAGAUGAAGGAACAAUUAUAGGUCAUGAGAAUUUAAAAUCUUAUAUUUCUGAAUAUUAUAAGAGUCUUUUUAGUGCACCUGAGGAGACGAUGAUCUCCUUAGAUGACAACAAUGUUCACGAUAUACCUCAACUCAAUGAACAGGAGAAUGAGGUUUUAUCAACUCCAUUUACAGAAAAAGAGGUGUAUGAAGCAAUAACUAACAUGAAACAAAAUACAGCGCCGGGACCUGAUGGGUUUCUUGCAGAAUUUUACAAAAAGUGUUAGCAUCUCAUUAAGGGGGAUCUCAUGCCUAUGUUCCAAGAUUUAUUUAAUGGACAAUUACAGUUAUUCCACCUUAAUUUUGGAACAAUUACGUUGUUGCCAAAAAAGGCGGACGCCAUGCGUAUUCAACAGUUUAGACCAAUUUGCUUACUCAAUGUCAGUUUCAAAAUUUUCACAAAGGUUGCCACUAAUAGAUUAACGAAGAUAGCAGAUUAUGUGGUUCGGCCAACACAGUCUGCGUUUAUGCCAGGGAGACACAUCUUGGAGGGUGUGGUUGUCUUGCAUGAAAUGGUACACGAAAUGCACACAAAGAAAAUGGAUGGGGUUAUUUUUAAAGUGGAUUUCGAGAAAGCGUAUGAUAAAGUCAAGUGGUCUUUCCUUCAACAAGCCUUAUGGAUGAAAGGAUUCAAUGAAAGAUGGAUAAAUCAGGUCGAUACUUUCAUCCAUAAAGGUAGUGUAGGAGUGAAGGUCAAUGACGACAUUGGUCACUACUUUCAAACGCAUAAGGUGUUAAGACAGGGUGAUUCAAUGUCUCCAGUGCUGUUUAACAUAGUAGCAGAUAUGUUGACAAUACUGAUUGAUAGGGCCAAAGAGAUGGGUCAAGUAGGUGGUCUAAUUCCACAUUUGAUUGAUGGGGUAUCUCCAUUUUACAAUAUGCAAACGAUACAAUUAUUUUCAUGGAGCAUGAUAUGCAAAAAGCGAUUAAUAUGAAAUUGGUAUUAUGUUUAUUUGAACAACUGUCAGGGUUGAAAAUAAACUUUAACAAAAGCGAGCUCAUAUGUUUUGGGAAAGCAAAAGAAGAGCAGGAUGCUUAUAAACAGUUAUUUGGAUGUCAAAUGGGAUCACUUCCAUUUUAUCUUGGUAUUCCUAUUCAUCACAGGCGAUUAACAAUUAAAGAAUGGAAAUGUAUUGAAGAACGAUUUGAAAAGAAAUUAAGCUGCUGGAAGAGUAAGCUUAUGUCCUAUGGAGGAAGGCUUGUAUUAAUAAAUUUUGUGUUAACAAGCCUACCCAUGUUUCUAUUGUCUUUCUUUGAGGUACCAGUAGGGGUACGAAAAAGACUAGAUUUUUACAGAUCACAUUUCUUUUGGCAAAGUGAUGAUAAUAAGAAGAAAUAUCGAUUAGCGCGUUGAGAUAUGAUAUGCAGACCCAAAGACCAAGGGGGAUUGGGCAUAGAGAAUCUGGAAGUAAAAAACAUAUAUUCACUCAACAAAUGGUUGUAUAGGUUAUCCACACAGACAGGAGGAAUGUGGAUUAAAAUACUUUAAAAUAAAUAUCUAAAUUCAAAAUCCCUAGCGCAGGCUACAGCUAGACCGGACCACUCACCUUUUUGGAAAGGGUUAAUGAAGAUUAAGGUUAAGUUUUUCCAAAGGGUGAAAUUUAUAGUAGGGGAUGGUGCAUCCACAAGAUUAUGGAAAGAUACUUGGCUUGGAGAUACACCGCUAGCACUUCAAUACCCCAUGCUUUACAAUAUUGCUCAACGUAAACAAGACUAUGUGUCUGCAGUGUUACAAUCAAUUCCUCUCAAUAUAAACUUUAGACGAUCUUUAGUAGGAGCACGUUGGGAGGCAUGGUUGCAUCUGGUAAGAAGGAUUAUGAACGUACAAUUAUCUGUCCAACCGGAUAAAAUUUAUUGGAUAUUAUCUAUGAAUGGCAUCUUCUCAGUGAAGUCCAUGCACACGGAUCUGAUUAAUACAAGACCUUUACUUAGAUCGGUUCAAAUUUGGAAAGUCAAAGUGCCCCUAAGAAUUAAAAUUUUCAUGUGGUUUUUGCACAAAGGUGUGAUUUUGACCAAAGACAAUCUAAUUAAACGUAGUUGGAGAGGCAGAUCUAAUUAUUGUUUCUGUGAUCAGGAUGAAACAAUAACAUAUUUGUUUUUACAUUGCCCUCUUGCAAAACUACUUUGGCGCACUGUUCAUAUAGCGUUUAACGUGUCCCCACCUUCAUGCAUUAAUGAUAUAUUCACAACGAGGCUCAAUGGAGUGGACGUUCGAAUCUCUAAACUGAUUAUGAUUGGGAUAUGCGCUUUUUUUGGGGCUAUAUGGAACACCAGGAAUGAUUUGAUUUUUAAUGGCAACAAAUUCAAUAACUUUUUGCAGGUCAUUUGCAGAGCAAUUUCUUGGAUCCGUACGUGGUCAUUACUCAGUCAUGUGGUCUCCAGGGAGCUUAUGGAUACUGGGUGCAAUCGAUGGAAGAUGGCCGCACGGGUUAUCUUUAACCGGUUUGAAUGGCGUGUUAGUAAUAGACUAGGUGUAUAGGCAUUGUAGUUUAUUAUUACUUACGCCGAAUGUGGCAGUUUGCUUUUUAAGGGAUUGUCCUUUUUAGUUAUUCAUUGCGACAUGUAAUUUUUUCUAGAACUAUGAUACUACUUUGUUAUUUUAAUAAUAUGACUGCAUGCAUCGAUUGAUGCAGAGGCCAGGGGUCACUGCCCUUUUUCAAAAAAUNNNNNNNNNNNNNNNNNNNNAUGAUACACUCGAUUUUUGUUUUUUUUGGCCGACGAAGCACUCUAUCACAUUCAGCAUGAAAAUUGGUAUGCACGCAUGUUAUACUAACAUGGACAUCUAUAAAAAAAGUUUAGAAUUUAUUUCCUAUUUAUUUCAAUUUACUGCUUACAAGGGAGCAUAUGCUCCAUAAAGCCAAACUCUGCGUCCGCCUAAGGCACCAAUGUCCCUCAUUUUUCCUCCCUAAAUCUAUACAAAAUCAUCAACAUGGACCAACACAAACGUAGGACAUAUCACACAUACUCCGUAGCACAAUGUUCAUACACAGGACAUAUGGCAUUGCUCGACAACGGAACAUUUUCACCAGCGUAUGCCCUCCCCAUUAGCAUUCACGUCGGUAGAGAGCUUGAAGAUGGCGUAGGGAUAGUCGUCCGAGUCGUCGGAGGACUCCCCCAGCCCGGUGAGGCGUCAAACGGUGUAUGCCUGCUCCUUGCAAGGAGAUGGUCGGCACGUGCCUGCUUCUUGUGAGGCGUCGGGCUUUGGCAAAUGGCAACAACUCGGGCUUGCUCCUCGAUGAGGUGCCACGAUGCUUCGAAGCCGUCCUUCAACCCUCCUCGAUGAGGUCUCCUUGUUGUUCAAGCACUGGCGUGAAUUAGCCGAUCCUCCUCGGGGGAGGAGGGCAUGGGGACCGUUAUGGAGGGUCACCACUGGAUCCGUCCUGAGCCGCAACCUUGUCAUGCCGAGUUGUCCGUGCCAUGGACUCUAAGAGCUUCCUCCACCAGAGGACCAUGAGCUCCACGGUGGGACGAGGGCGUCGAAUGAGCACCCACCACUGGGGAGGGCGCGGACUGGAGGUGCCACCGAAGGCUAGUAGGGAUGGCGCAGAGCUGAUCGUAUUAUUUCCGCGGCAAACCCCCCUUCUCAACCCUCUCCAUCCCAGUCCCCACCCUUUUUCGCCACCGUCAUCGCAUGGAUCCGUACAAAAAAAGUCGGAAACGACAGUGAUGGAGAUCCAGCAAAGGCGCCUGCCGAAAGAUCAACUCGACGAUAUGGCAAAACACCGACUCAAACAAGAAGACAAAUAAGGCAACACCGCUCACAAAGAAGGCCAGUAGGGGCGGUGGUCGUGGUGGCAGACAUGCAUGGGGGCGGGCGUGGUGUACGGCGGGGCUAGGGACACAUGGCACCGCCAGCAUCAACGUUCAUGCUUAUCUAAAGUAAAAGCUAAUUUAUUCAUUUUAAAGAAGAAAAAGAAUAUAAAAAUAAGGUUGUGGCAUGCGGCCUCCCGCGCGCAUCGACCGUCUCAUCUCGCACUCAAGCGAAGCUGCCCCCAUGUGUUGCUAUAAGCGAGACAUAGGUGCUCCCUCAAGCCCACCUUCGAAAUAGAACACUUCGUUCGAUGGGUUACAAACGUCAGUUGUUUCAUAUUGGCGUCCUUAAACGAACCUCCAUUCAAGUAUGUAAAUAAAAAAAGUAAAUGCUUGUGUGCGACACGCCGGCCGAACUUUGGACGGUCGCGUUCAUCGUUAUCCACAGUGCCCAUGUGUUUCCAUAAGUGAGACAUAGGUGCUCCCUCGAGCCUAUCUUCAAAAUCAAACACUUCGUUCGCUGGGUUACUCCAAGAACAAACGUCAGUUUCGUAUUGGCGUCCUUAAACGAACCUCUAUUCAAGUAUGUAAAUAAAAAAGGUAAAUGCUUGUGUGCGGUGUGCCGACCGAACUUUGGCCGGUUGCGUUCAUCAUCACGCACAGUGCCCACAUACAAAGAGCCAAUGCAACCUUAUCCACCAUGUUGUGGAUUCGUCCCCAUCUCUUCCCUCCCCUCACACUCCCGUUGUUCCCGACGGUCCCUCCUUUUAUCGCUCUUUUCCUUCUACCCAGGGCGUCGCCGACGAGCACACCGGGUACUACACCCGGCACGAGCUCUGGAAGUGGGAACGACCGAGCUGCAACCCAAAGUUGACGAGCUACUAACAGCUAGUGCAGAUACUACAACCAUUGGGGGGAGGGGGGCGAGCUGCAACCGGCAAUGGAGUUGUUACUACGUCGACCAGCAGGCACGAUGGCGGAGCACACAGAUGCAACAACAGUUGAUGCAGGAGCUGCAUCCCCGCCUAGUUUUUGCUGAAACCAGCAACCGCGGCGAGUUGCAGAGUGACCAUGACGAGUUGCUAGGUGACCACAUCAAGUUUGUGCGGAGGGGCGGGAGGUGCUGCAACCACAACCAGGUUUGUUGGAACAGUUGAAUCAUUUUGCUGGAACCAACACCAAAAAAUGCUCUCACCGGAGUUCGUUCUUUCUAGGCCAUCAUUUUUUUUUGCUACAAUCAUGUCUUUUUUUGUAAACAGCACCCAAAAAUGCUUUUAUCAGAGUUAGUUUUUUUUGCUGGACCAUCGAUUUUUUUGCUACACCCAUUCUUUAAUUUGCUGGAACCAUCGUUUUCAAUUGAUGCAAGAGGGGCGGCAACACAAAGCAGUAUUUUCGACAUUUUUUCUUGUUUGCAAGCGUCCACGACGAGCGUUAACAUCAAGCACGGCGACGGCUGUCGGCGAUGAGGGCGAACGGGAGAGGACGGCCGCGUGCUGCGCGAAACAGCGACGGGGGCGGCCGCCAUGACGUGUGGCGGUGUUUUUCUUUAGAUCUGAAAACAUGAAGGGAGAAGUAUUGAAAGAAGGAUACGGUCCUACGGCUACAUUGGGACGUAUCUAAGGGUUGGACCGGCUCAAAGUUUGGGCCGGCGCACUGGCGCGCAGAGUACUGACCAAUAAAAAAAAUACAAUCAAAUAUGUGUACAGUAUUAUUUUUUCUGUUAAAAAACAUGUCUAUCUAGGAAAGUGCUGUAUUUUAUACACUCAUGCGGCCAGAAGCCUCCUCUGGCCACCGACACGUGGGGUCAAAGAGAGCGUGCGCUGUCUAAUGUUUUCGCGAGUCCCCGCAUCGUUAUCCGUACAAAAAAUUACAAAACUCCCCAGAGCCCGAGCCGUCGUACCGCACCGUGCGCCACGCUACCUCACUGACAACCGGGACCAAACGUGGUCCGGGCAUCCUCGUCAGUGAGACAGUUGCGCACCCGGGUAGGCCCUAGGGGGCCACGUUGAUUGCUUCCCGUUCGUUCGUUCCUUUGUUUUCCCUGGCGAUUAGCGUACGGAACGGGAUUGCGAAACCCCCACGCCUCCGGAAUCCCAACCCCCGUCCAAACCAUAUACUCCAGCUACCGCGGAGCAGAUUCCCGGCCACCCGCCGACGCCCCGCCGCCCAAAUCCCGCCCCCAAAAGCUCCUUCAAGCCCCCGACCGCGAGAUCAGCNCUCUCAUGCUGAUCUCGCGGUCGGGGGCUUGAAGGAGCUUUUGGGGGCGGGAUUUGGGCGGCGGGGAAGCGAGGGUCCGACGCGGACGCGAGCAUGUCGGUGCUGGAGGACUUGAUCCGGGCGAUCGAGCUGUGGCUGCGGAUCGCCAAGGAGCAGGUGCCGCUGGUGGACCCCAGCCUCGACCCGGUGCUGCUCGUGCCCGGCAUCGGCGGCNNNNNNNNNNNNNNNNNNNNNNNNNNNNNNNNNNNNNNNNNNNNNNNNNNNNNNNNNNNNNNNNNNNNNNNNNNNNNNNNNNNNNNNNNNNNNNNNNNNNCCCGACGCGAGCUGGUUGGUCAGCUCCCAUCCCAUCCGACCGUACCCACGUACGGUGAUGAGACCCGACGCAUGAUGUAGAGGCGCUCAUGGACACAUUGCACGAUGACGAGCUUGGUGUGGCCACGGGCUCAAUGGUGCAAGAGUUAGCGAGGCUAGAGGAUCCCCCGUCGCCCCUGAGGCUGACCAGGCGAGGCAGCCAUGUAGCCAUGCUCACCCCUACCUACUCCCUAACGAUCGACGCGUUAGCCGCUGAGACGCACGACCGAUGGGCCCUCUGGCGAACAAGACCUGAGAGCCAGCAAGCCCCACGGCCAGCCGGAGAGGCUGGCAGUCAGGUCCCGCCUCCUACUUUCUCCCACCACUGUACAUCUCAGGCUACACUAUAAAACCUCAUCUCACCCCCCAGAGAGGGGGGCACGCUAGAAGCAACUAGCGAACCCUUAGACCCUAGAAACACACACACCACCGAGGCAGUGGGGCCUGUAGCAAGAGCUUUGUCUCCCUCCUCGCGGACAACUCCAGAAGCACCAUUUGUACUGCGAUCUCAUAUAGUCGCAUAGGUAGGACUAGGGGUUUACCUCAUCGGAGGGCCCUGAACCUGGGUAGAUCAGUGUCAUGUAUCUUGCGCCUACACCUGUUCCCAGACGUCGCCGACGCCCGUCGGGCCCAAACCACGAUCUAAGCCACCCCGUGACAUCUGCCGCGGAAAUACCACAACAUCCUUAACACGCCCGUUUGCGAACGAACGCUUAAGCAUCAAAUAGGAUCCGCCCGAGCAAAACCAAGUUUUUUUAAUAUUUUUUAGAAUAAGGGCAAAGUCCAAAAUUACUAAUUGAGGAGUAUUCCUUUCAAGGAUCACUCACACCACCUCACGUUGCGACAAGUGACGCACUGCAUGUGUGACACUUGUCGUAACCUGAAAGUUUUUUCCUUUUAUCAUAGAUCUGUAUUUUCAAAAAGUUUAUCUCUUAAACCGUGCAUUUCAAUCUCAAACCAUUUUUCACCAUUGAGUUUCUCGCGUCGAGAUCUUCAAAACUAGAUCCCAUGUUGAUAGGUUUUGACAAACUUUUUUUUCACGAAAAUAACCGGACGAAAAAAUCGUGCCUCUCCCGAUAGGAAAAAAACUAAAUAAAUAGCAUGUUUUUUCCGUUUCCGAGAUGCACGGUCGUGCCUCUCACAAAGGCAAAACCGUGCCUCUAACAGAAGCAAAAUCGUGCCUUAAAAAACAGCAGGGAACCUAUUUUUUCGUUUUUAAGAAGCACGACUGUGCCUCGCGCGAAAGCAGAGAUGUGCCUCUCGCGAAAGAAAAACCAUACCUCUCGUGAAAAAGUGCGUUUUAUCGUUUCCGAGAGGCACGGUCAUGCCUCUCGCGGAAGCAAACCAUGCGUGUGAGGAAAGGAAAACCAUGUCUCUCACAAUAAAAAAACAAAAAUGCGUUUUUUUUUGUUUUUGAAAGGCACGCUCGCGAAAGCAAAAUUAUGCCUCUCAUAGUAAAAUAAAAUAGAAACACAUUUUUGCAUGCGUAAUUUUUUAUUUUUUUAUCAAAAGCUAAGAAAGACCGAUGAAAAAUCAAAACAUCAAAAAAGUCAGAAAAACAAUUCGAAUGGUCGAAAAUGCAUGCGAAAAAAAUAAAAUAAAAAACAAAAUCCGGUGCAAACUUUUAGAGUGUGACAUAUGGCGGCGGAUGAGAACAUGUCAAGUAGUGGCACAUGGAAGUAAUCGUUGAGAGGCUUAAGAAGGAGUGUUCGCUAGCUCACGGCAAGGUAACCGCUAGAGCCUUCUCUUUGGGCCGGGUACAUUUAAGUCAUGGGCUGGGGCCUGCCGGGCGGCCCAGAUGGCCAGGUAAUUGCUAACCUAGUCCAGCCCUCUUUCGUUCGCACAACCCGGCGCCACCCUUCAGCUCCGGCUCGCAAUACACUGCNNNNNGCCCCCCCCGCCGCCGCCGCUCCCGCUCCCGCAUCUCCAAUCCUCGCUCGGUGCAUAAUCAGGUCGCCGCUCCCCCUGAUUACACAGAACGAGACACUCGUCGGUCGAAUUCGCGCCGCCCCGGUCCAGUCCAGCCCAAAUACUGCGUCGAUCUAUCUACUUUGCUCCCGUGCACGGCAGCGGCAACGAUGAAGAUGUCCGUACUCAUUUGUUGUUUAUGUUUUGUGUGCCAUGACUAUAUUGUAGCUGUACACUACCCUCUCUAUUGUGCAAUUCCUUGCAAAACUUAGUUUAGUGAAUAAUGGUCCCUGGGCGAAGAUCCUAUCGGCAAGGAGUUAGUUGGUUUGAUUGGGAAAUUAUGCAGAUAAACUGUUGAGGCUGACAUGUUGUCCUAACCUAAUUUUGUUUUGCGUUAGUGUUGAGUCACAGUUAUGUCUCAAACUUUAUAGCUAGAUGCUGAAUAUUAAAAGCUGAAUCUUCAUUGCCUAUCAGCUGUCUUUCUAAUCUGAAGUUCUGAAUAUCCAAAGCUCUUUACUGUUCUGCAGAGAGAAAGCAAAUGCAGGACAUCUCACCAACUUCGAAGUUCUCGACUUCUUACGGACUAGAGGUGCAAAAAUUGAUCCCAUGGGAUGUUUGGGGGCUGUUGCUGCAUCAGAGUGUAAGGUAGUCAUUUGUUUCUCUGAUGCUUGACCCAAUGUGUAUUCUCGGUAACCUGUUGACCCGUGUCCCUUUUUUAUGCUUAAAAUUGAUCUCAUGUUUAUUGGUGCGACAAACAGGUAUAUGAGUACCUCCUAAAAACUCCUGCUUGCAACCAGACAAGGGAAUCAGUUACUGAAUUUGCAAACAGAUGUGAGGGCUUCAAGCUUACUGACGCUGACAAGCAAAACAUUAUCAAUUGGAGGCCAGCCUCAGCAGCUGAUGUUUAUGCGGUAUUGCCAUGUUUAUUUUGCUGAUCUUAAGAUGCCUGGUAGCAUGCUAUCUGCGGUAGCUGAUACAAACCAAGACAUGUAGAUAUAAUAUAGUGAUACCCUGGACCAUUUGUGACAUCUUGAAAUAGAAGUGUCUUUUGUUUUUGUGUUUAGUUUUCUUAUCCCUCAUCACGAUGAGAGGUUAAACUCAACACUGAACGUUGCCCGGCUUUAUUGGCCAGCUUUGAUUGAUUUUCUGAAAUAGUGAUGCAAAUAUAUUUUGAUAGCGAUGAUGCAUCUUUCAGAAAUGUGUGCUUACAUAUGUACUUUAUUUAUCAAUAAGAGAUUUAAGUUAUCCUUACUAUGGAUGUUUAUUACUUAUGUAUGGAUUCUGGCAUCUGUAGGUCAUUUUUUACCUUUCCUUGAUGAAUUAAACUAGUAUAGAAUAUAGAUGAGCUGUGUUCUCUGGGGUAUGGGUGCGCUCCUACUUUCACAUGUAUAGAUGUGCAUGCAAAACCGUAUGCCCCUCAUUGAUCCCUCUAUAGUGAAACACUAUGCUAUCACAGAACGAAAUUGAUUUUUUUGUCCAGAGACUUUGAGAGAAUCGUUGGGUCUUGUAGUCAUCUGCUCGCAAACAAGUACCACCGCAAUCUGUUUUGUUGGCUCACCUCCAUCAUCUUGAGGUUUUAGGUUAAGACCUUGUUAAUCUGAUUUGGUCCGUUCUCUGUUGCAGAUGGUAGAGGAGUGUGGGAAAAGAUUUUGCAAGGAUGAGCGAGGAAUGCCGCAGGAUGAAGAGGACCGUGCCAAUGAGCUUGUGGCUCUUGUAGACGAGGUUUUCCCAGCACCACCUGCUAACCCAGAGGAUGAAGUAGAUGUGGAUAUGAAGGACGUCUGAAAGGGUUUGAUUCUGGGUGAAGAAUACAGAUUGUCGGAUUGGCCUGUAAUUUAUCUGCAUGCAUGUUCUGGCAUAACAGCUCUCUGUGGAUUGUGGCAUAAGGCCAUCUUGUUUGAGACAUCACAGUUUGACCUAUGAGCUUCAAUGGCAGUUGAGACUCUUUUCGUCCUUGUUGUAAAUGAAAAUGAAUUGAAGAACUCUGGCAUUUUCAUUGCUAUGUGACGCCGUCAACUCGAUCCCUGAAUUUAUUGCACUAACUCCGUUUAAAUUCCACUCCCUUGCUGAAGGAACAAAUCAAGCAGCUCAACAGCGUGUCAGUGUCUGUCAAGCUACUAAUGAGCACAGUAGCGCGCUGCCUCACAGAGAAGAUCGGCAAAGGGAGGUCUGGAUGUAGGGUCUGUUUGGGACUGCUCUGCUUUAGAAAAAAUCUGUUCCAUUCUAUAAGAUGCAAGCCAAACAGGGUAGCUCCAUGGUAUAUCGCUUCGCAAAAAACUAGAAUCUGGGAUGUAACUUCUUUCUUGUUUUUUAUGAAGCUCUUUAGCAGGUGGUUCAUAAAAUUGUAGAAGCCAGAGUUAAAAGAAAAUUACCCAUCAUUGCCACCAGUAAAUGGAUAUCCCUUCAUUUCUCCCAUUCAAUCCAAUCAAAUAUUACAUCCAUCUCAAAAUUCUUAUCUUUGAUUUUCUAGAUACGGAUGUACCUGAUACUAAGACGUGAUUAUAUACAUUCAUAUACUCCCUCCGUUUCAAAAUAUAAGACCUUUUAGAGAUUCCACUAAAAGACUAAAUACGGAGCAAAAUGAGGAGCAAAAUGAGUGAAUAUAUACUCUAAAAUAUGUCUAUGUACAUCCGUAUAUAGUUUAUAGUGCAAUCUCUAAAAGAUCUUAGAUUUAGGAACAGAGGGAGUAUAAACAAAUCUAAGUCCAAAAUUUUUGGACGGAGGAAGUAGAUCAUUUUCAUCAAAUUUUUCAUUUCUGAAGCUAGAGCUACAUGAAAGCCAAACAUUCUCUUUGAAAAAGUUACAACUCCUUUAUGAAACUGUUUCAAAGUGAAUUCAGUGGAGCAGAGUUGAUUUUGAUGAAACACAGAAGUCCCAAAAAGGCCCGUAAUCUACGAUGGACCAACGACAACGAGCCAGGCCGCACAAACCCCACCGCGAAGCAUAAGCAGCAGCAGCCCUGCCUAUCCACGAGCACCCCUAUUUCUCGCCUUCAGCAAGAGGGGAGGGAAAAGGGGGACAUGAUGGGCCGGCCCACCAGCACGGGAGGCCACAUCCUCCUUUUUCAUUUUUUUACAUUUUUUGCAUUUUUUUUUGCUUUUGUUUAUACCUUCAAAUAUAUUCCAAAUGUAUUAUAUGUAUAUAUUGUAAACAAAACACUAUAUUUUAACAUCAUAAAAAUGUUAAAUCAUUAUUUCAAAAAUGUUGACCAAGUAUUUGAAAACUGCUGAAGAAAUAUAUAAAAAAAUGUUGAUCAUGUAUAAAAAAAUGUUGAUCAUGUAUACAAAAUGUUAACUAUUAAACAAAGUAUAUAAGAAACGUUGAAAAAAUAUAUGAACAUUUUGUACAGGUAUUUUAAAAAUGUUGAACAAAUAUUUGAAAAAAUAUUAAUCAUGUAUAUAAAAAUGUUGAACAAGUAUUUGAAAAAUUAUUGAUCAUGUAUAUAUAAAAUGUUGAACAAUUAUUUGAAAAGGUUGAACAAGCAUUUGAAAAAAUGUUGAACACACAUUUAAAAAAUGUUAAUAAAACAUUUGAAAAAAUGCUGAUCAUGUAUAUUAGAAUGUAGAAUGAAAAACAUAAAGAAACAAAAAAAAUGAAANAAAAAAAGAAAAUUGAUAAAAAAAUUAAACCAAAGAAAUAAAGAAAUAAAAAAAGCCGGAGAAAAAAAUGAAAACCAGAGAAGAAACAAGAAACCAAAGAAAUAAAGAAAUAAAACAGGCUCCUUCCCUUCUAAUAAGCCGCGCAGUACCUAUCAUACAAGAACGUGAACUCAGUGCAUUGGUUAGCAUUGUCGUGGUGCAACAUGUAGAUUGCAGGAUCGUGUGCGCGCUUCAUAGUGGGCCGACCCAAUGCUUCCGACGCGACCCUUUCGUGUCGCAUAAAGCAAAAAGUAAACUUCUUUUUUUGAGAAACAAAUCGCUUUUCUCAAAAAAAAAAACAUUACGCCUACCCACGGACCCAGCCACAACCCUCGCGCACAAGUAAAGGGCUCGGUGACGUGGAAAUCCUCUCCACCGGCAAGGUCCCAGCCACAACCCUCCACCCAGCCACAACCGUCGGUAAGGCUUCUGUGCACGUUUUUUUUAAUAUUAAAUAUCCAAAAAAAAUAUGUCUGCUUUUUGUCAUAUUCAAAUGCUACAUACAGAUUUGUAUGAAAAGAGUAUUAAUAAAGUAUAUUAAAAGUGGGCACUGCUACGCGUUCAUCGGUUGAUCCGCAAGAAACAUCCGCCACCUUGAGAGCCGUCGGAUGUACGCGCGCAGCCGUCCAAUCUACCUCCUGGCAUGUGGCACGGUCGCCUCCUCCGAAUCAUUAAUUCCCGAAACAACGGUCAAGUUUCAGAAACAAACGCUUUGUUGCAGAAUAAUUUUGGACUCAUUAAUUCCUGAAACAACGCGAAUCGCAGAAACAAGCCUUUGUUGCAGAAUAACUUUCACCAUAGAUGAGGUCGUAGAAAAACUUUUGUAACAAAGAGCAUAUUGCAGUUGUUUUUAAAGGAAGAUGAGGUUGUAAAAAAAAUUGUCUUCACUUUUCUGCAACACGGGGUAUUGUUGCAGAAUAAACUUUUGCAACACAGAUGAUGUUGCAGAAAAUAUUACAAUAAAAAUGAUGAUACAGAAACACCUCCGUCGUUGUAGAGAGCAUCGCCAUCGUCGCCGCCAACCAGAAGGCCAUCCACCUCCGAGGUCUCGUCCCGAGCGCCGCCAAUCCCCGUCGCCGGUCGCGUCGUCCGGCGAGCUCGUAUCCUACCUCCGUCUCCGAGAUCUCGUCUUGAGCACCAUCAAUCCCGUUGUCAGUCGCGUUGUCCGGCGAGCUCGUAUCCUAUUUCUAUGAAGCGCUUGCUGUUGAGGGCCAUGGCCGGUGUGUGAUGGAUGAGGCUGGAUGGCUCGAAGGAAGAAGAUAUAAGAAGAAAAGAUGUGGAGGAGAGUAGUCUAAUGAGAAUAUAAGGCAACACGUGGAAGCGGUGUGUAGGUCAAUUUAGACACGCGUCAUCCAUAAAAGGAGGCGGAAGCAACGAAAAAAUCAGCCGGCUGAUUGAGAUUAUUUCCCAUAUUAAAAACACCAAAUGUUACCCUUAAAUGUCAUCCUAGAUUUGAUUUUUACCGUUGAAACAAUGUUGCUCCGUUUCGCAAGAAAUUUUCAACAAUGUUUACGACACCAAACUAUUAUCUACAAAAGAUUUUUUUUUUUAAAUACUCCCUUCAUCGUAAAAUAAAUGAUUUAAAAGUGACUCAAAUUUGCAUUAACUUUAGUAGAAAGUUGAGUAAUUUUUAAGUCACCUAUUUUAAGACGGAUGGAGUACUGUAUUUUCUGUAUUUACUAUUCACGUCGGAGCGCACCCUCGCCAGAGCCAAAAUGUCGUUUUCUGACAUGGGGAUAGGAUUAUUACGAACGGGAAAUGAAAGGUUUUCGAUCACUGUCCACGAACGCUGAGAUAUAAGGCCACAAGUUAGUCGAUCGUGAUUGUAGUUGUAGAUGCUCAAAGCGGCCGUGCGGAUGUCCUUGCGAAGGCCAUUUGUGUUCCAUGACCACUUGAUUGCACGGACCAGCUAUGCCGGUAGACCCUUACAAACCAUUCCGUUAGGUGAGUUGUCUACGUUUGCAUACUAUAGAGCUAGAUACGGGCAGUACCCCCCUACUGGAUGCUGUCUAUGCACCUUCCGUACAGACAUCUCCUUCAAAUCAACCUUCUAUAUGCUUCAAAAAUGCGUAUAGAGCUCCGCUUGUUAUUCGCGUCACAGAAAAAGCAUAGAGCAUCCACCCCCAUUUUGACCAUAUCACAAUGUUGACGUUGACAGAUCCAGUCUCUUGCUAGUGAAACUAAGAAACUCCAUCGCAAAAAAAGGUGGCGAAACUAGUGAGAAAAAACCUUGAAUUCGUUUAUAGCUCCUUUGGCACCCCUCAUUUCAUUUUAUUUGGUAGAAAUGAAGUGAAAUGAAAUCUUCACGAGGAAUUCAUUUGGUUGGGAUGAAAAUUUUGAUCCAAAAAUCAUGUUUGGCUACCACGAGGAUUUCUAGAUUGAAAUGCCAAUGGAUCUCGUAAAAGAUUGAAGUGCAUGAGAGUGGAUUAACGAGGACGUCGUCCUACUGCUGUCGAUCGAGUGAUCUUGUUAGGGCUGUGAGAUGCAAUAAAAGGUAGUGUGAAAAGAGGGAGAGGAGAAGCCUUACCGACGGCGAGAGGGACCUUGCCGGUGGAGAGGACUUGGGCAGAGGAGAGGGAGCAAGACAAGGUGACCUUGGCGGAGGAGAGGAAGCGGGGUGGGGCGACCUUGGCGGAGGAGAGGGAGCAAGGCAGGGUGACCUUGCCGGGGUGACCUUGGCGGAGGAGAGGGAGCAGGGCAGGGCAGGGCGACACUGGCGGAGGAGAGGGAGCAGGGCCGGGAAGCAGGGCGGGCGACCGUGGCGGAGGAGAGAGAGCUGCGUCAAAUCCACGCAAAUGAUAGGGUCUGGGGAGGGAUUUCGGUCUAGGUACGAUACUAAUUCAUUGGAUUUGACAAAUGAAUUCCGUGGGUCAAUUCCGCGACAGCCAAGCAAGUUAGGGUUGGAAUUCCGAAAUGAAAUCCGUAGAUUUUGGCCCAAAUGGCGGGAGCCAAACGAGCUGUUAUCUUCAAUACCCCAUCAUAGCACACCAAUAGCAACCACCUUUAAUAGGAGAGUAGAGUUGUCAAAUUCACAACACAUGAGAUGACAUUUCAAUUUUUUAUGGGUCUUCAAUUACACGGCUCCUUUUUUUUAGGGCUUCUUUGUGUUAAUAAAAACUAAAAUUUCAGAUGAUUUUAGUCCAUACUUUUUUUAUAAAGACUCCUCAUUUUAAAGGAAUGGAACAUGUUUUUUAAAUAAACACGGCACAAAUAGCAUAUAUGUAGGCCGACAGUUAGAACCCCUAAAAAAUGGGCAAUCGUACGAAUCAUUGAAGUUUUUCAAGGCCUAGAAAACCGGUUCAACUUAACUCUAGACUACUACUCCCUCUGUUUCUAAUAGGGACGGAGCUAGUGGGGGCGAGCGGGGGCAGACCCCCCCUUAUGGAUGGGCCACCCCCAACACAUUCGAGAGGGGGCUAGCAUUGCACAAUGUAGAGCACCGGCGUUUUUAGCUACUAAAGCACCUGUUAAUUACGGACUAUCACACCAGGCAUCGUAGCAAAUAUGGAUGCAACCAAGCCCAAUAAGAUAUAGCCCACGAUGGUCAGCUAGGAGAGAAUGUAUACGCGAUCCAUUCAUUUGCAUACGACAUACAGCGACUCCCGAUUAGACUUGAUUGUCACGGUCGAUCUAGGGCAUAGCUAGCCACCGUCGCUGCCGCCGCCACUGUUGUCGUCGUCGCCACUGUCGUCACCGUUUUCGCUGUCAGCUUUGGAUAGACCAAGCAUCGUCGUUUUGCUCUUGACAAAAACACCAUUGCUGCACACCGAGUCACGUCGCCGUUUUCGCCGUCAGCUUUGGAUAGACCAAGCGUCGUUGUUUUGGUCUUGACAAAACCACCCUUCCACGCAUUGGAUGCAUAGUUACUCGGAAUCCAGAACUUGGCGGUGCGACUCGUAAGAUUCAACCCUAGACGAAGGUAUAUCAUUACAUAUCAUUGUAUAUAUUGAUACUACUAUUAGAUCAGUACAAAUUAUUGUUUAGUAUUUUUGUUAUCUGUUAAAAUUAAAUACUAGUUAGAUAGAUGCAAACUAUUAGAUACAGAUUUUUGACAGGGCUUGUAUACAACCUUAGAGUCGCACAAAGCAAAAGCUAAAACAUUUAUUUGAAAGUCUAGUUUGUCUACUUUGGAUGUUUGUCAAUAAUGAAGAUGAAAUAAUAAUGAAGUGCCACCUAACUUUGGAAAAUGAAAAUGUAAUUUGACAAAGGGAGCUGGCCCCGAUGUCAUUUUAGUUCUUAUGCAAACUCCAAAUACAAUAUUGUGGCAUUAGUAGACAGUGCACGGUUAUUAUUAUCUUCGCCCCUCCUCCUAUGCUCGAAUCUUCGCUCCGUUCUUGGUUUUCAAAUAUAAGCUCUUUUAGCGAUUUCAUUAAGAGACUACAUAUAUAGACAUACUUUAGAGUGUCAUUUAUUUUACUCCGUAUGUAGCCUUUUAAUAAAAUCUCUGAAGGCUUUGUUCGGUUCCUUCAGAAUUAGAGGGGUUUGGAGAGGAUAGGAAGGGAUUAAAUCCCCUACAAGUCAAAUUCCACCUCAAUCUCUUUCAAUCCUCUUCAAUCCCCUCUUCGGUGGGAUUAACCGAGCAGGGCCGAAAGGAUUUAUAUUUAAAAACGGAGGGAGCAGAAUGUAAAUGUAGGCGCGAGCGGUCCGGUCCGUUGCCCUCCCCAUGAGUUUAUUCUGUUAAAUAUCUAUGUAUAGGUUGGUAGUUAGGAGAUUAUCUCUGUUUAUGUUUAUCUUUCUAUCUCCUAAAACCCUCGUGUAAUACCUCCUGGUAGUUAGCCUCGACGCUGCUAUCUCUAUGUAACCGAUCCCCUCUAAUCAAUAUAUAUACCGUGGGUCUCCAUGUAUGGAGAUUGAGACGCUUCCACAAUUUCCACAUGGUAUCAGAGCGGGCCUCUUCCACGACAUCUAGCUCAUCUUCCUCUAUCUGCUUUCCUCCCAAACCCACCACGCCGCAACUAUGUCCUCCUCCUCCGCACUCCCCUCCUCUGGCCUCAACUACAACACCUCAAAACCCCUUAGCCGGACAAACUAUGUUCUCUGGCGAGCCCAAGCGCGAUCCCAGAUAUUGGGCGCCGGCUUGUUUGGCUACAUCGAUCGAACUAUAGAGGAGCCUCCAAAAACAGUCAUCAGCAAAGAUAAAGAUGGCAAAGAACACGUAGUUCCCAACCCUGCUCAUAAUCCCUGGCUAAUUCAAGAUCAGCAAAUCAUAGCAUAUCUUCUCCGAAACCUGUCCAAGGAAGUCCUUGUUCAAGUAGCCUCGCUUGAAUCAUCAUAUGCAAUUUGGACCGCGCUAGCAAAUAUGUUUUCUGUGGUCUCUUUGUCUCAUGUCAACAACAUUAGAUCGACCCUCACGAACACCCAGAAGGGAACACAGUCGGCCUCUACCUUCUUCGAGCAGAUGCGUGCCCUCUCCGAUGAGCUUGCGGCGGCAGGCAAACCAAUCGGGGAAGAUGAACUCAUCUCCUUCAUCGUCGUCGGGCUUGAUAUGGAGUAUCAGCCCAUCAUCUAUGCACUCGACGUCCGCACCGAACCCAUCACCGUCGACGCCCUCUUCUCCAUGGUGGCAAACUUCGAUCAACGCGCUGAGAUGUUCAGCAGCGCUGGUGGCUUCAAGUCAUCAGCAAAAACCGCCGCCAGGGGUCGAUCGGGUGGUGGCAGAGGCGGCUACCGCAACCAGAAGCAAGGUGGUCGCGGCGGCGGCUACUCUGGCGGUGGCGGCCAAAACCCUACCAGCGGCUACCCUGGCUCGGGUAGCGGCGGCUAUAACCAUGGCGGUGGUGGCUAUAACAACCACAGCACCGGCGGCAGCGGCUACUCUGGCGGUGGCCAAGGCAGUGGUCAUCGUGGCCGUGGUGGAGGGGGCUACUACAACAACAAUGGCCCUCCGCACCACUACUACAACAACAACCAAGGGGGCCGUUUCGCCGGGUAUGAGGAGUAUGAAAACAAAUGCCAGAUUUGCAAGAAAACUAACCAUGUUGCAAAAGAAUGUAAGUGGCGCUAUGCAGAGGACAAUUCGAGAAAAAGGCGUGUUGCAGCCGCAGCAGAUGCCUCCUACGGAGUUGAUUCCAAUUGGUAUCUUGACUCCGGCUCGAAUGAGAACAUCACCUCUGAACUCGAGAAGAUGACCAUGCACGAUAAGUAUCACGGCCAAGAUCAAGUUCAAACUGCUGCCAGCGGUCCAGGUAUGACGAUUAGUCAUGUUGGAGAGUCUAUUAUUCAAACCCCACAUCGUGAUAUUCUUGUAGAUGAUGUCCUUCACAUUCCAAAUGCAUCCAAAAACCUUCUGUCAGUACAUCGCAUUACUCUUGAUAAUGGUGUCUUCAUAGAGUUUCACCCCUUUUUCUUUUUGAUCAAGGAUCAGGUCACGAGGAGGGUGCUUUAUCGCGGUAGAUGUGUGCAAGGCCUCUACCCAUUGAUUCCCACAAUUUCCAAGUUCAAUAAGCAAGCCUAUGGAGUCUUCAAAGUGUCUUCAGAACGAUGGCAUAAUCGUUUAGGCCACCCAUCUUUUUCCAUUGUCUAUCAGAUUCUUAGCAAAAAUAAGCUCGCAUUUGUUGAUGAGCAUGAUCAUGAAACUGUUUGUGACUCUUGCCAAAGAGCAAAAAGCCACCAGUUACCAUACCCUGUAUCCACCAGUGUGUCUACAAAACCUUUCCAACUUGUGUUUUCAGAUGUUUGGGGACCGGCCCCCUCCUCUGUUGGCCGCCACACCUAUUAUGUAAGCUUCAUUGAUGAUUUUAGCAAAUAUACCUGGAUAUACCUUCUUAAAAAACGCUCCGACGUUUUCCAAGUCUUCCUUAAUUUUCAGGCUCUUGUAGAACGCCAAUUUGACUGCAAGAUACUUGCUAUGCAAUCUGACUGGGGAGGUGAGUACGAGAAACUCAACUCCUUUUUCCAACAAAUAGGAAUCUCUCAUCAUGUUUCCUGUCCUCACGCCCAUCAACAAAACGGGUCAGCAGAGCGCAAGCACAUGCACAUUGUUGAGGUUGGCCUCUCCCUCCUUGUUGCUGCAUCUAUGCCACUAAAGUUUUGGGAUGAGGCCUUUCUCACUACCGUACACCUCAUAAAUAUUCUACCCAGACAUGUUAUCAAUCACGAAACACCAACACAACGUCUUCUUCAUACCAAACCCGACUACUCCCACCUUCAUGUGUUUGGCUGUGCAUGUUGGCCAAACCUCCGCCCCUAUAACACCAAGAAACUUAUGUUUCGUUCGACACAAUGCGUUUUUCUAGGCUACAGUGCACAACACAAAGGCGUCAAGUGCCUUGACGUCGCUACAGGACGUGUAUAUAUCUCUCGAGAUGUCGUCUUUGAUGAAACGGUUUUUCCCUUUGCCAAACUCCACCCAAAUGCCAGCGCCUUGCUUCGCAAAGAAAUACUACUUCUGCCCUCUUUCUUAUCGGGCGUUGAUCAUGGGGAGAGAUUAAUAGUACUAACCAACUUGCAUCUAAUCCUCCUAUUAUUCCUGAGAUUACUGCUGCAGAAAAUGGUGAAAAUCCGAGGCAAAACAACCAAGAUUUUAUGUGUCACCCAGCUGGGGACACGGACGCACACCGAGGAGGAUCUGCCUCGGAAUCCUCGCGCCAGGCGACGACAUCUCCUCCGGGAUCUGGGUGGACAGCACCUGGUCGCACCUCGGGCCCCGAGCGCCUCGAACGCGCGCACGGUCGCGAAAGNNNNNNNNNNNNNNNNNNNNNNNNNNNNNNNNNNNNNNNNNNNNNNNNNNNNNNNNNNNNNNNNNNNNNNNNNNNNNNNNNNNNNNNNNNNNNNNNNNNNCGGCGACGGCUUCUGGAAAGGAUGGUACGGCUACUCGAUCGUCAAGAUUACCCACUGCUUUCUGUUUUGAUUUCUUCUAAUCUGACGUACGUGGUCCGUUUUCAUCUGCAGUUGUGCUGCUAUUUGCUGCUGUUGUCUGCUCGACAUGUGCUUCUGAUCACAAGUUCGUGCUGCAACACCACGCAAUCCGACGAUGAUCAACAUCUACUCUACUCAGAGCUGCUCAUAUAUAGAAGUAUUUUCUUUCUAUCGUACUAGUAUUUGUGCUGUUCGGAUCGAGAUUUGCAUGGACGGUGUAAAUCGCUACAUCGAAUUUAUACUUGUAGUUAAUUUUGCAUCUGGGUUUUGGCCUAAAAUUAUGUAUCAUGAUAUAUUGAUAUUGUUAAUUGACACAGCCCUAGUCUCUUCAGUUCGUUGGCUGUUCAAAUGAUUUCGUUCAUGCCCCAAAAGUGUAUUUUUUUUGUUAUUAAAUUACAUGUAUUACUUCCGAUGUUGUGAUUUCUCAAAUGAUUUGUUGCGAGGAGUAAAUAUUUGUUUCUACAUUUUUAUACUACAUGCACAUGUUUAUUAUUUAGAACCUGGCCCCUCCCAAUGUCAAGCUCUUCGCUUCGUUCACCACUUAAGAUAGGAUUUAAACCGUCGAUUGGUCAAACGGGAUUGGAUCAAUUGUGGUCUUUGCCCUCUUUACAAGCAAGUGCAAGAAUCCGACGCACACCUUUUCUUCAAGUGUCGCUUCACGAUCUGUAUUUGAAGCUUGAUCCAUGAUUUGCUCCACAUUGAUGGCUUUGACACUACCUGAUGGCCUCUGAGGAAUCCGGCAAAGAAUGGUGGAUUGAGCGGUCCGACCGAAGCACCCCCAAUAGAAAGGUCAUGUUAUCUGUCAUCGUGCUUAUUCGUUGGAUUAUUUGAAAUGAGAAGAACGUCCGGAUUGUUCUGACACAAAAGCACACCUCUAACGCUCCUGUUAAACAAUAUUAAGGACGAGAUCAAAUUGUGGAUCACCUUCGGCGUCAAAAGUUGGAAACAAUUGAGUAACUUUCUUGUAUUUAGGAUACUGUACAAAACCUUUUCUCCUCUUAAUUAAUAGAUGAAGCAUAUCUUUUGCUUUCGCUUUAGAAAAAGAAAAAUAUUGCAUGGGGUGGAAAGUCGGGUACAAAUAUCGUCUGAUCACGCGUAGCAUUGCCCCCUCUCCUAAGAUAAUUGAGUAUUGAAUGUCAACUGUGCAUAGAUCGUCAGAUUUGACCAGCUAGCUAUCUGGGAAGACACAAUGUCGGAAAUGGCAAGAAUUAUUGUUCUAGUCCAAAAGGACAUGAGGCUGGUUCAUAAUGGACCAUCCUACUUUUUCUUUGUCCCUAUUAGACGAAAUCAAUACUUACUUUCAAUUGAUAGAGGAAAAAUAGAACUCACAUUAAUAAUAGGUUGAUGACUUCUCUAACUUAUCCUUUUAUUGGGACAACAUCAUACUUCUCGCUAGGGACAUUAGUUUCUAUACUUAACUAACCUGUGUGCACAAUCAUUGUUUGACACAUCAUUCUUUUAGCUUUUCGUUCUUGACGACUCUAUUUGACGGAGCCUAACCUUGAACUAGCUUUUUGCAACACAAACCACUAUCUUUACUUUCCUUUAGCAAUAACAUAGGUAGUAAUAUAUAUGCCACAUAAGCAAAAAAGUUGAUAUGACAAGUAAUUAAUAAGGACAGAGGAAAAUAAAGUAACAUAAUAUGUUAUCAUCACAUAACGCUUUCCAAUACAAAAUGGUUCUACAAAGUAAAAAAUAAAAACAUCAUUGUUAUCACUUCUAUGACACUACCCACUAUGAAAAUAGUAAUAUAGACUAAUAACAUAUGUAUGUUACUAGUCUAAGUUACUUUCCACUAUAACCAGCCUGAUGGACAUCACCUCUGAAUAUUAACACUUCACCUAGUAAUAUAUAAAACUCUAAAGUUUACCUGAUUCAUUUGGAGGCAUGUUAUGGACCCUCAAACUGUAUCCAUCCAUCCCGACACGAACGUGUUUUGUCAUCCACCAUAGUCUUGUAUCUAUCUGUUGGCGGGUCCGGACAUCAUUUUUUUGCAAAUCGAGGGGGAGGGCGGCUUUGUGGACGUCUCGACUGAUGUCAUGUGUCUGACAACCCUUGCCCACCCAAAGACCUCUCUCUCACCCGCGCUCUUUCCCACCUGAAGCAGUCAGCACCGCAUUCAUGUUGUCUCAAAACUGAUGCGACCUCUCGAUGGAGAUGGUAUUUUUGCGGCCCGUUGCCCGCGGCUUAUCACCUCAUUAAAAUGGUAUAUCCGUAUGCCCGUAUACCUCCAUUAAAUCGGCGUGUGUGCCGAGAAACCUACUCCCAUGGUCGGAGUGCCACACAUCUGGCGAUGGGCCAGUCAUCAUAAACACCUCUUGGUGCUUAGAGGGUGUUUAUUUCCAGGGACUUAUUGGUUUAGGGACUUUCAAAAGUCCCUAUAAGUCCCACCUAAACCAAACACAAGGGACUUAUUGGAACUUAUUGUGGUGAUUUGGGACUUAUCAAAUAAGACUCUCAGGGAGGAGCUUAUUUGGACUUAUCCCAGGCCGGACCUACCGUGCAUCGCUUCAGGCUCGUUCCCCGCACGCUGCCCCGCCUCUCGGUCCAAUCGCCGCCGCCACCCCGCCNNNNNNNNNNNNNNNNNNNNNNNNNNNNNNNNNNNNNNNNNNNNNNNNNNNNNNNNNNNNNNNNNNNNNNNNNNNNNNNNNNNNNNNNNNNNNNNNNNNNNNNNNNNNNNNNNNNNNNNNNNNNNNNNNNNNNNNNNNNNNNNNNNNNNNNNNNNNNNNNNNNNNNNNNNNNNNNNNNNNNNNNNNNNNNNNNNNNNNNNNNNNNNNNNNNNNNNNNNNNNNNNNNNNNNNNNNNNNNNNNNNNNNNNNNNNNNNNNNNNNNNNNNNNNNNNNNNNNNNNNNNNNNNNNNNNNNNNNNNNNNNNNNNNNNNNNNNNNNNNNNNNNNNNNNNNNNNNNNNNNNNNNNNNNNNNNNNNNNNNNNNNNNNNNNNNNNNNNNNNNNNNNNNNNNNNNNNNNNNNNNNNNNNNNNNNNNNNNNNNNNNNNNNNNNNNNNNNNNNNNNNNNNNNNNNNNNNNNNNNNNNNNNNNNNNNNNNNNNNNNNNNNNNNNNNNNNNNNNNNNNNNNNNNNNNNNNNNNNNNNNNNNNNNNNNNNNNNNNNNNNNNNNNNNNNNNNNNNNNNNNNNNNNNNNNNNNNNNNNNNNNNNNNNNNNNNNNNNNNNNNNNNNNNNNNNNNNNNNNNNNNNNNNNNNNNNNNNNNNNNNNNNNNNNNNNNNNNNNNNNNNNNNNNNNNNNNNNNNNNNNNNNNNNNNNNNNNNNNNNNNNNNNNNNNNNNNNNNNNNNNNNNNNNNNNNNNNNNNNNNNNNNNNNNNNNNNNNNNNNNNNNNNNNNNNNNNNNNNNNNNNNNNNNNNNNNNNNNNNNNNNNNNNNNNNNNNNNNNNNNNNNNNNNNNNNNNNNNNNNNNNNNNNNNNNNNNNNNNNNNNNNNNNNNNNNNNNNNNNNNNNNNNNNNNNNNNNNNNNNNNNNNNNNNNNNNNNNNNNNNNNNNNNNNNNNNNNNNNNNNNNNNNNNNNNNNNNNNNNNNNNNNNNNNNNNNNNNNNNNNNNNNNNNNNNNNNNNNNNNNNNNNNNNNNNNNNNNNNNNNNNNNNNNNNNNNNNNNNNNNNNNNNNNNNNNNNNNNNNNNNNNNNNNNNNNNNNNNNNNNNNNNNNNNNNNNNNNNNNNNNNNNNNNNNNNNNNNNNNNNNNNNNNNNNNNNNNNNNNNNNNNNNNNNNNNNNNNNNNNNNNNNNNNNNNNNNNNNNNNNNNNNNNNNNNNNNNNNNNNNNNNNNNNNNNNNNNNNNNNNNNNNNNNNNNNNNNNNNNNNNNNNNNNNNNNNNNNNNNNNNNNNNNNNNNNNNNNNNNNNNNNNNNNNNNNNNNNNNNNNNNNNNNNNNNNNNNNNNNNNNNNNNNNNNNNNNNNNNNNNNNNNNNNNNNNNNNNNNNNNNNNNNNNNNNNNNNNNNNNNNNNNNNNNNNNNNNNNNNNNNNNNNNNNNNNNNNNNNNNNNNNNNNNNNNNNNNNNNNNNNNNNNNNNNNNNNNNNNNNNNNNNNNNNNNNNNNNNNNNNNNNNNNNNNNNNNNNNNNNNNNNNNNNNNNNNNNNNNNNNNNNNNNNNNNNNNNNNNNNNNNNNNNNNNNNNNNNNNNNNNNNNNNNNNNNNNNNNNNNNNNNNNNNNNNNNNNNNNNNNNNNNNNNNNNNNNNNNNNNNNNNNNNNNNNNNNNNNNNNNNNNNNNNNNNNNNNNNNNNNNNNNNNNNNNNNNNNNNNNNNNNNNNNNNNNNNNNNNNNNNNNNNNNNNNNNNNNNUCUGCUGUACGGUCUACAAGGGUACGUAGAUCACACAUCCCCUCUCGUAGAUGGACAUCACCAUGAUAGGUCUUCGUGCGCGUAGGAAAAUUUUUGUUUCCCAUGCGACGUUCCCCAACAGUGGCAUCAUGAGCUAGGUUCAUGCGUAGAUGUCUUCUCGAGUAGAACACAAAAUUUUUUGUGGGCGGUGAUGUGCGUUUUGCUGCCCUCCUUAGUCUUUUCUUGAUUCCGCGGUAUUGUUGGAUCGAAGCGGCUCGGACCGACAUUACUCGUACGCUUACGAGAGACUGGUUUCAUCGCUACGAGUAACUCCGUUGCUCAAAGAUGACUGGCGGGUGUCAGUUUCUCCAACUUUAGUUGAAUCGGAAUUGACCGAGGAGGUCCUUGGAUGAGGUUAAAUAGCAACUCAUAUAUCUCCAUUGUGGUGUUUGCGUAAGUAAGAUGCGAUCCUACUAGAUACCCAUGGUCACCACGUAAAACAUGCAACAACAAAAUUAGAGGACGUCUAACUUGUUUUUGCAGGGUAUGCUUGUGAUGUGAUAUGGCCAACGAUGUGAUGUGAUAUAUUGGAUGUAUGAGAUGAUCAUGUUGUAAUAGAUAAUAUCGACUUGCACGUCGAUGGUACGACAACCGGUAGGAGCCAUAGGGUUGUCUUUAUAACUAACGUUUGUGCUUGCAGAUGCUUUUACUAUUUUGCUAGGACGUAGCUUUAGUAGUAAUAGCAUGAGUAGCACGACAACCCCGAUGGCGACACGUUGAUGGAGAUCAUGAUGAUGGAGAUCAUGGUGUGACGCCGGUGACAAGAAGAUCGUGUCGGUGCUUUGGUGAUGGAGAUCAAGAAGCACGUGAUGAUGGCCAUAUCAUGUCACUUAUGAAUAGCAUGUGAUGUUAAUCCUUUUAUGCACCUUAUUUUGCUUAGAACGACGGUAGCAUUAUGAGGUGAUCUCUCACUAAAAUUUCAAGACGAAAUUGUGUUCUCCCCGACUGUGCACCGUUGCUACAGUUCGUCGUUUCGAGACACCACGUGAUGAUCGGGUGUGAUAGACUCAACGUUCACAUACAACGGGUGCAAAACAGUUGCGCACGCGGAACACUCGGGUUAAGCUUGACGAGCCUAGCAUGUGCAGACAUGGCCUCGGAACACAUGAGACCGAAAGGUCGAGCAUGAAUCGUAUAGUUGAUAUGAUUAGCAUAGAGAUGCUUACCACUGAAACUAUUCUCGACUCACGUGAUGAUCGGACUUGAGAUAGCGGAUUUGGAUCAUGUACCACUCAAAUGACUAGAGAGAUGUACUUUUUGAGUGGGAGUUCUUAAGUAAUAUGAUUAAUUGAACUAAUUUUCAUGAACAUAGUCUAAUGGUCUUUGCGAAUUACGAUGUAGCUUGCGCUAUAGCUCUACUGUUUUUUAUAUGUUCCUAGAGAAAAUUUAGUUGAAAAUUGAUAGUAGCAAACUUUGCAGACCGAGUCUGUGAAACCGAGGAUUGUCCUCGUUGCUGCACAGAAGGCUUAUGUCCUUAAUGCACCACUCGGUGUGCUGCACCUCGAGCGUCGUCUGUGGAUGCUGUGAACAUCCGACAUACACGUUUCUGAUGACUACACGAUAGUUCAGUGCAAAGUACUUAAUGGCUUAGAAGCAAGGCACCGAAAACGUUUUAAAACGUCACAGAACAUAAGUGAUGUUCUAAAGAGAUGAAAUUUUGAUUUCAUGCUUGUGCCCUUGUUAAGAGGUACGAGACCUCCAACAAGAUUCUUUGACCACAAAGUAAAGGAGAAAAGCUCAAUCGUUGAGCGUGUGCUCAGAUUGUCUGAGUACGACAAUCACUUGAAUCAAGUGGGAGCUAAUCUUCCAGAUGAGAUAGUGAUGGUUCUCCAAAAGUCACUGCCACCAAGCUUUGAGAGCUUCGUGAUGAACUAUAACAUAUCAAGGAUAGAUACAAUGAUCCUUGAGCGAUUCGCGACGUUUGACACUGCGAAAGUAGAAAUCAAGAAGGAGCAUCAAUAGUUGAUGGUUUGAAAAACCACUAAGUUUCAAGAAAGGCGAGGGCUAGAAGGGAUACUUCGUGAAACGGCAAAACAGUUGCUGCGCUAAUGAAGAGACCCAAGAUUAAACCCAAACCCGAGACUAAGUGCUUCUGUAAUAAGGGGAACAGUCACUGAGGCGGAGCAACUCUAGAUACUUGGUAGAUAAGAAGGCUGGCAAAAGUCGAGAGAAGUAUAUUUGAUAUACAUAAUGUUGAUGUGUACUUUACUAGUACUCCUAGUAGCACGAGGGUAUUGGAUACCGGUUCGGUUGCUAAGUGAUUAGUAACGCGAAAUGAAAGCUACGACAUAAACGGAGACUAGCUAAAGGCGAGGUGAUGAUACGUGUUGGAAGUGUUUCCAAGGUUGAUAUGAUCAAACGUCGCACGCUCCCUCUACCAUCGGGAUUGGUGUUGAACCUAAAUAAUUGUUAUUUGGUGCUUGCAUUAAGCAUGAACAUGAUUGGAUCGUGUUUAUUGCAAUACGAUUAUUCAUUCAAAGAGAAUAAUGGUUACUCUAUUUGCUUGAAUAAUCACCUUCAAUGGUUUAUUGAAUCUCGAUUGUAGUGUUACACAUUGGUGCCAAAAGAUACGAGUUAAUGAUGAUAGUACCACUUACUUGUGGCACUGCCGCUUGAGUCAUGUUAGUAUAAAUUGCAUGAAGAGGCUCCAUGCUGAUGGAUCUUUACUCACCUGAUUUCAAAUCACUAGUGACAUGCAAAUCAUACCACAUGAGCAAGGCCUUGUUUUCAUUGAGAUGAAACAAGAUAGUAACUUGUUGGAAGUGAUACAUUUUGAUGUAUGCAGUCCAAUGAGUGCUGAGGCACGCAGUGGAUAUCAUUAUGUUCUUACUUCACUGACGACUUGAGUAGAUACAGGAAUAUUUACUUAAUGAAUCACAAGUCUGAAAUAUUGAAAAGUUCAAUUCCGUUUUAGAGUGAAGUUCGUCGUAACAAGAGGAUGAACUGUCUACGAUAUGAUCAUAGAAAUGAAUAUCUGAGUUACGAGUUUUUGGUACACAGUUAAGACAAUGUGGAAAUUGUUUCACAGUUCAUGCCACCUGGAACAUCAUAGUGUGAUGAUGUGUCUGAACGUCAUAGCCACGCACUAUUUAGUAUGGUGCAUGUUGUGAUGUCUCUUAUCGAAUUACCACUAUCGUUUAUGGGUUAUGCAUUAGAGACAACCGCAUUCACUUUAAAUAGGGCACCGCGUAUUUCCGUUGAGAUGACACAGUAUAGACUGAGGUUUAGAGAAAUCUAAACUGUCGUUUCUUGAAAGUUUGGGGCUUCGACACUUAUGUGAAAAAGUUUCAGUCUGAUAAGCUCGAACCCAGAGCGGAUAAAUGCAUCUUCAUAGGAUAUCCAAAACAGUUGGGUACAUCUCCUAUCUCAGAUCCGAAAGCAAAGUGUUUGUUUCUAGAAACGGAUCCUUUCUCGAGAAAAGGUUUCUCUCGAAAGAAUUGAGUGGGAGGAUAGUAGAACUUGAUGAGAUUAUUGAACCAUCACUUCAACCAGUGUGUAGCAGGGCGUAGGAAGUUGUUCCUGUGGCGCCUACACCAAUUGAAGUGGAAGCUGAUGAUGGUGAUCAUUGAGCUUCGAAUCAAGUUACUACAAACCUCGUAGGUCGACAAGGUCGCGUACUGCUGCAGAGUAGUACGGUAACCCUGUCUUGGAGGUCAUGUUGUUGAGCAACAGUGAACCUACGAGUUAUGGAGAAAGCGAUGGUGGGCCCAGAUUCCGACAAAUGGCUGGAAGCCAUGAAAUCCGAGAGAGGAUCCAUGUGUGAAAACAAAGUGUAGACUUUGGUAGAACUACUUGAUGGUCAUGGGACUAUUGAGUAAAAUGGAUCUUUAAAAGAAGACAGACGAUGAUGGUGAUAAGUCACUAUUAAGAAAAGCUCGACCUGUUGCAAAGAUGUUUUCGACAAGAUCAAACAGUUGACUAUGAUGAGUCUUUUUCACUCGUAGCGAUGCUAAAGGUAUGUUAGAAUUAUGUUAGUAGUUGCUGCAUUAUUUAUGAAAUAUUGCACGUAGGAUGUCAAAACAUUGUUUCCUCGACGGUUUCCUUGAGUAAACAUUGUAUGAGAUACAACCAUGAGGUUUUGUCGAUCCUAAGGAUACUAACAAGUAUGCAAACUCCAGCGAUCCUUCAAUGGACUGGUGCAAGCAUCUCGGAGUUGGAAUAAGCACUUUGAUGAGAUGAUCAAAGAUUUUGGGUGUGUACAAGGUUUAUGAGAAACUUGUAUUUCCAAAGAAGUGAGUGGGAGCACUAUAGAAUUUCUGAUAAGUAUAUGUGGUUGACAUAUUUUGGAUCAGAAGUAAUGUAGAAUUUUUGUAAAGCAUACAAGGUUGUUUGAAAGGAGUUUUCAAAGGAAUACCUGGAUUGCGCUACUUGAACGUUGAGCAUCAAAGAUCUAUGGAGAUGGAUCGAAAGCGCUUAAUGAAAGUUUCAAUAAGAUGCAUGCCUUGACAAGUUUUUGAAUGAGUUCAAAAUAGAUCAGCAAAGAAGGAGUUCUUGGUUGUGUUGUAAGGUGUGAAUUUGAGUAAGACUCAAAACCCGACCACGGCAGAAUAAAGAGAAUAGACGAAGGUCGUCUUCUAUGCCUUAGCCCUAGAAUCUAAAGUAUGCCAUGCUGUGUACCGCACCUGAUGUGUGCCUUGACUCAAAGUCUGUUGAGGGUACAGAGAGUGAUCCAUGAUUGAAUCACUAGCAGCGGUCAAAAUUUAUCCUUAGUAACUAAUGGACUAAGGAAUUUUUCUCGAUUAUGGAGGUGGUUAAAGAGUUCGUCGUAAAGGGUUACGUUGAUGCAAGCUUUGACACUAAUCCGAAUAACUAUGAGUAAUGAAACGGAUUCGUAUAGUAGAGUAGAUAUUUGGAGCAUUUCCGAAUAGCACGUAGUAGCAGCAUCUAUAAGAUGACAUAAAGAUUUGUAAAGAACACACGGAUCUGAAAGUUUCAGAACCGUUGACUGAAGCCUCUCUCACGAGCAAGACGUGAUCAGACCCCAGAACUAUAUGGGUGUUGGAUUCGUUGGAAUCACAUGGUGAUGUGAACUAGAUUAUUGACUCUAGUGCAAGUGGGAAACUGUUGGAAAUAUGCCCUAGAGGCAAUAAUAAAUUAGUUAUUAUUAUAUUUCUUAGUUCAUGAUAAUCGUUUAUUAUCCAUGCUAUAAUUGUAUUGAUUGGAAACACAAUACUUGUGUGGAUACAUAGACAAAACACUGUCCCUAGUAAGCCUCUAGUUGACUAGCUCGUUGAUCAAAGAUGGUCAAGGUUUCCUGGCCAUAGGCAAGUGUUGUCACUUGAUAACGGGAUCACAUCAUUAGGAGAAUCAUGUGAUGUACUAGACCCAAACUAAUAGACGUAGCAUGUUGAUCGUGUCAUUUUGUUGCUACUGUUUUCUGCGUGUCAAGUAUUUGUUCCUAUGACCAUGAGAUCAUAUAACUCACGGACACCGGAGGAAUGCUUUGUGUGUAUCAAACGUCGCAACGUAACUGGGUGACUAUAAAGAUGCUCUACAGGUAUCUCCGAAGGUGUUCGUUGAGUUAGUAUGGAUCGAGACUGGGAUUUGUCACUCCGUGUGACGGAGAGGUAUCUCGGGGCCCACUCGGUAAUACAACAUCACACACAAGCCUUGCAAGCAAUGUGACUUAGUGUAAGUUGCGGGAUCUUGUAUUACGGAACGAGUAAAGAGACUUGCCGGUAAACGAGAUUGAAAUAGGUAUGCGGAUACUGACGAUCGAAUCUCGGGCAAGUAACAUACCGAAGGACAAAGGGAAUGACAUACGGGAUUAUAUGAAUCCUUGGCACUGAGGUUCAAACGAUAAGAUCUUCGUAGAAUAUGUAGGAUCCAAUAUGGGCAUCCAGGUCCCGCUANUACGGUCUACAAGGGUACGUAGAUCACACAUCCCCUCUCGUAGAUGGACAUCACCAUGAUAGGUCUUCGUGCGCGUAGGAAAAUUUUUGUUUCCCAUGCGACGUUCCCCAACACUCUUCUUUAGCCCCAGAAAGAUGAGACGUCCGAGCGCUUUCGUCAGAGCGUCAGCAAGUUGAUCACCUGUUCUGAUGUAGUCGAUGCAGAUCCGCUUCUGCUCCACGCAUUCACGAAUGAAGUGAAACCUGAUCUCUAUGUGUUUGCUUCGAUCGUGGAACACGGGGUUCUUCGCCAGGGAGAUAGCUGACUUAUUGUCGAUGAAAAGCUUCAGCACCAUGGCAGCUUCGUUCAGCAUCUCUCCUAGCAAUCGUCCCAGCCAAAUCCCUUGGCAAGCGGCAGUGGUGGCCGCCACGUACUCGGCCUCACAAGACGAGAUUGCCACCACCCUCUGUUUCUGAGACUGCCAACUUAGAGGGCUCUUGCCGAGGAAGAAUAUCACGCUCGUAGUGCUCUUCCUGUCGUCAAUGUCUCCGGCGUGAUCGGAAUCACUGUAGCCUGUCAGUUGGCACCUCCCUUCACCGCGUCCGUAAGCACAGCCAUGGUCUAAUGUCCCAGCCACAUAUCGGAGCAGGUGCUUGACUGCGGCAUAAUGAUCAGCUGCAGGCUUCUCCAUGAACCUGCUCAGAUAUCCAACAACGAAAGUGAUAUCGGGUCUUGUGUGCACUAAGUACCUCAGGCCUCCGAUGAUGCUGCGGUACUUGGUUCUGUCGACUGGCUCGGCAGUGCUCUCCUUGCUCAGCUUCAGCCUCGCCUCCAUUGGAGUGUUGCUUGGAUUGCAGUCCUCCAUCUUCGCGCGCUCCAGCAAUUUCUUUGCGUAGGCGGCCUGUCCGAGCACGAUGCGAUUGCGCUCCUGGCUCACCUCGAUUCCGAGGUAGUAGCUGAGCAAGCCUAGAUCGCUCAUGCGGAACAACCUGGUCAUUUCUUGCUUGAACGAAUCGAUCUCCGCCGUGGCUGCUCCGGUGAUGACGAGAUCGUCGACGUAGACACCGACGAUCAGAAGUGAGCCGCCCGUUCCACGGCGGUAGACGGCGUGCUCCGAGGGGCAGCGAUCAAACCCUAGGGCACACAAGCUCUCGUCUAGCUUCGCGUUCCAAGCCCUCGGCGCCUGGCGAAGCCCGUACAACGCCUUGCGGAGGCGCAACACCAUGCCCUCCUGGCCAGCCACGGCGUAUCCCGGUGGCUGCUGUACAUAGACCUCCUCGAGGAGGUCGCCGUUCAAGAAGGCGGACUUCACGUCCAUGUGGUGAACCUGCUAGUCGUGGUGCGCCGCGAGCGCGACGAGGACGCGCACCGAGUCCAUGCGCGCCACCGGCGCAAAGACUUCCUCGAAGUCUACUCCUUGCCGCUGGACGUAGCCUUUCGCCACCGGCUGGGCUUUGUGCUUCACCACCACGCCUCGGGGAUCCUUCUUGAGCUUAUAGACCCACUUUAGCCCGAUCGGACGGUGGUCGGGUGGGAGCUCGCAAAGUUCCCAGGUCUGCUUCGUGAUGAUACUUUUCAUCUCCUCGUCCAUCGCCGCGCGCCAGCCUUGCUCCUUCUCCGCCUCGGUGAAGGAGGCGGGUUCCUCUCCUGCGAACAUGCACAGUUCGCCGUCGCUAUAGAUCGCCUCCAGCUCCUCUGUCGUUUCCCACACAUUCUCGAGUGUGCGGUAUCGACGCGGCGCCUCCUCUCCAGCAGGGGCCUCCGACGCGCCUGCGGGAGGUGAGACGAACUCGACGCCCGUUGGUGUCGCAAUGGGUGCUCUCUGCACUGGGGUGACAGGAGGAGGGGUCUCGAAACGGGCCUGAGAGGUGGACGGCUCGACACUCAUCAUAGGCACUGUGUCGAGCACCGUCGGGGCGCCCGUCUUCCUCGCCUGGGUGCCGGUCAUGGGAGCGGGAGCCAGCUCCACGGUGAAGGAGUCCAUGCCUCCGUCCUGACCUUCCGCGACAGAGCCCCAGUCCCAGGAUGCGUUCUCGUCGAACACUACUUCCCGUGAGACAUGGGCGCGCCCGGACGGUGAGUGGUAGACGCGGUAGGCCGCUGAUCCGGGCUCGUACCCCAGGAACACCAUGGGUACGCUGCGAUCAUCAAGCUUCUUCACGUUCGGGCGUGUCACUUUAACGUGGGCGACACACCCAAACGUCCGAAGGUGCUGCACACUUGGCCGCCUUCCGCACCAUGCUUGGUACGGAGUCAUACCGGCCACGCUCUUCGUUGUAGCCCUGUUGAGUAGGUGCACCGCCGUCGUUACAGCCUCGCCCCAGAAGCGCGCAGGCACCUUCCUCGCCUUGAGUAGGCUCCUAGCUAUGCCGACGAUGGUUUGGUUGCGGCGCUCGACCACGCCGUUCUGUUGAGGCGUGUAUGGGGCGGUGAGCUGCCGGUGCACCCCCAGCUCUGCGAAGAACUCCCCGAGCGAGGCGGAGUUGAAUUCUCCCCCGCGAUCGGUGCGUAGGGUCUUUAGACGGCGGCCAGACUCACGCUCUGCUGCUGCCUGGAGCUGUCGGAGCGCGGUCUCCGCCUCGUCCUUCAUCAUGAGGAGGCGCAGCCACAUGAAGCGGCUCUUGUUGUCGACGAGCAGGAGGAAGUACCGUUUCCCUCCCGGCGUAGCUGGGGAGAUAGGCCCGCAUAGGUCGGCAUGCACGAGCUCGAGCGCUUCCCCGGCGCGGUUGAGCGCCUGACGGGGGAAUGGGGCUCGCCGGUGCUUCCCUACCAGGCAAGCCUCGCAGACACGGUCCACCUUGUCGAAGAGAGGCAGACCGUGCACCAUCUCCUCUCGUGCGAGUGCACGGAGCGCCUGGAAGCCUAUGUGGCCGUAGCGCGCAUGCCACAGCCAGGCAUCCUCGCCGCUGUGCACCGCGAGACAUACUGGGCGCGCCAGGUUCAGGCAGAGUACGUAUAGACGUCCAGGGCCGCGCUGCACGCGCGCGACCAGACGUCCGUCGGGGUCGCGCAGCCUAAACUCGUCGUGUCGGAUGUGUGCAUCGUAGCCGUUCUCGUCCAGCUGCCCCACGCUGACGAUGUUGCUGCACAACUUGGGCAUGUAAUACACCUCUGAAAGAACGAGAUGCUCACCAUUUCGGCAUUCGAAGAGGAUGGUUCCUUUCCCCUCGAUCUGCACCGUUGACCCGUCGCCUAGUCUCACCGUGCCGUGCACACCACAGUCCAGCUCAGAGAAGAUCUCUCGGCGGCCAGACAUGUGGUUGCUCACGUCGGUGUCUAGGAACCAAACGGUGUCACACUCCCUUCCGUUCGGCGCAGUGCGCGCCUGGGAACGCUCUUCGUUGAGGAGGACGUGCUCCACGGGCACCUCCGUGGUCGUGGAGAGCGCGCACACGCUUGCCAGGAGGAGCGUCGACUCCUCAGUGCCGCCCUUAGUUAGGUGUACCUGCUCCUUGCGCUCUCGCCGGGGCUCGGUGCAGUCGCGCGAGAGAUGCCCCAACUUGUUGCAGUUGUAGCACUUGACCCUGCUCAUGUUGCGUCCACCGCCGCAGCCGCCUGAACCCCCGGGGCCGCCGUUGCCACCGGCAUUUUGAGGUGGACGUGAGCUGUUUCCCUGGCCUGGGUUCUUCCCGCGGCGGUUGUUCUGCCCGCCGCCGUUGCUGCUCCCCCCGCCCGAGCCUUGGCCGCUUUCUUGUCCCUGCUUGCGCGCCUCCCACUGCUGCUCCGUGAGGUACAGCUGCCCGCCGCCUUGGCUCGGCGCGGGUGUGGCGCAGCGUUCCUCGGCGGUCCUGAGCCGGCCGAUGAGCUCCUCAACUGAGAUUGUGCUCAGGUCGAGGAGGGUUUCGAUCGCCACUGCGAUCUGUGAAUAACCGGGGGGGGACGACGCUCAAUACCUUCUGUAUGACGUGUACCUCCUCCAGGUUGUCGCCGAGAGUGCGCAGCUGGUUGACGAGUCCGGUGAUCCGCAUGCCGAAGGCGUCCAGAGUCUCGCCGUUGCGGAAUGCGAUCUGCUCGAACUCCGCGCGGAGACGUUGCGCGGUAGCCUCGCGCACCCGGUGCACUCCCAUGCGCAUGACCUUGAUGGUGUCCCAAGCCUCCUUCGCCGUCUCCUUGACGACGAGGACGCCGAGCAUCUCCGCCGGAACAGCUCGGAACAGAACACCCAGGGCCAUCUUGUCGUCGCGCACGCUUUGCGCGUUGCCCUGGAUCGCAUCCCAGAGCCCCCAAGACUCCAGGUGCACCUUCAUCACCAGCGACCACUCGAUGUAGUUGGUUGAUGUGAGGGUUGGGAAGGUGGUUCCGGCGCCUGGAACGAAUGGCGCACGCUCCGCCGCCGCAGCCUGGUGGAUGACGACCUACCGCUCGCGCCUGACGCGGCUGCGUCCGCGGCUGCGAUCUCGUGGUGAAGUCUCCGAGCGCGCUUGCCGGCCUGCGCUUGCAUUGAGGCCAGCUGCGCCCGUCGCUCCGCCUGCCUCCGGUUGUGCCCCGUGCUCGCUCAUCGUCGCCGGGAUCGAUCGUUAACGCGGCUCUGAUGCCACUUGUUAGAAACGAGAAGCUCUGGCGAUCACAGGGAGACUAGAGGGUUUGGCGCUGCGUAAACCGUUGCAGCCUUUUCUCAUCUAUUUCUCUGCUACUUAUUGCUAUUACAACGAAGAAGAAAGAGUCGGUGGAGAUCCUAACUAAGUGCCACGAUCCGUUAAACUCGCGCCAUCCCACGAGAGCGGACGUGCCUUCCCCACCUCCGAGCGCACCGGGUCGACGUGGUGACCACGAUCAGUCCGCCCACCUAGCUAGCUGCUGCAUGACGCCGCACAAGUCGCUGGCCAUGCCGUUGCUUAUUUGCUGAUAGAAAGGAAACUAAAUAACUAACUAUCCUAUACCCCAACGUCUAGAUUAGCUGACAAACGCCCGGUCCAGGCCAACAUCACCAUGGGCAAGUGUUGCGGACACACUACACCAAUAUGGUGUUGGAAAAGCAGGAGGCCACGUUCCAGUAGGCGCAGGCCGACCAAAGGCACAACCUCCGCCUGCUCGAGAAGCAUCGGCAUGCAAAGGAGCAAAUCUUCGGCACAUGCACUGUGACGGACGUGGAUGAGCAGAAGGCGUUACUCCUGUCUUACGCUAGCCCGCGAAAUUCAUCGCAAGCAAUGGCGGCAUGCACCACAUGAUGUAGACGGAGAAAGAAGCUAUGUUUGCGGAGAUUUAGGCAACAAAGGAGGAAUUCGAUUGUGACACCGACGACGUUGCCAGCUCCGCACCAGUUGUGCCCCGCCGCCACGACGACGAAGCUAACACAUCUACGAUCGAUGCCGAUAACGAGUAAGAGGAGAAUAUGUGAGGCCGUCGCGGCUUCGGUCCCAAGAAGGCAACAACACCAUUUUGCCAGCCCACACAAUCAGUGACUUGCCCGCUUCGUGGGCGCGUAGGUCAUGGUGACCAUCUUCCCCCGCCCCAAAACCAAUUGUUACGUGAUUCACGACAGCGAAAGGUAUUCUUCCCCUCCCGCUGAAGCAUUUAACUCUAGGGCUCACUACGCCACGAUGAGCUUGCUGUCGGACAUGAGGAAGACAUGUCGUGGGAAACAGACUCACCCUGGCCAGCGAUAGACUAGGCUAGAGUAGCCUACUCUAGUCUGUUAUAAUUUAAUUAAAAUAUGUCUAAAAUGUAAAUGUUUUCCUUUAAUUUAUAUGAAAAUCAUUCGGUUCGUAUGAAAUUCGUCUAGGGCGUUUUUGGUUCCUUUAGUCUACAGUAGCUGCAUUGCAUAGUCUUCUCAACUCAGCCUGGUUGAGAAAAAACAGCCUCAAAUGCACCAUGUGCAAGUUGUUUGGUUGCAUGGCUGAACCACACUGCCUGGUGUUUGGUUGCCUGCAUGUUAGUGGACAAACCCAAGGCAUGGUGUUUGGUUGUAUGCAAAGCCUGGUGUGUGGUAAUCUCUUUGGCUAGUUGGUGAGGUUACCAGCACACUUCGGCACAACCGUACCACACAUCAUAAGCAGAGCAGAGCAUAAACAAAGCUUCAACUACUUAACAGAAUAGUUCACAACGAUAGUUCAAACAGUUCAACGCAUAAACCAUAGUUUAACCAGACUCGAUAGUACUUAGGAAAGAGGUACCCUGACCCUAGUCCCUAGCGACGAAGGCUUCGUCGUGCUUCCCGCACUUGUUGACCACCUCAAUGCCAUCGUCGUCGAAGAUGAUGACCUUGAGGGUGUCGGGAGUCAGGAUCUUGAACGUCACCAUGUAGCCGAUAUUGAUCUGAUGAACGGCGGCGAAAGUGGCCCAACCCUGAUCCAAGGUCACCCUGGCGUUCAUCAGCUUGACCGUCAGCCUCCACGAGCAGCCGGGCGGGAGUCAGGAGCUUGAACGUCACCAUGUAGCCGAUAUUGAUCUGAUGAACGACGACGAAGGUGGCCCAACCCUGAUCCAGGGUCAGCCUGGCGUUCAUCAGCUUGACCGUCACCCUGGCGUUCAUCAGCUUGACCGUCACCCUCCACGAGCAGCCGGUGUUGUUCUUCAGCUUGAACUCCGUCGGCACCGCGGCGAAGUGCUUGGUGAAGUCUAGGGGCAUGGGGAUGCACUCAAGCUUAGGUGCAAGUAUGACCUUGCAGAAGUGAGUUGGGCCACCCUCCUCAUGGUAGUGGUCGUAGUUGCGGCGCUUGCUGCUGGGGGGAUCCUCCAUUCGCUCGUCUUCGCCAACCGUUCGCGUCUUCGGUUCUUCCUCGGUAGUGGGAGGGAGCACCACCUCGGGCAUUGGAUGAACCGCCGCCUUGCCCUUCUUGUCAACGGCCGGGAGCACCUCCGUGCCCAUCUCAUUGCUCUCCUCGAUCUGCACACAAUUCAUGGAGUCAGGCACAGACAGAGUUCAUGGCUCAUUGAAGAGCAUGUAGUUAAAACGGCAUGACUGUCACUCUUCCUCCUCUCCACCGCGCCUAUAUUUACUCAACCUGACCACCAUUACUUACCCACCCCCUCUCUUCUCUCACUAUCACCCUUCCUCCUCUCCAUCGCCAUGAGCUCCAGCUCCAGCUCCAACGCCAACCCCUUCCCUUGGGGUAUUGGCUGGAGGUCCUUCUUCCUCGGGUGGUCGAAUGGUGACCGCACCAAGUUUGAGAACACCAUGGAGGUGUGUUCGAACUUCGGCUCCAUGACUGACAUGCAGAAGGAAUCUGAUGCAGUGCUCAUGUGGGCCACCCCACAUGAGUUGAAGACGCUGAUUCCUAACCCAACGAAGGGCGCGAUGGCAGUCAACAUCAUUCGCUCGGCCAUGAAUCAGGCCGACUUCGACGACGCUAAAUAGAGGAAGAGGUGGUCCAAGUACAAGAACUACUGGGCUCCUAAUGAGCGUCGUGUCGUAGUGUAAUGGGAGACGACAAUCGUGCCGUCGGCGGUCAUCGGUGGGGAGCCUAAGGAGAAGGAAGAACCAAUGCAGAUGCCAGUGAGGGCGCCGGAGGCAGGCCGUCGUAGCUGGAAGAUCGACCUCGACUCCGCCAAGGACGACGACGACCCGCCGCCCCGCACGGCGCUAGACAAGAAGAUGAAGGCCAGCCACUCGACCCGCUGCUCUCUACGCCUCAACGGCGCGGUUAGCUAGUAUGAACUAGUAUGAACUCGUAUGAAGUGCCAUGCUUAUCUACCUCUAUUCCUCAUUCCCCUCUCCGUCAUGGAUCGAAUCUACCGUCGAAUCGAACGCGAAAAAGUAGUGCAUGACGAACAGAAAAGUGCUUACCGCCAUUGCCGCGGGCCAGGUGAUGAUCCGCUCGCCAGUGAUGGAGUUCGGUGGUCUUCUUGCUCUCCUCCGAUCCGCCGCCGCCGAUGAGAGUUGGGACAGGGGCGGUGAGGCUAAUAACUGUCGGCGCUUCGGGAAGCAACGCGGCUUCUCGAGAGUGGCCGCGUGCGUGCAGCCGCCGCCGCCCACGUGCACCGCUUGGGCCUGGCUCUGGAGAAACUUCCGAUUCGAACAUUCCCAGGGAGCCGGGCUCAGAAAUGCUUUAAACAUCAUGUCAUAGAGGCCCAACAGUGUAUGCAACCAACCAAACAACCCGAUUUCUUUUCACACGGAUCUGAUUAGGCUUGAUGCACGCAACCAAACACGCCCCUAUUUGUUUAAAUUUGUUUUAAAAUAUACGCAGAGGUGGUUGGAUGGCCGGCUUAUGCAUCAGUGUUGGCGGACGGAUAGCUUUUAAGGUCACACACAACAUCAAACUAGUGGACAAGAUCAGGCUUCCAAAAAAAACCUAGUGGAGCAGAGCAGUUCGCUUGAAAGAGUACUAGUAGCUUUGAAACAAAAGCGUGCGCGCUCAGAAGCCUGCUGAAAGCAGGAGGAGGAACGCGUUCUCAAAUUCUGGAAGACGACGAGGAACCAAAAUAGCAGCCGUAUAUAUGAGACGCGAUUAAUUGCCCAGAUGCGACCGGCCGGCGGCCCCUUGAUUUGUAUAGUACCGAGUAAAUGAGUGCCAGCUUUGGAUUGCGCGUCCGAACAAUCCUAAUUAAUCCCGCAGCACUCCACUGGCAGCAUAUGCCUCGCGGCACAGAGGAGAUUAUAUAAAGCGCGGGGCUCCGGCAGAAGAACACACAUCUCACAAAGCUCGGAUCGAUCACCUCCACUUGUGUGCUCGUGGGUGAAGUCAUGAGCUACCCGCCGCCGGGCACCGCGNNNNNNNNNNNNNNNNNNNNNNNNNNNNNNNNNNNNNNNNNNNNNNNNNNNNNNNNNNNNNNNNNNNNNNNNNNNNNNNNNNNNNNNNNNNNNNNNNNNNNNNNNNNNNNNNNNNNNNNNNNNNNNNNNNNNNNNNNNNNNNNNNNNNNNNNNNNNNNNNNNNNNNNNNNNNNNNNNNNNNNNNNNNNNNNNNNNNNNNNNNNNNNNNNNNNNNNNNNNNNNNNNNNNNNNNNNNNNNNNNNNNNNNNNNNNNNNNNNNNNNNNNNNNNNNNNNNNNNNNNNNNNNNNNNNNNNNNNNNNNNNNNNNNNNNNNNNNNNNNNNNNNNNNNNNNNNNNNNNNNNNNNNNNNNNNNNNNNNNNNNNNNNNNNNNNNNNNNNNNNNNNNNNNNNNNNNNNNNNNNNNNNNNNNNNNNNNNNNNNNNNNNNNNNNNNNNNNNNNNNNNNNNNNNNNNNNNNNNNNNNNNNNNNNNNNNNNNNNNNNNNNNNNNNNNNNNNNNNNNNNNNNNNNNNNNNNNNNNNNNNNNNNNNNNNNNNNNNNNNNNNNNNNNNNNNNNNNNNNNNNNNNNNNNNNNNNNNNNNNNNNNNNNNNNNNNNNNNNNNNNNNNNNNNNNNNNNNNNNNNNNNNNNNNNNNNNNNNNNNNNNNNNNNNNNNNNNNNNNNNNNNNNNNNNNNNNNNNNNNNNNNNNNNNNNNNNNNNNNNNNNNNNNNNNNNNNNNNNNNNNNNNNNNNNNNNNNNNNNNNNNNNNNNNNNNNNNNNNNNNNNNNNNNNNNNNNNNNNNNNNNNNNNNNNNNNNNNNNNNNNNNNNNNNNNNNNNNNNNNNNNNNNNNNNNNNNNNNNNNNNNNNNNNNNNNNNNNNNNNNNNNNNNNNNNNNNNNNNNNNNNNNNCCCCGCCGCCGCCGGAGUCGCAGAGCCGCGGCAGCGACGGCUUCUGGAAAGGAUGGUAAUUCACAGACCACUCGUGGUGCAUGCAUGCAUGCAUACCUAAUUCCAGCUGCCCUUAUUAGCUGUUCGCCUGAUCGAUCCGUCUACAUGUUUGCUGUUUUGGUCUGCGUGCAGCUGCGCCGCAAUCUGCUGCUGCUGCCUGCUCGACAUGUGCCUCUGAUCGCUCCUCACAGGAUGAUCCGCAUACACCUGCUCGCCACCAUCGGACCGUCGUUUCCUCGGCACGUCUCGGAUCUGGCUUAAUUCCGUAUCGCCGUGUGGCUCAGUUACCAGUCAGUCGACUUGCUUUGUUGUUGCUUGUUUAUUAGCAGAGACCUCCCUUCUGUAAUUUGUUGGGCGUGAAUUGGAUAUGCGCGAGUUAUUUCCAGCAUCGAGUACAUUUUUCAGUUGAGUUUUUGCCAUUGCCUAUCAGAGAGGAAACAAAAAGUUGCUGUUCCUCCGGUGUUCCAAAGCAACCUACGGGAAUGCCAAGGGUGCCAAAUGUCAGACACCUUUUUUUCUUUGUUUGUCCAUAGGUAGAAACGGCAAACAUGAUAAAUGCCUACUCUUUUGGAAAUAUUCGAUACUUACAGCUUAAGCAAUGCCGUGAGCUGUAUUAGAAUAGCACUGCCGUGACAUAUAAUAUAACCAACCUAAUACGGAAAAGCUAAUUAAAUCUGUACCAACACAGGACAGGUGGUCAGAUCCUACGGCUUGGACUAAGCAAACAGAAAUACGAGUGUACUGGUAACAUUUCAACCAACAUAUAGACACUGUCGAGGUGACAAUCUAGUAAUCCAUUCUGAUUAUUUCCUUCCUUCUUCGUGCUCAAAGCCAGUGCACCUUGUGCUUCCAAGUUCGGAUAUUUACAAGCAGUACACCAUAUUUACAGAGACAUAUUCCCUACCUGGCCACAUCUUAUGUGCAUCAACGGUUUACAGUAUGUGCAAUCGCCCUAGCUACUUAAGUACUGCAAUAGGCCCCGUAGCUAGCCACCGUGGCUGACUCCAACAGCCCUGACUUCCACAUGCUGCCGGCCUCCGCUCUCCGGGUGGACCACCACAGUGGCCUGCGCCUCGUCCAGCAGGCCAUCCUUACCCUCACGAGAUGCAGACAGCGCACCAACCAUGGCGGGGAGCUCGGCCGGUCUUUUGGCCUCGUCGCCGUCAGUGUGGGAGAUGAUCUCCCAGUCCUCCCUCACCGACGUGACGUCGCCACGUUUCUCGUGGUGCUUCUCGACCUCGUAGAUGGUUGGCAGGAUGACAUAGUCAUUGAGGGGGUUGUAGAAUGGGUCAGGUUCGCCCGCGUGCAGCCAGUGCUGGACUAUGCGGAACACGUGGUGGUCGCACACGAUUCCUCGGUGGUCGGCAGCAACCCCAAUUCUCGCCACUGCAUCAAGGCCGUCCGCCUGACAAAAGAAAGGACAAUUACACUCAUUUUUCACAGUGCAUAUUUCCUUCAGAUACUCAAUUAAGAAAAAAAAAAAGGACAAGAAGAUUAUCACACCUUUGCUGAUUCUGCGGGAACGGAUCCAUCACCAUCAACACAGAUGUAUUUACCCUGAAAGAACACAUAGUUCAGAGAAAUUAAAGCAGGGCUACUUCGUGCUCCAGGAAACCCCGAAAUUUGGUAUAGACAAAACACAACAUUUGCCAAACAAACUAACCUGAGUAUAUAAGAGGUGACUAAGAUUUGAAACAGGGUGGCGUUUGCUCCCGUAGCUGCAAAGAGAAGAGUAUUACUAACUUGGCAUACACAUUACACAACUUUAGGUUAUAUGUAAGAGAAAAGGCGACAUGUCUUCUGAAACAGGUCACAUUUAAACAAACAUAGCGAGAGAAAGGACAACCUCCUUUGGAAAGAGUUCAUGACUCGUUUUACUAAGCACUAUUAACUCCACAACAUGCUAAAGCAGACGACAUCCAGUCAAUUCUUAUUUCUUGAGAAAUUUAUAAACCCCAACUAAUCCAUCAGUCAACCAAACUUUAGUGGAACCAAUCAAAAUUCUAAUUGGCACAUGAAAAUAACUAAAACUAAAAUUAAAACCAGAGGUAGAAAAGAUAGUGAAGUACCAAACAGUAUGAGCAGUCUCAUAAUCAAUCCCGUAAAUAUUGUAGAACUUCACUGAUUUUGGAAGCUUUGCCUGGGAUAAGAUAUCUUGAGUUUCCUUCGCCCAUAUUAAUAUAUCCUCAUUAAGAGGCAGAGGAAUGUGAUUUCCAUCAGAGAUAAUCUGCAAUGAUAAUUUCAAUGUCAGAAAUCUAAGCAUCAAUAGUGGCCAACUUUUGUUAAAUUGCAAAAGAUUCACCUCAUGCUUGGAAAGAGCUUUUUGAAUCAUCUUUAUUGCCUCAUCUGGUUCAUACGACUCCAGUAUGGCACUUUUCUUGCCAUUGUCAUCUAAGCUCUCUCUCCAGAUCUGUAGCAAUGGUGUAUCUUCCCAGUGGUAGGUUGAGCUAGCCAACAACUCGUAUAUUGAUGGGCAUUCAAUUAACUGAAGCACAGAAGUUAUUUUCAGUUCUUUCUCAAAAGGCAAAAUCAUGGCGACCACGUGAAUACAUGCAUUCGAUGAGACAGAUGGAUAGGCUAUCAAAGCAUACCAAUUGCUGCAUGGUCCAUUUGGAAAUGAAGAAUUUGGAUUGCCAUCCUUCCACAAAAGACAUUCCAUUCAGCAGAGCACUAUUUAUGUACCCAGGCGCACCUGUCAUGCAGCAGCAGGUCACUUCCAGCUCAAGAUUUAAAGGCAAUCAUAGUAAAAAUUAGUAUCCAUUUGAAUACUUUUCGUUGGCACUCAACCAAUGGUUGCGCAAUUGACAGGUAUUCCAUGAAAAAUGGUAUAAUUAUCAAGCUUCCACUGUAGCAACUGAGAAUAGAUAUUUCGAGUUUAAUUAAUCUAGAAAUAAGAGAGACUGAGAAUUUGGAUACUCAGUCAACUCGUACCUUGAAAUGGUGCAGCAAUUGCAAUCCAACUCUUCACAUAUUUUUCAAAGACCUAUUGAAACGAAACCACAUUAUCUAAGCAUGGCAUCAGAGGCCCAAAAUAUAAGGAAAACUAAAGAAGUACUCACAUCACCAUGAAGAGACAUGAAGCAUUUAACAAGCAAUCCCCCCAUUGAAUGUGUUAUUAGAUUGAUCUUUUUUCCUCCUGAAGCUGUGUAUACUGACUCUAGUUUUUUAGAAAAUUUGUCAAGUGUUUCCGAAAGCCUGCAGAGAAGAAGGGGUAUCAUAAGAAGGGGGGAACUGAAUGAACGGACAUUAUCUGAAAGAAAAAAAAACA